rnacentral:lncRNA from 1 species
UCCUUAUAUGUUGCAAUUCCAGCACCAUAUUUGUCCCCCUUCACUGAAUCAGCUGAAGCAAUAGCUUCAAGUUCAGCCAUAUCUUCUGGUGUUAGCUUCAUAGAUAAAGCUCCAAUGUUCUGUUCAAGAUUCUCAAUCUUUGUAGUUCCUGGAAUUGGCACCACAUCGUUUCCCUGGUGGUGAACCCAAGCCAAUGCUAGCUAUGACGGGGUACAUCCCUUCUUUGCUGCCAUCUCAUUCACCCUCUCAUACAUAAUCUUGCUAUGUUCAAGAUUUUCAGCUUGUGAGGGAAGUGGUAGUCAGGCAUGGAGUGCCAGUAUCGGUGGUCUUGGACCGUAAUGUAUCAUUCACCUCUAGAUUUUGGAGGAAGUUUCAUGAGGAUUUAGGUACUCGGUUGCAUUUCAGCGCUGCUUACCACCCAGACUGAUGGUCAGAGCGAACGGACAGUCCAGAUGCUCGAGGAUAUGCUUCGAGCAUUCCUGUUAGACUUUGGAUGGAUUUGGGAUACUUACCUUCCACUAGUAGAGUUCUCAUACAACAACAUUUAUCAUGCUAGUAUUGAUCGACCCUCGUUUGAGAUGUUGUAUGGUCGGAGGUGUAGGACUCAAGUUUGUAGGGGGCAGGUUGGCCAACGAGUCAUGAGAAGCACCGAAGUGGUGCUUAAGACUACUGAGUUGAUUUAGCAGGUGCAUGAUAGGUUGUGAGUCACGUAGAGUCAUUAGAAAUGCUAUGUUGACCGAUGACGUUCGGAUAUUGAGUUUCAGGUGGGGGAUUUUUUGUUGUUGAAGGUAUUACCCUGGAAGGGUGUCAUAUGCUUUCGAAAGAGGGGCAAGUUGGGACCCCAAUUUAUUGGUCCAUUCAGGAUCUCUGCCCGAGUUAGCAAGGUUGUGUAUCGAUUAGAUCUCCCUAAUGAGCUUAGUCUGCUCCAUAACACCUUUCAUGUGUCCCAGCUUCGGAAGGGUGUAUCAGAUGAGGCUGCAGUCAUUUCAUUGGAUGAUAUUAAGGUGAAUGGGAGCCUAAAAUAUGUUGAGAAACCCAUUGCAGUUCCGGAUUGAAAAACUAAGCUCUAAUAAAGAGGUUUGUCUAGUGAACAUGCAAUGGUAGCACUUGAGAGGCUCCGAAUGGACCUGGGAGCCGGAGGACGAGAUGAGAAAGAAUUACCCAGAUUUAUUUGCAUAUGCAGACUUCGAUGACAAAGUCUAAAUCAAGUGGGAGGGGGGAGUUGUAACAUUCAAAAUCCAAGUAUUCCUUUUAACCCCUUUGAAGUAUUUCAAUUCUGGCUUUGAGGACCCUUCGUACGUUGGGCGUACAUAUGAGUACGCUUAGUGUACACGAGCGGAUGCAUUGAGUGACUUAGGCUCAUAUGCACGAAGUACAAGCUUGUACGCAGGGCGUACGAGGCCGAGGGCUAAAACCCUAAUAGUCGGACUUGUGACCUAUUUGAACGUUCUUAAGUCAUUUGGACAUCACCCUAACCAGCCUCCAUUACUCUCAAACGUCCCUAAAACCCUAAAACCUUUGUGUGUGCCUCUUAAGCUUGUAAGUGCCUCAAAUACCUCUUUUUUGGUGAUCUAGCAUGGAGCAGGAAGUGGAAGCAAGCCUUGUUCGUGGGAAAAGCUUUUGGAUCUUGCAUUUGGUCCAUCUUGGGAAGCUUGUGGAGGUAAAAAGCUUUCACCUUGCUCUUGUUUAUGAUUAGUUGAGUUAGGGUUUGGUUUUGAGUCCUUUCUUGGUCCAUGAAUCUUCUUUUGUGAGUUUGGACAACUCCAGAGGUUAGGAGUGUUAGAUCUAGGUCCCCUUGUCUGGUUUGAAGCAUAAAAAUGAUAGCUUGAUGGUUUUGGUGACUUCUUGUAUGAGCUUAAGAGUUUAAAAUGAGAUUUAAUGGAUUAAAUAAGGUAUUGGGUUCUCUCAUGGCAUGCAAUGGCAUAAAGUUUCCAACUUUAUGCCCUAGGACCUUAAAAACGACCCAGAUCUGGAUUUGGAACAUGAAGUCUUUGUGUAUUAAGAACUUAAUGGAUGAUGUGAUUUACCCGUCUGUACGUUUGGCGUACUGACCUGUACGUUGUGCGUACGGCCGAGGAACCCAAUACGCUAAAUGUACAUUUGAGGUAGGCUGUACGUAUGCUCUUCUGAAGGUGUUAGGCUUUCGGUGGGAUUUUAGGCCAAUUGAACUCCACAUAGCCUUGUGCGUAGACUGAUUGGAGUAGUUGGGUCUUGGGAAAUAGUUAUGGGUUAUUGAUGUCAUGUUUGGGCCUUAUUGGUACAUAUGGCCCAUUAUAGUUUUAGACUUUGAUCUUAGGCUCAUUAGUGAAGGAAUGAUUUUUGGGCUAUCAUUGAGGGGCUUGGACUUAGGAUUUUGGACUCUUUGACUAGGUUGAGUUAUAAUCCUAAUUAGGGUUAUUUGUAUAUUUUUUUAGUGUGAGAUUUUGGACUGGUAGUCGAGCAACUAUUGUUUCUAGCAGAUUGAGGUGAGUUUUGUCACUAUACCAAUGUAUCGACGGCACCAAUGGCGACCCAUUAUUUAAUAUGAGAUUUCUAUAGUUGAAUAUACAUUGGUUUUUUAUUUGGUAUGUAUUGAAUUACGUGAAGACCAUGGGGGAGCCCAUGGCACUUGGCAAGACCAUGAGGGGGAGCCCAUGGCUCUUAGAUGUAAGACCAUGGGUGUAGCCCAUGACAUUCCAGUUGAAGACCAUUGAGGGAUUGCAUGGCAAACUUACGUGUAUAUGUGCAUGACAUUAUGUGGUUAUAUGUUUUGUAUAUUUUGGGAAACUCACUAAGCGUGUUCUUACAGUUUUUUUUGGUGUUUCAGGUACUUCUGGUUCUAAGGGAAAGGGUCUGGCUUGACGACACAACAUGCACUCUCCAGUAUUUCCGCACUUAUUCUUUUAGAUACUCUAAUCUUUUGGAAAAUGAAAUUAUGUAAUGGGAUUUUGUAAAAAAAAAUAUGGUUGAAUUUCUAAUUAUCAAAAUGAAAUAUUUUUAUGAAUUUUUGGGCUGUUACAUUGGUUUAAACUUAGAGUGUUCUUGAUAAUUGUUUAACAACUUUAGUCAUACAAAAUUCUAGUCCAUUUUUCUCACUAUACUAUGAGAUUUGAAAAAUUAGAAAAAGUGAAUAUUAUAGCAUAUAUAAUCGAUCCUAUAUCCGAAGCAUAUGAGACUCGAUUCAUUAUGUCUCACAUAAGGAUUUGAUAUUUGUUCAGUCUCUUGCUAUAAUAUUUUCAUAUAUUGAAUUUCUUAUGUUGAACCAUUUCAACAUGAUAUAUAUAUAUAUAUAUAUAUAUAUAUAUAUAUAUNUAUAUGACUAAGUUCUAUUAAACUAUAUGAUAUAAACCUUUAGAAUCGAAACAAAGUAUGAGUGACCUCCUCCAUAAGUGUACUAUAGCGAAACAAUUCCCAAACUUUGCAAUUUGCAAAUUGAAAACUUUGUUCCUUACAAAUUGUAUUGUCAACAUGCAAUACUAGUAUAACAAUAAUGCUCCCACUAGCUUUGACAUGUACCUAGAAAUCAACUAUACUUCUACAAAUCAUACUCUUUAAAUGUCUUACAAAAGUACAGAUUUCUGUUAUGCGAUGCUUCGAUAAGUCUCCAAGUAAACUUCUUAAGCUUAUACACUUUAAUUGGAUACCAUAUGUGUGUGUUUAGACCAUUUCAUAACUUUUAGAUAUAUUUCUUGAAAGUUCAACCAAUUCCUUUCCAUUUCUUACAAUUCGAAAUAUAAAAAGGGAUGCCAUAAUCAUAUUAUGAAUCUAAGAAUGUAAUUAACACAACCAAUACCCAUAUCGAUCCUUAUCAGAUCUUUAAAAUCUACCAGCGAAAGUGUUUCCUCAUAACCAUUUCCAAGAAUUAGAGCGAAAUCUUUACCACUUAGAUCUUAUGGAGCAUACGUUCCCAUCCAUGUGAUUCCAUCAUUUUCUAACUAUAAUCAUAAGACAAGGUUUAGGACAAAACCAAAUUCAAAUUUAGCAUUCCUUCGUCGAUUGAACUUUACUAUUCCGAAUUUCAUACCCUCUGGUAGCACAAGGGCCUACCAAUGCUUGCAUGUUGUUAGCAGUUCACCCAUAUUGAUCAAUGUACUUUCACUAACCAACACGCUUUUUCUUUUACAGUUAAAUGAAAAUAUAAAACUUAUAUGCAUUGCCAAAUCAGCUAGAAGUGCACAGAAAUAAGAAUGUGUCAAUCAAACAUGAUAUGUUAUCAACCUCAGGUCACGUGCUAGUCAUAACUAAAGGGUUUAUUAUCGGUUGACUCUUGAAACUCUCAAGAUCAAUACGACUCUCACUGACUUCUUGACAUAUGAGUUUUCUCUCAAGGAACAUUCCUUGAUGAGGUAAAACUAAUAUUCAAAAGUUCGUAUGGAUUCUCGACAAGAAAGCACUUCAUAGAAUAGGUCUCAGUUUAUAUUUUGUUUCACGAUUAACGAAAACAUCACAACUUCCAUUCUAUAUGUGCUAGAGUAAGAAAACAUUUUUACUCCACAUAUUUUGAGGUGUUUUCAACCUUAUUAGUUUGAAAUGAGCUUCAAGAUAUGAUUCAUAGUUACUAGGGCAUGGCUUGGAAUGAAGUAUGACUCAUCUCUUGAUCGAAUUAUUUCCAACAAUAUCUGAUUCCUCUUCUUAGUCAUACAAUUGCACUAAGUUGUUCUUCGAGGAUCAAUGGUGAUAUAAAUCCAUAAUCACUAAGAUGAUCAUAAAAUACUCCCAUUCCUUUUAGAUUGGAAAAACUUUUAUCUCUAUGCCUAUUAGAUUCUUCUUAUUUGUUCUAAUACUAUUUGAAUCUUUUUAAAAUAUCAGAUAGUAUAAUCUUACCAUUUAUUUUUUAAAGUAAAAAUAAUAAUCCAAAAUUUUAAAAGAAAUUAUCUUUAGAAAAAAAAAAACCUUUGUCAAGCAAAUAAAAUUAAGUUUGUUAAAAUUGUUAUUCUUGUUGUAUGAUCAUACGAUCCCACCUUAAUAAAAUGAUCAUGAUUGUACUUGCGUUGUUUUUGGGCAAAAUCAGGGUAUCAUUGGAGGAUCAGAUCGUAAGAUCAUAUGAUUCAUCGUAAAAUCAUUACUAUUUUUUUGAAGUGUGUAAUAUUUUGUCUUGGACUAACUAAGUGCAUAGAAUAUGAGCCUAGAAAAACCUUUUGAAUAUUUAUUAUUAUUAAAUGAUAUAUUAUACAUGUAUUUUUCAUGUUUUGGUAGGGUCUUAUGACCCUAGAUUGAUCUGAUGACCCCAAAACUAUCUUAUAACCCCGAAAUGAUCUUAAUAUCAGAAUUAUGCAAUACUAAAAAGUAAUCUUAUAUAACAUCUCAAUCUUGACAAACUUAAAUCUUGAAUGAUAUCAUUUUUCAGAAAAUUGUAAAAAACAAUUAGUUUUUAUAAGAAAAUAAACUAUUUUGAUAAUAGAUAUUCUCUGAUAGACAAAAAGAAUGCCAUAAGAUUAUAUUAAGAUAAUACAAUUCCGUCAAAGAAAUACAAUAAGAUAUAAUAGAAUAAUAAUUUGUAUUUUUCUAAAUAAAAUUUCUAUUUUUUUUUUAACUUUUAAAUUAUUAUUCGUUUAUUUAAAAAAAUAUUAUAAGAUAAUAUCAUAUGUUAAACAGGAAACUAUAACAAGAUAAUAAUUUGUGUCACAUGAAAAGAUAUUGCAUUAAGAUUAUAAUAAGAUAAUAAAAUUAAAUUUUAAAAAGCAAUAUAUAUAUAUAUANNNNNNNNNNNNNNNNNNNNNNNNNNNNNNNNNNNNNNNNNNNNNNNNNNNNNAAUAUACCUAAAAUUCAUAAAUAUCUACAAGUUUUUUUGAUCUUAAUUGCUAAUAAAAAGAAUAUUAAUACUUAAUCGAAUAUAAAGAUUUAUGAGAUUUCCUUAAACGUUAAUGUGAUGUCAAAUUGGGUUGGAGCAAACUUAAUGUUAUAUUUAGUGUUUAAUAUAUAGAAGAGAUAAAUGGACCUUAUACUUAGGUUUAUUCCACAUGUAUCGGGCUUAUAUAGUUAAACUUCAUAAAUGGGAAAUUGCAUCUAAACUUAGAAAAUAUUGUAUUCUUCUUAUUUUUAACUUUUUAUAACUUACUCUUAAUUCUAUAUCUUUUGUCUACCAUGAAACCUAGACCACCUUUGGUUGAAAAUAUUGUAUUCGACCCCUUCCCUGUACAAUACCUUGAUUAACGUACUACUAAGACUUAAUAAAAAAACAAUAACCUUUUUAUUCCAGACAUGCAUAUACAAGCACAUGGGAAACAAAAGUGAGUACUCUCCCAGUAUUGAUUAAGCAUGCUUACACCAAACAACAGAUUCACAUCAUUGAUUAAGCUUUCCAAGAUGACAAUGGAGGAGUAUCGGCAUCCUUAUAUGUUGCAAUUCCAGCACCAUAUCUGUCCCCCUUCACUGAAUCAGCUGAAGCAAUAGCUUCAAGUUCAGCCAUGUCUUCUGGUGUUAACUUCACAGAUAAAGCUCCAAUGUUCUGUUCAAGAUUCUCAAUCUUUGUAGUUCCUGGAAUUGGCACCACAUCAUUCCCCUGGUGGUGAACCCAAGCCAAUGCUAGCUGUGACGGGGUACAUCCCUUCUUUGCUGCCAUCUCAUUCACCCUCUCAUACAUGAUCUUGUUAUGUUCAAGAUUUUCAGCUUGGAACCUCGGCAUAUACUACAAAAAAAUAAAAACAAAACAUCAUAUAACGGCCUCUUCAGUGGUAAAUUUGAAGUUAAAAUUAUUGAAUUGGAAAGGAGUAUAGGGUAACCAACAUACCCUACGGAAGUCACCAUCUUCCAACUUCUCGAGCAUCUUUGGACCAGAGGAGAAAAAACCCUUUCCCAAAGGACUGUAUGCAACAAUCCCAAUCCCAAGUUCUCUGCAAGUAGGAAUGAUAUCUUCUUCAACAUCUCUUGUCCACAAGGACCAUUCUAGUUGUAUGGCUGUUAUUGGGUGCACAGCAUGAGCUCUUCUAAUGGUUGAUGCUGAAGCCUCUGAUAAUCCAACGUAUUUAAUCUUUCCUUCUUCCACCAGCUCCUUUAUUGCUCCCAUCUAAGAAAAAUAUAAAGAUUUGAGGAGAUGAAUAUGAAUGGAUGAUGGAUUUAACGACUGAAACAGAAGGAUAGUGUGAAGAGGAGGAAACCAACUGUGAUUUCGAUAGGCACGCGAUUGUCAAUUCUGUGUACAUAAUACAGAUCAAUGCAGUCGACACCGAGUCUCUUCAAGCUAGCUUCACAAGCAUACUUUACAUAUGCCGGAUCUCCGCAGACCUCCAUCGCAUCACUAUCGUAUUUGAUCCCAAAUUUGGUUGCGAGCUCCACUUUCUCCCUCAGCCCUCCCUUCAAAGCCUGCGCUUAAAGAAAAAGAUUGCUUUAUAUGAACCACACAAGAUCGAACCUAUAGUUGCAGUACCAUAAACCGAAAGAUUAGAAGAAAGUUACCUUGCCGAUAAGGAUCUCGUUGGUUUGAGGGCCGUAGAUGUCGGAGGUGUCGAGAAAGGUAACGCCGGCGUUAAUGGCGUGCUGGAUGAGCUUGAUCAUGUCAGGUUCUGGUUUGGGGGUUCCAUAGAAAGCUGACAUGCCCAUACAACCCAAACCAAGAGCCGAUACCUCUAAACCCUGUGAACCCAGUUUGACUUUUCGAACUCCUGUCAUUUUCGAGCUUUGAUCUUGUUCUACAGAGUGAUUGAUGAAAGCAACCCUCGCAGAUCUCAUAUAGGGACUGAGAAGGUGGUAGUUGGUAGGAUCUCCAUGGCGAGGAAAUUCAGGACAUGUAAAGUAGCGAAGUAAUAUAUUUUUAAUUUUAAAAUUAAAGAAGAACAGUAUAUAAUAUAUAAUUAUAAACUAUCAAUGCAUUUAACGUUUUAGGUUAACUAAAUGUUGAUGUUCUUCCCGAAAAGAUAAAAAAAAAAAAUAUAGAGAUUGCUUUGAUGUCGAUGCGCAUGCAUAUGGUGACUUUAUAACCUAUACGACGACUUUCACAAGUGAGUAGAACGGAUGGAUGGACAGAUGGUGGAAGAUUCUCGAUGAAAAUAGAGCUUUGAUCUUUCAUUGUGGAAGCAUCGUUUCGUCCUUAUUAAGUUCUUUUUUUUAAGGUAAUAACAUUAAAGUCAUUCAUUUUAUAUGUAAAUUGGUCUUUUGCAAUGCGUUAUUUUUUAUUUUAAAUUAAACACUGUGUUUCUAUAUUGUAAUAAUUUUGACUAUUUGACCGUUCAAUCUGAUCGCUUCUGACUACUUGAUCGGUCAAUCUGGUUGCUUGCUGACGUUACAUGGCUGAAUGACAUUUUAUAUCAAAAUUGAAAAAAAAUAUUACAUAAAAAAAAUUAAGUUUUCAUUUUCUUUGACAAAAAGUUUUAAUUUUUUUUUUUAUUUUUAAUUUUGACAUUUUAUUUUUUUUGAUUUGAAUCUAAUUUCAAUUUUUUCUAAUUUUAUUCAAUGUUGGCCAUAUUACAUUUCAAACUCUAUAAAUACUUUUUACCGUUGAAACCAUAUAAAUAUUUUUUUCUUUUAAAAACUAUAUUUUUUUAUAUAAAUACAAGGUUUUUACAAUAUUAUAUAUGAUAUCCUUUUUAUUAAAUACCAUUACAAAUUAAAUGACAUAAUUUGUGCCACUUUACAACUUUUAGUGACAAUUUAAUGCUACUAUAAAAAUUAUUAGAUUUAGUGGCAUUAACCAUUUUAUGACACUAAUUGUUAUAUUUUUAAUAGCAUAAUAAGUAAAAAGUACCAAAAAAUGUAUUAUACUUUAUUUUGUUAUGUUUAAUUUAAAUUUUCAAUAAAAAUUUUGAUUAUACUAAUAAUAACAAUUUCUANNNNNNNNNNNNNNNNNNNNNNNNNNNNNNNNNNNNNNNNNNNNNNNNNNNNNNNNNNNNNNNNNNNNNNNNNNNNNNNUAACACGAAACUAAUCUAUAAAAAAUUAGAAAUCCCGCUCAUUCCCUUCCAAAGUUCAUCGAUUCAGAGAGUUUUUGAUAGAAUCGCACAUUUUUACUUCGUCUGUGGUUCACGACUUGUCCUAAUUUCCCCUGCUAUUUUUUCCUAUCUCGUUUGGCCUCCUCCUUAUUAGUGGUAAGUAUCUAUUCUCCUUUUUGUUCUAUUUAAUUCAAACAACAAUUUUUGAGCCUCGUCUCUACCGCAAGUACAUCUCGUUUUUUCUUCCACGUUUCAAGCACUUCUCUCUGCAUCGUUAACUUCCUCUAAAGUCUCCAAGAUUUUAUUUAUGUCUUUCUUAAUUUCAAUGAUUUUGUAUUUUAUUCUAACUUUGAUUUCAUUUACUUAAUUAUAUGAUAUUUUAUUACAGUUUUGGCAAAACGUAAAUAAAAAGAACUUUAAGUUCUGGCUCAAAUGGCAAUAAAAGAUCGAGUCCAAAUAAAAUAAAAUUUGCAUAAGAGAAUUGGUUCGGAGAGCCUCUUCCAUUAUAAUACCGACUUUAGCCAUUAAGAAUUAAGAAGGAAGUGAUCAAGAUGAUCGACAGAAGGAUUACAGUCUUCGUUAGAGCUAAACGACUAGCAACCAUAAUUGUUACUUACCAUGAUGUGGUUGUACCACUUUAGAACAUGAAGGAAGGUGACUUUUAUGUUAAAUAGUUGACUCAUAGGGACAAGAGUCUAUUUUAUUAUAAAUCCUUUAUGUCAUACAGUUAGAGGUCAUUACAAAUUGACCGUUCAGUUAGUUGUUGUAGCAUGGUCAUUUGUCAAACUCCCAGAAGGAAGAAUGAAACUAUUAGUAUGAGAAUGAUAAGAUAGAAGAGAGAUGUCGUAGUUGUUAGUUCUUUAGGAACCAUUUGUAGCAAAACUUAUUAGAAUAGGUGGUGACAGGUUUUGUUUAUAUUAACAGAAUGUCAACUACGCACCACGAAGCAGAGGACCCUAAGAUUGUGUCAGACAAGGCAUCACUACACGAUUGGAUUGUUGUUGAAGUUUUACAUACCUUACUAGAAGAAUUAACUAGUGUCGUGGGAUGGAUCACUGACAGGUUGGUCUUCAGGUUCAAGGAACAAAUCACGACCAUUCAAACUGUUAAUUAAGUUGUUAGGACCACCCAUGAAGAAGAGAUUGGUCUAGGAACUAAACUAGGAAAGAGAAAAUAGGAGCAAGACCCAACUUGGCCAACAAUAACCAAGAAGCUUGAUGGUACUAUGCCAAACACUAGAACGAACUGGUUGCACACAGUUAGCAAUAAGAAUGAUUCAAACCCCAACACUUGUGGUUCCCCAGGAAGAGGAAGAAGUUCUACAUAUGGUGGAAAAUGAACCCACAUCCAAUAAGGGAGUGGUGAUGUAUCCCAUCAAAAAGAAUAAGUGACACCAGUAGAAAUGUUUGAUAGUAUGUUGUUAUGUCUAUUUUUCCGUACAUAUGUUAAUAUGUAACACAAUAAUCACCGUUAUUGCUUGUAAAAUGUUAUUACAAUAAUAUCCUCACUCGUAUGCAUUAGUACAUUACUAGGCAACGUUGUGUCUAUGACGACCUUAUCCUGUUUUGGUCGUGCCAUGCAAGAAAACCACUUACAGUGGGCACGAUCAGUAAUGCUACGAUGAGAAUGUCGAAAGUCAUUGGAGAUGACAACCACAAGUUUCUUCAAAGUCAAAGGGAAACACAGAUGACAUAGGCUGCACUAGCUUAAGUUACAAGUAGUAGCAGAUGAUGGGUCGAACCAAUAUCGAGGGGGGGGGGGGACAAACCCUUAAGAAGAAAUUACGAAGGGAAGUUCAACUUUCAAUUUUGACAUAAAGGCCUAGGAGAGUAGCAACACGAGUAGGAGGAGACAAUUAGUUUUGUUUUUGGUUAAUAAAAGAAUGAAGUAUCCUAUUAGAUUACCCAUAUGCUAUGAGUUUCUUGCUUCUUAAAGAAAGGUUGGUCUUUCCUCCAAAGUGACUAAUAGGAUUUAGGAACUAGCAAAAUUCCCAAGUGCGGAUCAGAUAGCCAAGAGAACCAUCUAUGUCCAUUCCAUCACAAAUGAAGAAUAUAUUCUCGCAGUAAAGGUUCACGAAUUCAAUAGGCGGUGGAGUUUUGCAUACAGAGCGUCGAGUACUCAAGACACACACCAGACCUAGAGUGUUGAUUUCAAAUAUAGUAAGAAUUUACUCAACCCAUUUCAAAGGAUUAUAUUAGUAGGGUCAACGUCAUGGGAUAAAGUGUUUUCAUAAGUAAAACUACAGAUCCAUAGGAGGAGACCAUUUAAAAAGGACAAUGCCCAUUAAGCAAAUGGUAAUACUUCAAUGUUAUAUUAGGAUUCAGGGUAGAGUACGUGUUUAGUUUAGUUAUUCCUUUUGUCAAUAAGCAUACGAAUCAAUAUAAAACUAGGAUAAAAUUUUAACAUUUAUAAGUUGACAUAGGACAACAUUUAGACUUUAGCAUAUAUACAAUGUGGAUUAAGGACCUCUAAAUAAUUGUAGCCUCAAACAUUUAAAAAGAAAAGAUCUAUUGUGAUAAGUAAGAUAUCAAUAAAGGAGGGUGAUUAAGUUCCUUUAGGAAAGUCAGAUAAUGGUUGUGAUUCUUUACAACCAUCGAAAUAUUGAUCAUGAGUCUUCAAGCCCGAGGGGGGGAUGACGACAAUAGUGAUCUGCUAUUGAAAUCCUAGUAGUUGUAUAAGUAUACGAACGUACCAUGAACGAAUUGCUCGAACACUAGUUAUACCAUUGAUAUAUGUAAUGUAGUUAGAUCCUUGUAAGAGGGCUAUUAGGCGACCUAAUGUUCAUUAUAAUCUAGUAGGUUAAAAGAUAAGUAAGCCAUAAAAUAAAUUUGUCACCAAUAGUAGAGUAUUGGUUCCAGUGUUGUCAAGCUAGUAAACCCAUUAUAGUAGUUUUGGUUAAAAUUUAGGAUGUUAGAACACCAUAACUAGGUUGAAAUACCAUUUGUAAUCUAGAUUCGUGUGCCUUUUAGAGGCAUAUUUCGAGAAGUGGAUUUUGUUAGGAUAUCGUAGAUAAAUUUUCAUAAUUAAUCAAGUUGACUGUGUGGACAUUUUACUUCUGAAGGUGGUCAUCAAUCGUAGUCCAAACCGAAAAAUUCUUGUUUUUGGAAGACUUCACAAUGAUUCUAGGAGUACGUGUUUGGUAGAAUAUGAAGUUCUACGACUGAUUAAGUAUGAAGGGGCGAAUUUGAUGCAACAACGUCUGCUAGAUAUUAGGUUGAUCCUGUGAAGACCCAAUAGGAUAGUGUAGGCUUUUUCCUAAAGUGUGUUAAGAGUAGGAUUUCGGGGACAAAAUUUCUAUAAGUGGGGGAGAGUUGUAACACCCUAUUUUCGUUUUAUAGUAUAAAUGGUCAGUCAUGUAAGUAGACGUCUUUGAUAAAAGACUAUCUAGGAUAAAUAGUCUUGACAAAACUAAUAGUAAUCACAAAAAUGAGAGAAUUCGUAGAGAAAACGUCUGAAUCUGACUUUAUAAGAGGAAGUUAUGAUUUUUAGAAGUUUCAGCAUAGCAGUGUACGACAUAGAAAUUGAAUAGAGAUCGAAGAAGUGUUAGGAAAAAAUCUAAAUGAUAGUUGAAGAUCUCAUCCAUAUGAUUCUGUUGACAUAAAGACAAUCGAGAACGGAAUUCAUUUUAGAAUUUUUAUACGAGCUUUAACAGUCUAAGCUUGUUAAAAAUAUAACUUUAAAAAUAAAUUCAAAAUUAGCCUAUUGUAACACCCCGACUCCCAAGUACAAGUUUAAAAGCCUUAUUUACAUAUUAAUGGGCCUACUCAACGAGUUGCUUGCCCCCAACUCUUCAUGUAGAGGUGGGUUAGCCCGCGUGGAUCAAUGGAUCUACUCGACAAGUCGGAGGACCCGGACUCGACGAGUAGGAGAUGGGAGAUGAAACCCUAAUUUUAAGGGUUUGCACACCAUUUAAAGGACCUUAACUCCCUUCCUCCAGUCCUUUAACACUCUCUUGACGGCCAGAAGAAACCCUAAUCGAUAUUAUCUUGUUCUUGAGUGUUUGUGAGGUCUAAGGAGUGAUUUUGGUGCAUUUUGUGAAGAAGGUGUGAAGUAUAAGAAGCUUAGAGCAAAAAGGAGCUUGAAAAUCUAACUCUGCUUCAUCUUGGCAUCGUUUUGGAGGUAACAAGUCGUUACCUUAGCUUAUCUUUAGCUAAAUCUCUUCAUGUUUGGGUUUAGGGCCAUCUUUAUCUCAUUUGGAAGUCAUUUCGAGUAUUGGGACAAUAUCUGAAGUUGUAAUUUCAGAUUUGGACUCCUAUUGGUCCCUAUAGCUAUAAAGUUAUGAGAUUUGGCAAGCUUGGGCCUUUCCUUUUGAGUUAAUCUUUCCCUUAGUCUAGUUUUGGCAUUUAGGAUCAUGCAUGCACAUAAAGUUUGCAACUUUAUGUGAAAACCAUGCCCUAGGAGAUUGGAUCUACAAUAUGGAGCUUUAGGGUGGCUUAAAACAUAUGUAUGAGUGAUGGACUACAUGAACUUGAUGAGUCUCUUAGUCGACUCGGUGCGUCGGAUGAAGGUUGCUCGUAUUUGAUUCUGCUUGAACUCGGCGAGUUAAUGAGUGGACUCGACGAGUAAGUUAGGGUUUUCCCCGACAUCUGGACACGUAUGGACUUGACGAGUUGGUUGGAAACUCAAUGAGUCAAUUAGGGUUUUGGGUGACUUCUGAGUUCUUAAGGAACUUGACGAGUUGCUAGCUGCACUCGACGAGUCGAAUCAACAUGGACGGUUGACUUUGACCAUUGACUUUGACUUUGACCAAGGGUUGACCAAUUAACUUCUAGGGGUAUUUUGGUAAUUCGGGAACUUAUGGAAUUAGAUCAUUGGUGGAUAUAGGGGUUGGUGUUGGAGCUGUGUUUGGAGGAGAUUGAUACUAUCAUUCAGAGGUACUUGAGAGGUAAGUUGUUCUCACUAUACUAACAGGGUCGAAGGCACCAAUGCCGACCCUUUUUGGGUUUGUACUCAGGUUUAUUGCAUGAUAUGCUUUAUGAUUUGUAUCCUAGUUAUAGGAUGGUUACUAUGUUAGUAUCCGUUAGAUCAGUAUCCUGGUUGUAGGAUGGUUGCUAUGCUAAAGAUCGGUUAGAUCGGUAUCCUGGUUAUAGGAUGGUUGCUAUGGUAGAGAUCGGUUAGAUCAAUAUCCUGGCUAUAAGAUGGUUGCUAUGUUAGAGAUCGGUAAGAUUGAUAUCCUGGUUAUAGGAUGGUUACCAUGAUUAGGGAUAUGUUAGAUCUAUAUGACUAUUUGUUUAUAUGUGUGCACAUGUUUGUUGGUUUGGGGGAUUAGGUUGAGGCAGGUCCAGCUUUGUGCUGUAGACCAAGAUACCCAGGGCGGACCGGAUAGACUACAGACCCGGGAGGGCAUAUAGUCAAGCCAAAGGCCCGGCGAGAGGCCCAGAUAUGCUGAAGGCCUUAAGAGGUGGUCCAGACGUGCCGAAGGCUUAGAGAGCGGUGCAGAUAAACUGAUGGCCUGUGACGCGGUCCAUUUAGACUGAUGGCUCAUAUGCAUGUUGUAUUUGUUUAUAUGAUAUGGUUAUAUCUAUAUGGUGUUGGUAUUUUGGGGGAAAUCACUAAGCUUCGGGCAUACAAUUUCAAUUUUGGUUUCAGGUACCUUGGAUGACCGCGGGAAGGCGAAGGCGUGAUCGUACAGCUCCUUACAUUUUAUGACUUUGUUUAUGGGAUACUCUGAUGUAGAACUAUUUUGAAAACAAAUUUGUAAUAAAUGAUGGUUUCUAAAUGUUUUAAGAAGUUUUAAAUUAGCCUGAUUUUUAUGGAUGUUACAAGUUGGUAUCAAAGCCUUGGUUUGAGUGAAUUGGAGGAAAAACUUGUGUGUCUCCAGUCUCAAACUGAGGACAAGAUUAUUAAAACGAUUUUCUUUAAAUGUUUUCAAAAUAAUAAAGGAGGAUGUAAGUGUAUGAUCAGUCGGAGCUCACGGAUAGACCCCAAAACACCUUACGGAUUAUUUGAUUUAUGUUAUAUGUUAGAACAUCAUGCUAUUACUAGGCUAGGGAUCUUCAAGAAUUGCAUGGUAGAAUUCCCUGAUUAUAUGAUGUCUAAUAGCCUAGGGUUUUUCAAUAUAUGAAAUUGACAUAAUUACUGUAGUUGCUUAGUGUAUGCAUCACGGUCAUACAUAAUUAAGAUCUUAUAGCCUGAGAAUGUUUGGUUUGGCCUUAUUUCAUGUUCUUGUUUAAUGAAGGGCUUAGGGUAGGAUCAUACAUUCGAAAGUCUAUAGGGUACAACAUUAUGUAUGGUUCGCAUACACAAGUGUUGCAGGGUUGGUGGGACUUUCAUGGAUGGGUUGUUGGAAUGAGUCCGCCGAUUAUGAGAUAUUUAGCCUUCCUCUAAGAGUGAGGAUUGAGUGCAUGCCAUGCUUGUGUAUAGAUUUAGGGCAUUGUGAUGAUACUUGAGACAAAUAUGGGUAGGUGUGGAAGGUAGUAUCGGCCCGUACUACUGAAAGAGCAGGACCCAUACACAUAGCAAGGAGGUCACAACCCCUAGGGUUUUGUUGGGGGUUGGUUCCUGGAUUGUUUUAUGGAAUAUCUGAUGUCUUCCUGGUAUGUUUUUUCAGCAUUGUAGUUACUCGGUGAUUUGUGACUAGAUUUGGGUCAGGAUCAGGAGACGACGGACAGGAGGCUUCCUUAGUGCCCGAGACUAUCGGCCAGAUGGGGCCAGACAAGAUGGACACCAUGAUCCGGGAGAUCCUGCAUGAUGAAGUGGAUGCGAUGUUCCGGUGUCACUUACUGGAGAUGUUUAGGUCUAUCAAGACCGCUAUGUUGUAAUAUUUCGAUGAUCGCUAUGCAUCCCUCACUGAGGCGGCUGCCGCAGUAGCCAAAACGGUUAUAAUAGCGGUAGGGGUAGGACCCAGUCAGGCUUUUCAGUAUCGGGACUUCGACAACACAAAACCCCUACUUUUGAUAGGACUUUGGACCCCAUCAAUGCCAUGAGGUGGUUAUUUGAGGAGGAGAGGUGUUUCUUCACGUGUUCAUGUCCUACUGACUAGAAGGUCAGAUAUGGCCUGAACCAUCUGAGGUCCUUAUGUAGAGGGGACGAGUGAUAGCCUACGUAUCGUGGCAGCUGAAGCUGCAUGAGACGAGAUACCCUACUCAUGGUUUGGAGCUGGGAGUAGUGGUAUUCACUCUCAAGAUUUUGAGACAUUACCUUUAUGGGGUUCGUUGUACCAUAUACAUGGACCUCAAGAGAUUGAGGUACAUCAUAGAUCAACCAAACCUGAACAUGAGACAGUGCACGUGGCUGGAUGUAGUCAAGGACUACAACUGUAAGAUCCUUUACCACCCAGGUAAAGCGAACAUGGAUGUGGAUGCUCUGAGCCACAAGUCAGCUGGAUCUACUACCCCAGUGGCAUGUAUGAGGAUUUCAAUCGAUUCUCCACUUGUGAGCUUGAUCAGGGAAGCUCAGGUAGAGGGUAUGCGUUGGGAGAACUAGAAACUUUAGAGGAUUAGGGUUGAGAACACUCGGUUUGUAUAGGAUCACCGGGGAUUAUUGACCCGUUGCGGUUAGGUCUGGGUUCCGAUGUCUGGUGGGGUCAGACAAACUAUUUUGGAGGAGGCUCAUAAGUCUCGCUUCUCUAUUCACCCGGGGGAUACCAAGAUAUACCAAGAUUUGCGACUAAAUUACUGGUGGCCGUGCAUGAAGCGAGAAAUCGCUUGGUACGUGGAGAGAUGCUUGACCUACAAGAUGGUCAAGGCCAAGCAGUAGAGGCCACAUUGCCAUCUACAACUUCUGGAGAUUCAUAUGUAGAAGUGGGAACAAGUCAUGAUGGAUUUUUGUUGGAAACGGUGUCUAAACCCAUAACUAUAAUUAGUAUGUACUUGAUACGAUAGUAGCAUGGUCCAUUUGGGUUGCAUUCAUCAAAGCAAUAUGUUAGGAAGGAUAUUUGAGUAAGAGGUUAAUUAUGAUUUAUUAAUAUAUUAUAAGUAUAAUAUAUUACUCGAGGAAUUAUAUUAUUUAAUUAGUAUUGAUCAAGAAUUAAUUUAGUGAUCAAAAGAGUCUAAUUAAAUUGAUACAUAUGGAUUGGGCUAAUGAUGCAUGAUUGAUUUGUGAUGGGCUUAUGGGUUAGUCCAUGAAGUGGUCAUUCAAAUCAAAUGGGUGGAUCAUAAGCUUAUGGGUAUGGAUUAAGGUUACACAUGACCCUUGAUAUUCUACACACACACACACACACACACACNAUAUAUAUAUAUAUAUAUUCAUAAGCUAAAAUCAGUUACAGAUACCAAUUGUAUUUUGAAGAGUAAGAACUGAUUUUAGAGUCUCCAUAACCUCUACAUAUUCAUACUAAUUGUUCUUGUGGUUUUGUGAUUCCAUUUAAGGCAUCACAUUUAGGGUGCUAAGCUUUCUUGAGGCUAAGUUAUUCAAGCUACUACACAAGGUAAUAUUCUAACUAGUUUUUAUGAUUCAAAUAUCACCUUGAAUACUAGUUUAGGCUUCAUGCUUGCGAAUAUGUUUAUUUCAUGUAUAAUUAGAGAAAAGUUAGAUCAAAAGCAUUAGGGUCGUAUAUGCAUCAUAGCAAUGUUAGAGUACAUAAAACCCAACAGUGGUAUCUGAGUCAUGAGUGUUUUCUAUUAUAUUGAUGCAAUUGUGUGAUUUUCAAACGCUGAAAAAUGACAAUUUUGGAUUCUGCCAGGGCUUACUCGACGAGUCCAUGUAUGAACUCGACAAGUAGGUGCCUUAUGAUGAUGAAAUGAUUGAGCUCAUAAGUUCACUCAACGAGUUGGACAAUCAAUAGGCAAAAUCUUCGAGUUUUUGGCCUUUUUGGAUUAGGAACAUUACCACAAACUUUUUUGGUUCAUAAAAUUCGAUUUUAAUGAUAUGGUAAUGUCUCUUCCCAUCCAAUAACAUGAUGUUUAUCAAAUUCUAAGAUAACUACCUGUUUUUGUGAUUUACUGGUUAUUUGUAAAUUUUGAAGUUAUCAUGUACUAUGAGUCAUAUUAGGUCAAAUUGGUAAAUGAUCUUCAUAUCAUAACUGUAUUAGUUAAUUUGGUUUAUGUGUGUUCUUGAAGAAGUUCCAUAGCUUGUCCAAAAGUUAUGUAAUAUGAAAAGUCUUUAUUUAUGAAACCAUUAACUAAUAUAAGUUAUAUAAUUCUAAGAGUCUUGAAAGAUUUCGUAACUUGUACACAAGUUUGGAAUUGGAAAGGUCUCAUUCAUGGAACAUAAAAGUUCAUACGUCAUGUAUGUCAAAAGUUUUUGACAAGUUACAAAACUUUCCCUCAAGUUUUGGAACUUGAAAAGUUACAUUAAUGAAACAUUAAUUCCAAACCCUAGAGUUUUAAAUGUUAAAUAUUCAACCCUUAUACUACUAAUAUAUUAAAGUUUAAUACUUAUAUAUAUAUAUAUAUAUANNNNNNNNNNNNNNNNNNNNNNNNNNNNNNNNNNNNNNNNNNNNNNNNNNNNNNNNNNNNNNNNNNNNNNNNNNNNNNNNNNNNNNUGGGGUAUAAGGUUAUUGCUUAUAAAAUGGUGGUUUAAUGGGUGUCCACUAUCACCCACCGUUUCCAUGACUGGUGGAGGGUCGUUAGCCGAACGGAUAGGAUAGGACACUAAUUAUCAUUAAUAAUUAUAGUGAAAGUUAUUAAAAUAACUAAACUUUUACAAAUUCCCAAUCUUAGUUACUUUAAGAAAAAAUGUGAAAAUCGAGCUAUUCCAUGAAAUUGCAUUUUGCACCUUGUUAAGUCGUUAGUAAAGCAUGUGUUGUUAACCAACACACUAGUUUGGGACUAACAAUGUGUGUCAAAGGGUAGCUUAUUGAUAAUCAUGGAUCAAUGGAGCGUGUGGUUAACCGGCACAUUGAUUAGGCGAUUUGUAACAUCGAGAGUACCAAGCUAAUUUCCAUGGUUAUUCACACCAUGUUUGUGAUCCUUGGUAUCCCAGUUACAAACUUGAAGGGCAUAAUCGAGAUUUAAACAUGCCAUUGAAGAGUUCAAUGAAUCUCAAAAGAAUCUAGGAAUUUCAAUUAAUUUAAAACCUAAUCUUUGAUUUUGUUUUUCAUGGUGGAAAUUGGUAAAUCGUCAUUUACUUAUCUUCAAAUAUUUUACAAUGGGAUUACGGCAUCCCUCUUUCGAAUUGUAGAAUAUUGUGUUGGGUCCUAGCCUUAAUAUUCCAUUUUGGGUGUUAUAUAAAGGAUCCUUAUCUAAUCUAAACUUUGUAAUUCUUUUUAGCUGUCUACUUCAAACAAUGCUUCCUGCCCAAUCCCUUUCGGCUCUUUCUCCCGUAUGAACUUAUGUGGGAGGGUCAUCUUCGAUGGAUCAAAUUUCAAUGAUUGGAUUCGAAAUAUCCACAUGGAUAUUCGUUAUGAGGAGAAAGAAUAUAUCCUUGAUAAAGAGCUUAAGGAAAUUUAUGAAUCAACUGCUACACCCAAACAUAUUGCUUAGUACAAAACUCAUGAAAGGGACGCGACCAAAGUGUCGUGUAUAAUGAUCGCUACCAUGACUACUGAGCUUCAGAAGUCCUAUGAGGACUUUUGGCCUUAUGAAAUGCACCAGGAUUUGAUGAAAGGUACCAUCAAAGUGCUCGAUAGGAGAGGUAUGAGAUCAUUGCUUCCAUGAUCACGACCAAAAUGAAGGAUAGAGAAUCCAUCACGACCUACUUGCAAAAGAUGCAAAGUUUUGUGGACCGCUUGCUGAAGUUGAAUGUCAACUUUGAUGAAGAGUUAGCUAUAUAUAUUAUUCUACACUCUUUACCACCUUGUUAUGAUUAGUUUCGUAUAACUUAUCAUAUGAACAAGGUGGAGGUCACUCCAAGCAAGAUUCAAGUUCUCUUGAGAACUGCUGAAAGUAGUUUGAAAGGUAAAUCUGUUGUACCUACUCCUACUACAAAUUCCCCUGUCCUGGCAAUUGAACAUAGAAAGGGAAAGAAGAAGAAGACUCCUUCCAAUAGUCAUAAGGGAAAGUCCCACGCUGGAUCCUCUUCUAGUGUAACCAAAGUUGGUUCUGUCACACCCUCUUCCAAUCCAAAGGAAGCCGAGUGCUUCUAUUUCCAUGAAAAAGGGCGCUAGAGACGAAGCUGACCCAAAUACUUGCAGGACAUAAAGGAUGGGAAGAUCAAACCCUCCUUUGCAGGUAUUUAUACUAUUCUAUCUAAUAACUCAUCACAUGCUAAUUCUUGGGUCCUUGAUAUAGGAUGUGGUUUUCAUAUUUGUUCUGAUUUGCAGAGUCUAAAAAGAAGUAGGGAUGUGGAGCACGGGAAGAUGAACUUAAUCAUGGGGAAUAGGAAAAAUUCGCUUGUCACCAAGAUUGAAGUUUAUUCUUUAUUGCUUAGUAGUGGGUUAAAAUUAGAUUUGAAUAAUUGUUGCAACACGUCUGAUAUGGCGAGAAAUAUUAUUUCCUUUAACAGUUUGUAUGAACAAGGUUUUACCUUUUCUUUUAAUAAUGAAAUUGGUUCAAUAAAUGAUUAUUUUAAUGGUGUAUUUUAUUUUGAAGAAUUACCUUGUAAUGGCAUAUAUGAAACUGUGAUAGUCGUAGAUAACUUAGGAAAUAAUGUGUUGCAUAUUGAUUCAUCCAAUGAUUUGGAUAAAGCAUGCUUAUGGCAUUAUCAUCUUGGACAUGUCAACAAGAAGUGCAUAGCCCAACUCCAAAAGGACGGAGUGUUGGAAUCAUUUGACUUAAAGUCAGAUGACACUUGUGCAUAUUGUUUACUUGGAAAGAUGACUAAGUCACCCUUCACUGGUUCUUGUGUAAGGGGUGAAGGUUUGUUGGACCUCAUACAUACUGAUGUGUGUAGAUCCUUUAGAGUCGGCACAAGGGAUGCUAACGGCUUCUAUGUGACUUUUACUGAUGAUUACAACAUAUAUGAAAAUGUCUACUUAAUCAAGCAUAAGUUAGAAACUUUGAAAAGUAAAAAUUGUUUAAGCAAGAAGUGGAGAAUCAAUUGGGUAGGAAGAUACAGAUUUUUCGAUUUCAUUGUGGAAGAGAGUAUCUUAGUAUUGAGCUCCACGACUAUCUUAAGGAAUGUAGAAUUGUCUCACAAUUGACGCCACCUAGGACACCAAAUCUUAAUGGUGUAGUGUCACAACUAGGAAUGUUGAUGCCUUGUAAACAUUGAACAAUGAUAACGAAUGUGAACCAACAAUGUGGAAGCAUGUAGGAUGCUUAUUCAAUAACAACAGAAUUUCAAUUAAACACUUCAUACAAGCACUGCAGAUAGUCACCAAAGAAUUGGAAACCCUAGAAAUCCCGGUUUAUGUCCAUUCUGGACUAGGAUUUCCUUAUUGGGCCAAUGGGCCAGUAGGCUUCCAAUUUGACUAUCUUGGGCUUAUAACUCUUAAAUGGGCUCUAAUUGGACCCACUUCCAUAUAUUUUAAAUAUUUUGGGCCAUAUUGGGCCUAGAAUGAAAUAAAAUACCUAAAUGGACCUUCUUGGGCCAUAACUAACCUAAUUAGCCCUAAUUAGCCAUAAAAAUCAUUUCUUGAUUUACUUUGGGCCAAAAGCUAUCUAAUUGAACUAUAAUGUGGGCUUAAGCACUCAAGGCCUAAUUUUCUUUCUUCCUUCCUCCUUCUCUCGGCCCAACUACAGAAAAUGGAGAGGAAGAGUUGACUUUUAAGGUUGCCACCUCAUUAAUACACCGCAUACUUCCAUGCAAGGACCAACAUGCAUCUAAGAUAGUCACCUCAACUCUCUCUUUCUCUUCUUCUUCUUGAUUCUCGGCUGAGAGGAGACACACACACACACACUCACAAAAUUCAUUCCAACUCUUUCCAAAUUCCCUCAAGAACACUUGCACUCAUUCUUCAAAAUUUCGAGAUCUAGAGCUAUUCAAGGAGUUUCUUCCACAAAAAUCAUCAUCCAAGGUAAGUUGGAGCUUAAAUCUAUAAUUUAACUCACUUCUUUUCAUCAAAAAUCACCUCUUAAUCCUUUCAAAUUCAUGAUCUUGCAUCUUAGAAACCCUCUAAGUUCGAGAUCAACAAAGGAGGGCUUGCUAGGGCCAAAAGUAACAUCAAACUUCUUCCAAUCUUCUUCAAAAACGAAAUCACAACUCAAGGUGAGUUUCAUACCCCCUUCUUUUCGGUUUUUAUGAGUUUUAUGGGGGAGAAUACAAGUAAAUGUGUAGAUCUAUGUGUAAAUGUAUGCUAUGUGUGAUUUGAUGCAUGUAUGUGUGUGGUAUCAUGUGUUUUGUGAUGAAUAUGUUAUCCAAAAAGUGUGUAAAAACCGAGAUCUAAAACAUGAGGAAGGAAAUAAACAUAACUUAAACUAUUUUACACUAAUCAAGUCAAGAAAAAUAGUUUAAAUGGUUAGGAUGACAUACUUGAACAUAAAACCCAUUUUUGGGCUUAAAUUGUCAAAAAUUCAAAACUGUAAAAGUUGCGAAAUUGGGGGUUUUAACUGAGAAAACAUCAUUCUGGAAAGGCUAAAGCUAUUUACAAAAUAAAUUUUGGGUUAAAAAUGUCUUUUCAACAAGUUUAUGAUACAAAAGUGUAAAAAAAUGUUCUAAGGACUAAAAAUGAAAUUCUUUUAUAUAAAGGACUAAAAGUGCUAUUUUUAUAAAAGAAAGGUUGUGAAAAGGUAAAAAUCUUACUUUUAAACAAAUUAAUUCAUUAAGACAAAAUACAAGAUCCACGACUACCGACGAAACUAAAAAACAAAUACACUCUCAACAACAAAUAUUGUUACAAAACGAAUUGAUUCAGUCUCGAAUCAAUAAUAAAACAAAAAUCAAUAACCCAAGUAAUUCGUUAAACACGCGAUAACUAUGAUGAGUCAACAUACAAACUUUGGGCUUGAAAGUUUCAAAUCGUGCUUGUUGGGCCUUGCUAGCCCAAUAACAUGAUCUUUGGGCCUGAAGGGAAUGCGCUCCCAAUUCCAUGUAAAAGGACUUUCAAUAGCUCUAUUGUGCUAUUGGGCCCUAGUGGUCCAUUAGUACUGCUAGUGAGGCCGAGAAGUCAAAUGCGAGCUGGACCAAGUGUCUUUCGCAUUCCCGAUAGCCCGGAAUAACUCAUGGAAGCAAGAGAGGGCUUCGUACCCUCCUUUCUCCUCGGUUGACCGGCCUAUAAGAAUUCGAGUAAUCAGAUUCGUGGCGUUAAUCAAGAGAAGUCAGGGUGGUUGGAUUAGGUGAGUAGUACAAACGACGCCUUAAGGAUCGUUCGUAACCUGUAGUUACAAACUAGUCAUUUUCAUUAAUGCGUGAUUGUAACAACUCACAAACCUUAAUUAAUCCAAUGUCACCUGGGUAAUAAAAAACAAUCGUCGUAUCGGUAUAACAAUAAACAAGUCAUGUAAUUUACGUAUUGGGAAAACAUUGGGUUUUCCCGGGAAGUUCAACAUUUUCACCUAUGUGUUGUAUACAAAGUUCCACAAUUAUACAUGUUUUAAAAACCUACAAGCAUAUUUACGGAUCUUCACACUUUUUAUAAACAAAUACUCUUUUCAGAAAAUAUCGGAUUUUAUGGGUUUUACAAACUACACCAAACUAUUUUGCUACAACAUUACUUAUGAACUCACCAAUAUUUCAUAUGUUGAUUUUUUCAAAAUAACUUGUAUUCUCAGGUAAUAGGUUAGCCGAAGAAUAAGUACCAAGUUAUGUCAUGGUGUUUUGCUUAGAUUACCUAUCGAACGGUUUAUGUUAUGAAAUUGUAAUGACUAAAACAAUGUAAUAGAUGUAAACAAUAUUAGUUGUAUUAUUUCAAUGCAUGGUGAUGAAUGAUGUUAUGAUUCAUGUAUAAUCAUUGUGAUGGUAUUCAAUUUAAGUCACAAGAGCCCUCAGACGUUUCCGCCGUCUGGUUCGGGGGUGUGACAGGUUGGUAUCAGAGCUCUGUUUAUAGUGAACUAGCAUAUCUAACCACACAUUGAUAUGCAACUAUAAACCAAAAAGAGGGACUAACACAACUCUGAACAAAACAAGUAAAACAUAACAAUAAAAACACCCUUACUUGUAUUAGGAAAAAGAACAUAAUACCGAACCAAACAAGAUAAUGCUUGUAUCUCGGUUAAGCCAUGACUGUUCUUAGUCGUAUCAAGGAGUGGAUGUAGCCUGAUCAACUACAUUCCCUCCAAGGUACAACUAUCACAUGUCCUGAGGAAAUCGUGAUGACUAGGGAAUCUAAAAACAUACCCCUUUAUCACCAAAAAGAGAACAUCCGUUCAAUCUAUGCAAUAGUUGUAGAGUCAUAGGAGUAAUGAUAGUUUAUUCGUAUACCUCCUCCCAGUCUUCAUGGAAGGAGAGCUGCAUGGCAUUCAGUUUCAUCAAGUCUUAGUGGCUCAUGGGAUGCUUGAAGAUGAACCUGAAGGGAAUGAAGGGGAAGCACACAACGUCGGGCCUGACGAGUACACGGACACCGACUACGAGUUCGAGGAGGCCGAUGAUGACAUGGAGAAAGAAUAAGACUCGGGCAAAGAUCACACCACGUCCUCUAUCAGCGAGGUGCAACAGGACCACCCUGCCCCACCAGUGAAUCCCACAAGGGAGAAUCGCUCCCCCGAAGUUGAGAUUGCCGCCCUGCGGCAACAGCUGUUCUCCAUGGAAGCACGUGCAGUGCGAGCUGAGCAUGAGAGGGAUGAGGUCAUUGGGGACAUGAGUGAGAUGGCUCAGUUGUUGGCUCAACACUUCGGCAUAUGAUCUCGCCACUAUCUUAGGACACUCCAUAGAGUAUUAGGGAUAGACUUACCUUACUAUGUUAUUAGGAUCACAACCUCACAAAAACCACAGACACUCAACAUCUUUCCGUUCCAUGACAUAAAGAUGCGUCAACGACCCACUCGUGGAAACCAUGGGCCAACCCCACCCGAAGUCGACUCAGCUGCAUUCCAAGCAGCUGUAUCUGCUGCACUCACCUCAGCAAUGGCACAAAUUCACCAAGGGAACAAUGGAGGAGUCAACGGAAAAGGGUCCGGAAGUUCGAACAACGGGAUGAAUCAAGGACCCACCAAAACAUGUUCCUACAAAGACUUCACCAACGCCAAACGACAAACCUUUAACAGCACUGGAGGGACGAUCACCCUGAAAUGCUGGAUCGAGAAGGUGGAAUCGGUAUUCGAGACAUGCGAUUGUCCUGAGGAGAUGAAGGUGAAGUUUCCCGCAUGCACUUUUGUUGACCAAGCGCUCACUUGGUGGAACGGACACGUGGAAGCCAUGACACUCCCGAUAGCCAAUUCCAUGCCAUGGACAGAGAUGAAAGAAAUGUUGCUGGCCGAGUAUUGCCCUCAUGGUGAAAUUCAGAAAAUGGAACAAGAGCUGUGGAAUCUCACUGUCCGGAACGCUGAUAUAGAUGCCUACAUAUCAAGGUUUAGCGAACUGUCUCUGCUGUGCCCUGGCAUGAUUACCUCAGAAGGUAAGAAGGUCGAGCGAUUCAUCUGGGGACUAACCUCCCCGAUCCAAGGAAAUGUGAUAGCUGCAAAUCCCGAAACUUUUGACAGUGCCAAGAGAUUGGCCAAGAAGUUGUAUGACCACAACAACAAGAAGGGUGAGAAGCCAGUGGAGACUGAAGUUAAGAAGGAAAAUGAUAGCAAGAAGGGGAAGAACAACAAGAGAAAGGGACGUCAAGGAUCCGAAUCAUCCAAGAAGCAGCAAACAGUGGCAGUUAAUGUUGUGACCACUCAAGUUCCAUCCACACCACAUGCUCCAGCCUCAGCUGCUCCAAGUGCUCCUAGACCUUAUUCUGGUAAUCUUCCCAAGUGCAACAAGUGUGGUCUCCAUCACAAUGGAGAAUGCAUAGAGAUGCAGUGCACCAGUUGCAAUUGGAAGGGGCACACGGCAAAGUACUGCAGGACUUACCCUCCUCAGAACCAACAACAGGGAAACAAUAACAACAAUAACCGCAACACCAACAACACCAACAAUGGCGGCAACAAUGCAGGACCUAGCCACACCUGCUAUGGAUGCGGAAGGACUGGGCAUUUCCGUCAAAACUGCCCCAACAACAACAAUCCCGGAAAUGGAGGAACAGGAAGGGUGCUGACCAUGGGUCAGGGAGAAGUGAUUCAGGAUCCCGCUAUUGUUACCGGUACGUUUCUCCUAAACCACACUUAUGCAUGCAUCCUAUUUGAUACUGGAGCAGAGCGAAGUUUUGUGAGCAAUAAGUUUAAACAUUUGUNAGUGGAGUGAAGUUUUGUGAGCAAUAAGUUUAAACAUUUGUUUAAACAACAACCCAGAAGCUCAAUGAAACCUUUACGGUGGAAAUGGCCAAUGGGAAAACCGAAUCCACUGGGGAAGUCUACAUCGGAUGUACCCUAACUCUAAAUCAACACGUAUUCCGAAUAGACUUAAUGCCUAUUUCCAUUAGGAGUUUUGAUGUGAUUAUUGGCAUGGACUGGUUAAGCCCCCACCAUGCUAAAAUUAUGUGUCACGAGAAGGCGGUUCGCCUUCACCUCCCUGACCACGAAACCCAAGUUAUAUACAGAGACAAACCUAGCACGAACCUUCGUCUCAUCUCGUGCGUCCAGGCUCAGAAGCAUCUGCGAAAGAAUGAGUUGACGUUCCUGGCGCACAUAGUGGAUAAAACCAAGGAAGAGGUUAACAUUCGAGACAUUCCAGUAGCAUGUGAAUUCCCAGAAAUAUUUCCCGAGGAUCUUCCUGGAGUACCCCCAGAGAGACAAGUUGAAUUCCGAAUUGAUCUUGUUCCAGAAGCUACUCCCAUCGCUAAAUCGCCUUACCGAUUAGCUCCUACUGAGAUGCAGGAAUUGUCCAGUCAACUCAGUGAACUCCUGGGCAAGGGAUUCAUCCGACCCAGCUUCUCGCCAUGGGGAGCUCCAGUCCUCUUUGUCAAGAAAAAGGACGGAUCUUUUAGGAUGUGCAUCGAUUACAGGGAACUAAACAAGCUCACUUUCAAAAAUCGAUAUCCACUACCAUGAAUCGACGAUCUAUUUGACCAGCUCCAAGGAGCUAGAUACUUCUCUAAGAUAGAUCUACGAUCCGGGUACCAUCAACUCAAGGUCCGGGAAGAGGAUAUUCCCAAAACCGCUUUCCAAACUCAUUACGGACAUUAUGAAUUUGUCGUAAUUCCCUUCGGUCUAAUGAAUGCCCCUGCCGCAUUCAUGGACCUAAUGAAUUGAAUCUGCCAACCAUUCCUCGACAACUGUGUUAUUGUUUUCAUUGACGACAUUCUAGUCUAUUCCCAAAGUGAAGAAGAGUAUGGCCAACAUCUCCGACAAAUCCUGGAAACCCUGCGAACUGAGAAGCUAUACGCAAAACUCUCCAAGUGUGAGUUCUGGCUCCGUUGCGUGAACUUUUUGGGUCAUGUUAUUAGUCAGGAAGGAAUACAUGUGGAUCCUUCAAAUGUCAAAGCCAUCGAAGGAUGGGCAGUCCCGACAACACCCACAUAAAUUCGCCAAUUCUUAGGCCUAGUAGGUUACUACAGGAGGUUCAUUCAGAACUUCUCUAAGAUCGCCAAGCCAUUUACCUCGCAUACACAAAAGGGCGUACCCUUCAAAUGGACGGACAAACAAGAAGUUGCAUUCUGAACUCUGAAGCGAGCACUCUGCAGUGCCCCGGUACUAUCUCUACCAGAGGGAAUGGAAGAUUUCGUGGUGUACUGUGACGCGUCAAAUCAGGGUUUAGGUUGCGUUCUCAUGCAGCGUGGAAAAUUGAUAGCUUACGCAUCCUGCCAACUAAAGACACACGAAGUGAAUUAUACAACCCACGAUCUAGAAUUGGGAGCAGUGGUCUUCGCUAUGAAGAUUUGGAGGCAUUACCUCUAUGGUACGAAGUGCACCAUCUUCACCGACCACAAGAGUCUCCAACACAUCCUGAAUCAAAAAGAGCUGAAUAUGAGGCAAGGAAGAUGGGUUGAACUAUUAAACGAUUAUGAGUGUGAAAUCAAGUACCACCCAUGCAAGGCUAAUGUUAUAGCUGAUGCCUUGAGCCGGAAAGAGUACUCUAAUCAUUAUGUGAAAACUCUCUCAGUAACCAUCCAAUCUCGCCUAACCACUCAGAUUAGGGCAACCCAAUCAGAUGCCAUGAAGGCGGAAAACAAAACAAGCGAAGCAUUAUGCGGGAUGGAGAAGAAUCUCGAGGUGAAAGAGGAUGGAGUAUACUAUUUCAUGAACCGUAUUUGGGUCCCUAAACUUGGAGGAUUUAGGGAGAUAGUCAUGAAUGAAGCUCACAUGACGGGAUACGCCAUACAUCCAGGUUCGGACAAAAUGUACUUGGAUAUUAAACAACAUUAUUGGUGGCCUAACAUGAAGGCAGAGAUUGCCACCUAUGUCAGCAAAUGCCUUACUUGCGCCAAAGUGAAGGUGGCAUACCAUAAGCCCUCAGGAUUAUUACAACAACCAGUAAUUCCCGAGUGGAAAUGGGAAGGGAUUUCUAUGGACUUUGUGACCAAGCUACCCAAGACAUCAGAUGGAUUGGACACUAUAUGGGUAAUAGUUGACCGACUGACGAAAUCCGCUCAUUUCCUGCCAACAAAAGAAUUCUACAAGAUGGAGAGACUGACAAGAAUAUACAUUCGAGAAAUUGUGAGGCUUCAUGGAGUUCUAGUGUCUAUUAUCUCGGAUAGAGAUAGUAGGUUCACUUCACGUUUUUGGCAAUCACUUCAGAAAGUACUGGGAACCCAUCUCGACAUGAGCACUGCUUAUCACCAACAAACGGAUGGUCAAAGUGAAUGAACCAUUCAAACGCUUGAAGACAUGCUUCAUGCAUGUGUGAUAGACUUUGGGAAGUCCUGGGAUACCCACUUACCCUUAGUUGAAUUCUCGUAUAACAACAGUUACCAUUCGAGCAACAAAGUCGCUCCUUUCGAAGCGCUAUAUGGACGUAAGUGUAGAUCACCGUUGUGUUGGGAUGAGGUGGGCGACACCCAGCUAGCGAGGGGACUAGCAUCAUACAAGACAUUAACGGGACUGGAGAUCAUACGGGAAACCACAGAAAAGAUAGUUCAAAGCAGAGCUCGACUACAAGCAUCAAGCGACCGACAAAAGAGAUAUGCUGAUAAACGGUGAAAGCCCUUAGAGUUUCAGGUCGGGGAUCGAGUGCUGUUAAAAGUUUCUCCCUAGAAAGGGGACAUUCGUUUUGGAAAACGGGGAAAACUCAACCCACGAUACAUUGGACCUUUCGAGGUUCUUGCCCGAAUUGGUCCAGUGGCGUACAGACUGCAGCUACCCACGGAGCUCAGCAGUGUACACCUUGUGUUCCAUGUUUCCAAUCUAAAGAAGUGCCUAUCCGAUGAAACUCUCGUCAUUACCCUUGACGAAAUUGAAAUCAACGAGAAUCUCCUGUUCAUCGAAGAACCGGUCGAAAUCAUGGACAGGGAGGUGAAGCGUACUAAGCAAAGUCGCAUCCUGAUCGUGAAAGUAUGGUGGAACGCAAAGCGUGGGCCAGAAUUCACGUGGGAACGCGAAGACCAAAUGAAGCAAAAGUACCCUCAUCUAUUCUAACAUUCUCAAAUCUAGCUUUCAAAAGAAUUUUGGGACAAAAUUCCCUCUAACGGGGGGAUGAUGUCACAACUAGGAAUUUUGAUGCCUUGUAAACAUUAAACAAUGAUAAAAAAAAUGUGAACCAACAAUUUGGAAGCAUGUAGGAUGCUUAUUCAAUAACAACAGAAUUUCACUCAAACACUUCAUACAAGCACUGUAGAUAGUCACCAAAGAAUUGGAAACCCUCGAAAUCCCGGUUUAAGUUCAUUAUGGACUAGGAUUUCCUUAUUGGGCCCAAUCGGCCAAUAAGCUUCCAAUUUGACUAUCUUCAGCUUAGAACUCUUAAAUGGGCUCUAAUUGGAACCACUUCCAUAUAUUUUAAAUAGUUUGGUCCAUAUUGGGCCUAGAAUGAAAUAAAAUACCUAAAUGGACCUUAUUGGGCCAUAACUAACCUAAUUAGCCCUAAUAAGCCAUAAAAAUCAUUUCUUGAUUUACUUUGGGCCAAAAGCUAUCUAAUUGAACCAUAAUGUGGGCUUAAGCACUCAAGGACCAAUUUUCUUUCUUCCUUCCUCCUUCUCUCGACCCAAUUACACAAAAUAAAGAGGAAGAGUUGACUUUUAAGGUUGCCACCUCAUUAAUACACCACAUACUUCCAUGCAAGGACCAACAUGCAUCUAAGAUAGUCACCUCAACUCUCUCUCUCUUCUUCUUCUUGAUUCUCGGCCGAGAGGAGACACACACACACACACUCACAAAAUUCAUUCCAACUCUUUCCAAAUUCCCUCAAGAACACUUGCACUCAUUCUUUAAAAUUUUGAGAUCUAGACCUUUUCAAGGAGUUUCUUCCACAAAAAUCAUUAUUCAAGGUGAGUUGGAGCUUAAAUCUAUGAUCUAACUCACUUCUUUUCAUCAAAAAUCACCUCUUAAUCCAUUCAAAUUCAUGAUCUUGCAUCUUAGAAACCCUCUAAGUCUGAGAUCAACAAAGGAGGGCUUGCUAGGGCCAAAAGUAACAUCAAACUUCUUCCAAUCUUCUUCAAAACCGAAAUCACAACUCAAGGUGAGUUUUAUACCCCCUUCUUUUCGGUUUUUAUGAGUUUUAUGGGGGAGAAUACAAGUAAAUGUGUAGAUCUAUGUGUAAAUGUAUGCUAUGUGUGAUUUGAUGCAUGUAUGUGUGUGAUAUCAUGUGUUUUGUGAUGAAUAUGUUAUCCAAAAAGUGUGUAAAAACCGAGAUCUAAAACAUGAGGAAGGAAAUAAACAUAACCUAAACCAUUUUACACUAAUCAAGUCAAGAAAAAUAGUUUAUAUGGUUAGGAUGAACAUACUUGAACAAAAAACCCAUUUUUGGGCUUAAAUUGUCAAAAAUACAAAGCUUAGGGUCCAAACCGACACAUUAUAGUUUCUGGAAGGGCAAAAGGGUCCAAAAAGUGUCUAUAAUAAUUUUUCUGAACAACAACAUUUUUGAGGGACUUAAAAUGUAAAUUUUGAACUUAAUGGGCUAGAUUUGGGCUUUUCGGCCCAACAAGCCUCAAAUUGCGAAAUUUACAAGUUUGAGGGGCUGGAAGUGUAACUCUCUGUAAAACAGGGGAUUUGAAGUGUAAUAAAACUAUUUCAAAUGUCAAAAAUUCUUUUCAAAUUCAAAAAGGAUAAAAAAUGUAAAUUUUUUCUAUUUUGGGCCAAAACUGUAAAAGUUGCGAAAUUGGGGGUUUUAACCGAGAAAACAUCAUUCUGGAAGGGCUAAAGCUGUUUACAAAAUAAAUUUUGGGUUAAAAAUGUCUUUUCAACAAGUUUUGAUACAAAAGUGUCAAAAAAAUGUUCUAAGGACUAAAAAUGAAAGUCUUUUAUAUAAAGGACUAAAAUUGUUAUUUUUAUAAAAGAAAGGUUGUGAAAAGGUAAAAAUCUUACUUUUAAACAAAUUAAUUCAUUAAGACAAAAUAAAAGAUCCACGACUACCGACGAAACUAAAAAACAAAUACACUCUCAACAACAAAUAUCGUUACAAAACGAAUUGAUUCGAUCUCGAAUCAAUAAUAAAACAAAAAUCAAUAACCCAAGUAAUUCGUUAAACACGCGAUAACUAUGAUGAGUCAACAUACAAACUUUGGGCUUCAAAAGUUUCAAAUCGUGCUUGUUGGGCCUUGCUAGCCCAAUAACAUGAUCUUUGGGCCUGAAGGGAAUGCGCUCCCAAUUCCAUGUAAAAGGACUUUCAAUAGCUCUAUUGUGCUAUUGGGCCCUAGUGGUCCAUUAGUACUGCUAGUGAGGCCGAGAAGUCAAAUGCGAGCUGGACCAAGUGUCUUUCGCAUUCCCGAUAGCCCGGAAUAACUCAUGGAAGCAAGAGAGGGCUUCGUACCCUCCUUUCUCCUCGGUUGACCGGCCUAUGAGAAUUCGAGUAAUCAGAUUCGUGGCGUUAAUCAAGAGAAGUCAAGGUGGUUGGAUUAGGUGAGUAGUACAAAUGACGCCUUAAGGAUCGUUCGUAACCUGUAGUUACAAACUAGUCAUUUUCAUUAAUGCGUGAUUGUAACAACUCACAAACCUUAAUUAAUCCAAUGUCACCUGGGUAAUAAAAAACAAUCGUCGUAUCGGUAUAACAAUAAACAAGUCAUGUAAUUUACGUAUUGGGAAAACAUUGGGUUUUCCCGGGAAGUUCAACAUUUUCACCUAUGUGUUGUAUACAAAGUUCCACAAUUAUACAUGUUUUAAAAACCUACAAGCAUAUUUACGGAUCUUCACACUUUUUAUAAACAAAUACUCUUUUCAGAAAAUAUCGGAUUUUAUGGGUUUUACAAACUACACCAAACUAUUUUGCUACAACAUUACUUAUGAACUCACCAAUAUUUCAUAUGUUGAUUUUUUCAAAAUAACUUGUAUUCUCAGGUAAUAGGUUAGCCGAAGAAUAAGUACCAAGUUAUGUCAUGGUGUUUUGCUUAGAUUACCUAUCGAACGGUUUAUGUUAUGAAAUUUUAAUGACUAAAACAAUGUAAUAGAUGUAAACAAUAUCAGUUGUAUUAUUUAAAUGCAUGGUGGUGAAUGAUGUUAUGAUUCAUGUAUAAUCAUUGUGAUGAUAUUCAAUUUAAGUCACAAGAGCCCUCGGACGUUUCCGCCGUCUGGUUCGGGGUUUGACAUGUAGCUGAGAGGAACAAUCGAACCUUGCUAGACAUGGUUCAUUCCAUGAUGAGUCGAGCUUCUUUACCUAUCUCAUUCUAAGGGUAUGCCUUACAAACUGCAGCCCAUAUCCUUAAUCUAGUCUCAACUAAAAAGGUUUCCAAAACACCUCACAAAAUGUGGACAGGGAAGGUUCCCUGAUUAGCACAUAUCAAGGUUUGGGGUUGCGAGGCUUUCAUAAGACGAGAGACUCACGACAAUCUUGAAACUCGUAGUGAGCGAUGUAUUUUCAUUGACUACCCAUAGAAAUCCUUUGGAUAUCUGUUCUAUAGACCAAGUGACAAUGUUGUGUUCGUUGCAUGGAUAAGAGUUUCCCGCGAGAGGGAACUCAUAUGCCAGAUGGACAGUGGGAGGAAAAUUGACCUUGAAGAGCUUCAAGAGUUAAGUGAUUAAGGAACCUCAAACACUAAUGCUCAACUCGAGGAGGAAACUCCUGUUGAACCAAUUAACGAGUCCUUAACUCUAAGGCGUUCUGGUAAAGUUAGACAGGCAUCUGAGUUUUAUGGUUUCCAUAUUACUUCUUGUAACAUCCCCAAACCGAAUUGGCGGAAACAUUCGGGGGCGGAGGACGUCACGCACAGUAUCAUAACAAUGCAUAAUAGUAAACAAGCAACAACAUCAUCAAUUGCAUUAAUAGAAUAAUUUAUACAUGUGUGUUUUAAAUGUAAAUACUUAUAUAUAUAUAUAUAUAUANNNNNNNNNUGUGCUCCGUCUUCUCAAAACCUGUCACUUGUACCUGUCUACUGGUGACCUGAGAAUACAAGUUAUUUUGAAAGAGAGGAUCAACAUUUAAGUUGGUGAGUUCAUAAGUAUUUUAGUGUAAAAUGUUUGUAUAAGAAAAUGUUUGUUGUAAAAGUUUUUGUAAAUGUUUGUAGUGAAAGUUUGUUGUAAAUGUUUGUAUUUCCUAGAAAAUCCAAUAUUUUCUACUAUAAAUGUAGCCAUCUACCAAGACCCAAAUGUUCUGAAUGCUGUUUGUUUGUAAAAGUGUGUGUUUUUCCCAGUGUUCUAAAAGGCGCUCCAUGGCGGGUGCCAAGGCGCACCAUGGCGUGAGGCGCGACGUCACCGUUACGAAAAGCUUCAUAACGUUGCUGUUAGGCGUGGCGUGUGACAAGGCGUGAUAUGGCGUGACAUGGCGCGUUAUGGCGUGUUAUGGCGCGUGUUUUUUCGUUUGAGACACGUUUUUUUGCUCUUUUUUAUACCUUUUCUAAUCGGACAUACAAGUAUUUUGUUUUUUAUUAACUUUCUGUUAUUAGUUGUUGAUAUAACACUUCUAAAAACUAGAUAUAUUUGAUAUAAAUUUAUAUUUAUGCGGUAAUAUAAUUAUAAAUUAAUACAAAAUCGCCGCCUUACAUCACGCCUUGAAAAACGCCAUGGCUCGCCAUAACUCGUUAAGCUUGAGGCUUGGCCUUGCCGCCACGCCAUGCCUCACGCCUUUUAGAACCUUGGUUUUUCCUAAGUAUGACUAUCAUUACAAAAAUAUAGUUUUACGUUUCCGUUUAUGUGAGAAGAUCACAAAGUGAAUGAAAUAAAUAAAAUAAUAAUGUAUUGUAGUAUUGUAUAUAGUAACUAUUGUUGUACUAACUACCUUAAACCAAUUGUUAAUUAAGGUAUAAUGUGAUAUGAUUGUAACCAUACUUGAUAGACUUGUAGACAACACGAUGCUCGAAGACGUUGAAAUGUUAUGACAUUCGUCACCCGUAGACCUGCAGGUCCCACUGUAGCUAGCAGCAUGGUGUAGGAUGGUCAAUCCAGUAUAGAUCUAUACAUAAAUUCACGCUCUCCCUCCAGGAGACUCUGGUUACAAAACGUGACAUAGCAGUAUGAUGCCAUGCCAUGAAUUAGUGGCUCACAUUAAUGUUAUAGUAUUCUUGUAUUUGUAUAGUAUGCUCUGUCUGUUCUAGUGUAUUGUAUGUUCUCUUUCUAUAGUGUAUAGUAUGUUCCUUUGUAUAGUGUAUAGUAUGUUGGUCCUUGUUUCUCAUUAUAGUAUGGUCUUUAUGUUUCUCAUUAUAGUAUAUUCUUUCUAUUUCUCGUUAUAGUAUGUUUGAACUGACUCAUGUAUGAACUGACUCUUGUAUGUUUCAUUGUACUAGAAAUAGUGAAUAGUAAUCUCCUAAACUAUACCUAUUAUAGUUUACUAGUGAUGUUGUUUGAAUAACUGAGUAUGCUGUACACCUUUGAUACUCAAAAGCGUUAAACUGAUGUAUGAAACUUUUAUAUCUAUACAAAUAUACAUAAUAUAUAACUAAGAUCCAAAUGACAUUCGGACAAACAACCGAUACCCUAAGUCCACAACCAAACAAGGAACACGAAAUAAAGUGAGUUAUCAGUCCUAAGCCUUUUCAAUCUUAUUUAUAUAACUAUAUCUGAAUAGACAUGAUUUUGACAAUAUAUAAGUUUAAUAGAUUUUGAUAAAGUGUGUAGCAUACAAAAGAGUUUGACAAAAGGGUUUUGAAAUAGUUUGUUUGAUAACACAGUUUUGAUGUAUAAGAAAUCCACUUGUUUGAUAGUUAUUAAUCACAUGUGAUUGAUAUAAUAACUAUAAUGUUUCUACUUGUAUCCCCCCAUAAAAGCAUUUAAAAUCAUUUAAAAGGUAAGUUAGGGGUAUGAACUCACAUGCAGUGAGUGAUUCAAAUGUAAGAUCGAUUGUAGGAUGCUAAGUGUCAUGUGAAGCCUUGAGCACAAACGGAUCCUAUUAAGCAUAUAAUGACACAUAUAUGGAUAUAAUUAGUGUAUGUAUAACUAAUCAUGCAAGGAAACCACCUUAGGGACUAGGAAAAACACUUAGAAUGAAGUAUUAUAAUCACAUGUGAUUGCAUCAAAGGGGUUUACGGCCACACUAAGGUGUGUAUGGCCAAAGUGGUCUACGGCCAUUGAGUGUACGAUCAUGGAGUGUAUGGCCGUACACUCAUAGAAGAAACAUGCAAAAAGGGUUGUUUACGACCCUAUCUAGCAUGCAUUAAGUGCUUACGAUCCCAAGUUGGGACAUAAAGACUAGUUUGAGGCCAAAACAUGCACCAACACAAGGGUUUACUGCCAUGCAAGGGUUUAAGGCUAUAAACUCUUGAUGUUCAUGUACUUUAUGAUGUUUCAAGGCUAGGAAUCGAGUGUUUAUCAAGCCUAACUAGAAGAUAGAAGAGGUACUUACACUUUUGAAGGUUCCUUGGGAGCUCACAAUCCAAGAACUAGUAGGUGUUGUUGGAGUUCUUAGUGAAAGUGAAGAAGAUUUGAAGAUCUUAGAAAAGAGAUAAUUUCAUGGAUGAAAUCAUGGAUCUUCACUAGAUAAGCAAUGUAUCAACAAAUAAAUGGAAGGAAUACUUACAUUUUUGAAGAUCAAGGUGAAAAGCUUGAUGAUAGUUGAGAGAGAAUUGAGUUUCUUGAGUUGGAAGUGGGAAAAAGUGAUGAAAAAUGAAGGAAUAUCAUAUAUAAGGGAGGAGUUCACGGCCAACCAAGGGUUUACGAUCGUAAACCCUAGUUUUCGGCCGUAAACUCCAAUACUCGGAGUUUUCUGGCUUGUAUGCUACACACCGAACUCUAAAAUAUACUUCCUAACACUCUAUCCUUGAGGGUACUAGGCUUGAAACACUCAAACAGACCCUUAGUAAGGCUAAAAGAUAACAAAAACAAGUCUAACUUUGAUUGAAUUGAAUGGCUGUGGAAGAUAGAAAUUUCGAGUUGUCACACUUCUGAAGGUGAUACAUUUAUCAGUGAUAGUACACUGGUAAAUUUGGAUGAACCUAACAAUUACAAGGAAUCCAUGGUAGGCCCCGAGUCUGCUAAAUGGAAAGAGGCGAUGGACAGUGAGAUUAUGUUCAUGUAUAACAAUCAAGUUUGGAACUUCGUUGACAAUGUACCAGGUCGUAAGAUAGUCGGGUGCAAAUGGAUCUUUAAGAAGAAGACCGACAUAGAUGGGAAAGUACACACUUAUAAGGCUUGAUUGGUUGCGAAGGGCUUUACUCAAACUCCUGGACUUGACUAUGACGAGACCUUCUCACCAGUAGCGAAGAUUAAAUCUAUAAGGGUUAUGCUAGCCAUUGCUGCAUUUCAUGAUUAUGAAAUAUGGAAAAUGGAUGUCAAAACCGCUUUCCUUAAUGGGAAGUUGGUUGAGGAUGUUUACAUGAAUCAGCCAGAGGGUUUUGUCAAUGCAAAGUCCCCUAAUAGAGUGUGUAAGCUUGAGAAAUCCAUUUAUGGAUUGAAACAAGCAUCUCGCAGAUGGAAUCUUUGUUUUGAUGAGAAAGUCAAAGAGUUUGGUUUCUCAAGAAGCAAGGAUGAGUCAUGUAUGUAUGUCAAAGCUAGUGGGAGUAUAGUUAGCUUUCUUGUGUUGUAUAUGGAUGACAUACUACUCAUAGGAAAUGACAUCCCAGCCUUGCAGGAGGUUAAGUCUUGGCUUGGGAAGUGUUUCGCGAUGAAAGACCUCGGAGAAGCUGCCUAUAUUCUAGGGAUAAGGAUAUUGAGAGACAGGAGUAAAAGACUAAUAAGAAUUACUCAAAUUAGCUACUUAGACAAGGCGUUUCAACGUUUCAACAUGCAGGAUUCCUCGAGAGGAGAAUUACCUAUCCAAAGCAAUGCCAUACUGAGUAAGACUCAAAGUGCAAGUAUCGAUGUUGAAAUAGUAGAAAUGAGUCGAAUACCAUAUGCUUCUUUAGUUGGUUCGAUCAUGUAUGUUAUAACCUAUACUCGACCUCAUGUAGCCUUUGCAUUGAGCAUGGUUAACAGAUAUCAAGGGAAUACUGGUAAAGCUCACUGGACUACGGUAAAGAACAUUCUUAAGUACCUUUGAAGGACUAAGGACUGGAUCCUUACCCUUGGUGGGAGUGAUGACUUAAGAGUGGUAGGGUAUAGUGAUGCCGGCUUUCAGACCGAUAGAGAUAAUUUCCGCCCUCAGUCAGGCUAGAUAUUUACCCUAAAUAGAGGAGCAAUAACAUGGAAAAGUUCCAAAUAGGAGACUAUAGCUGAUUCAACGUGCAAAUCAGAGUAUAUAGCAGUGAGUGGAGCGUUGAAGGAGGCAAUAUGGCUGAAGAACUUCAUCGGAGACCUUGGAGUUGUACCAGCUAUAAAGGAGCCCAUGGAGAUUUUGUGUGAUAACAACAGUGCGGUUUCCUUAUCCAAGGAAUCAAGAGAUCAUUGCAAAUCAAGACACAUCAACAGAAAGUAUCAUUACAUAAGACAUCAAGUAGAAGAGGGAGUCCUCAUGGUUAAGAGGGUAUCAUCAGAAGAAAAUCCAACAGAUCCCCUUACGAAGGGACUGAGUAGGGUUAAGUACUUGCAAUGCGCUAGUAGUAUCGGGCUGAAGGACGAUAUUAGUUUUAGUGAUUAGAUAGACAUUUAGAAAUUUGUAAUAAUUAAACUAUAAUUGACAUUUGAUUAUUGAAUAAAAGGUGUUUUUAUUUAAAAGUAAAGUUACUGUCUUGUUCAAUUAUUUAUUAUUGUUUCAUUUUGCAUGUUUUGACUUCAAGAAUAAUAAGAUUAUUCAAACUAUCCACAGUCGAUCAGACUUUGGAAGUAGGUAAUGAAAGAAAACUGUCAUGAUGGGUUUUUGUAUGAUUAUCUAAGGUGUUAGAUGUAGCAAAAGAUUGCUACAAACAUUCAUGAGUGUUCUUGAAAUAAGAUUUGAGUAUUGGACUAAGCCCACGCUCAUAUAUCACUUCAUGGAAUUUAUCAUGGGUGAUUGUGAGACAAUAAUAUCAUAUAAUCUUCAAACCAAGAUAUAUGAUUUUGGCGAUUAUUUGUUGAUUGUAAAUUAACUAGAUUAUAGCCCGCGUUAAACGCGGGAAACGCAUAAAAAAACAUAUAAUCGUUUUAUAGAUAUUGUAUAAUGAUUAUAUAAAAUAUAUGGUUAUUGAUAUUAUUGAAAUGUGUAGAAAAUACAUUGAAAACGAUAAAUAUAUAUAAUCAUUGAAAGAUCUCUUUGUAGACAUCAUUUUUUUGUUUUAUUAGUUGAACGACUUUCCUCGUCUCAUAUAGUUAUGAUAUUUAUAUAUUUAUAAACAUUUUAAUUAGAUGUUCCUUGCAUAAUAAUGUUACCUAAUUUAAACAUAUAUUGACAACCAAUAUACCGUUUUUUCUAUGGCAUUAAAUAUUGACAACUAUUUCAUUUAUUCAACUAAAAUUAUGUAAUAUAAUUUAUAAAAUGUUAAAUGUUAUAGAGAUUUAAUUUUAGUAUAUCAUCAAUGGAGAUUCUUUUCUAAAUCACGAUUGGUUUAUUUUAAAUUGAUUAUAAAUAUAAAUGUUAGCUUUUAUGUUUGUUCUUAUUUAUUUGGUGUUCGCAAGAACUUUGUAUUAGUUUUGACGCAACUUUGAAUAAUUUUAGUAUAUUAUCAAUGUAAUUUGAUAUAUCUUUCAAUUAUAUGAAAUAUCAAAUAAUGACAUUUCAUUACUAUUGUGAUAAUUUAGUUUAUAUAUUGUAUUUUCACUAAUCUUAACGGUCUUAUUUUUUCUAAUAACCGUAACGCUUUUACUAAAUGUACUUUUUACAAAUCUCCUAAUAUCUUAUAAUUUUUAUCUUACUUUAUAAUUUUUCAUAACUAUGUUAUUUUCAAGAUUGACUGCUUUAAUAGUGUUUUUUUUCGGUCUAUUCAAUUUUAUAUUUCAUUGUACAACAUCAUCGUUUGUAUGUAUUCUGAAAUUUCACUUUAAAAAUGCUUAAUGUUUACACCUUGAUAUUAAUUUUUUUAAUAAACUCAUGUAAUAAUUAUGGAAUAUAUAUCUCAUUUUAAUUAACAUUCACUUCCUUUAUUAUAUCAAAUUCCUCAUUAAACGGAUAUACUUUUGGAAAAUAAUAAUUAUAAUAGGGCAGCAUUAUCUAAGACGUAAAUGUUUGAUAUACUUUUGGAGAAAAAAAAAUCAGGAUCAUUAAAAAAAAUUUAUAUAAAGAAAAUACAAAUUUAAAUUUGUUGAAAUUAUGGAUGAAAUUACUGGCGAAAAUUUAUUUUGGAGGGAGUUGUAUUUUGUAAGGUAUAAUAAUAUUACAAAAUUUGAAAUAUCUAUAUUUGUUGUGUAAAUUAAUAAAUUUUAUUGUUACUAUACAAAGAUAAAAAAGUAGGUUGAUAUGAUAUACAAAAACAUAAUAAUUUCAAUGAUAUUUUAAAAUCAUGCCAAAAUUAACCGGAUUCUUAUGACAUAAAAAUUAAAAAAAAAAUCAUAAUCAUCUCUAAUAUAUAAAAGUAACAUUUUCGUAAUUAAUGUCAGUUCCCAAGAUAGUUAAUUUUUGUUUUGUUAAAGGUACCUAAUAUCUUUUCAUGUUUAUUUGAAAAGUUUCAGAAAAGUAGUUAACUGAUUUCAUGUAAUUUGUGAUAAAGAAAAUCGAAAUAUAUGAAUACAUACAUUUGAUAUAGGAACAAAAAAUAAUCGAAAGAAAUAUAAAAAGCAAAAGAAGGUACUGACCUUCUAGCGCACAAGAGCGAAUGUUUAUAGCAGAGAAUGAUGAUGGAAGUUAUAAGCAAUAUUAAUGAUGUUGUAAGAGAAGGUUUGAAGAAAAGAAACGAUUGAAAAUAAAUGUGAGUCGCGGAUUCAAUGAUGAAUCGUAUAUUUAUGUGAUAAUUUGAAUAUGAUUUUUCGGUAUUAAUGAUUUCCUAAUAAAAAAAGAUUGUAUAUUAAUGGUUUACUAAUAUAAACGGAUUUAUAUUAAUGGUUGAUAUUAAGGCUUUGAUUGAAAUGAUUUGUUAGUAAUAUGUUUUUAAAAUUGACCAUAUUAAAAUCUUCAUAACUGAUAAUUGAAGAUGUAAAAUAUGGAAACCUUUUAUUGGAAUUAAAUACAUUCCAUUUCAACGAAUGUAAGUUAUUGAUUGAUGAUUGGAAAACAUUUAUUGGAAUUAAAUAUAUUCCAUAUGGGGAAGAUGAUGUCAUCAAUUUGAUCUAAGAGUGGAAAAAAUAAGAUUGAAAUACAAUCAAUGGUCCAGAUUAUUUAAGAUGAUAUCAUAAGGUUUCUCUUUUAGUAAUAUUUAAGAUAGUUCAAAAACGCAUCAGUAACUCGAUGUUAUAAAACGUGCUAUUAUGUAUGAUUCAGUGAAAAGUUAGCAUAAGCAUAUAAGUCAAAGUUAAUAUGUUCCUUUUAUGCUAAGAGGAUUAAAAGCGAUAUCUUGGGCCCCUCGAUGAUUUUGUUUUGACUUAUGUGUCGAGCCCAGGCAGAACUUUAUUGAUGUGUUCAAUUAAGUUCUAUGUCGAACAAAUCAGAAACCGGGAAUUAAAAUGUUGGAUAGUGAGUAUGACUUUAAUUCCAUGUAUUUGUCCAUGCGAUAUCUUGUAGAACAGAUGAUUAUAUGAUCAUUUAUCUAAUGGACGUGUCAGAGUUCGACAGUGUCUUUUUUGAGAGCUACGAUAGCUAAUCGGAUUUUAAGUUACAUUGGCAAUUACAGUUAUAAGACUUAUCCAAGUAGGAGACUAUUGGAAAAGGUGUGUAAGCCCAUAUCUAUAAUUGGUAUGUACUUGAGACGAUAGUAGCAUGGUCUAUUUGGGUUGCAUUCAUCAAAGCAAUAUGUUAGGAAGGAUAUCUGAGUAAGAGGUUAAUUAUAAUUUAUUAAUAUAUUAUAAGUAUGAUAUAUUAAUUGAGGAAUCAUAUUAUUUAAUUAGUAUUGAUCAAUAAUUUAUUUAAGAAUUAAUUUAAUGACCAAAAGAGACUAAUUAAAUUGAUUCAUAUGGAUUGGGCUAAUGUUCCAUGAUUGAUUUGUGAUGGGCUUAUGGGUUAGUCCAUGAAGUGGUUAUCUAAAUCAAAUGGGUGGAUCAUAAGCUUAUGGGUAUGGAUUAGGGUUACACAUGACACUUGAUAAUUUAUAUAUAUAUAUAUAUAUAUAUAUAUAUAUAUAUAUAUAUAUAUGUGUGUGUGUGUGUGUGUGUGUGUGUAUAUACAANUGUGUGUGUGUGUGUAUGUAUUCAUAAGCUAAAACCGGUUACACAUACCAAUUGUACUGUGAAGAGUAAGAACCUAUCUUAGAGUCUCCAUAACCUCUCCAUAUACAUCCUAAUUGUUCUUGGUGUUUUUUUUAUUCCAUUUGAGGCAUCACACUUGUGGCACUAAGCUUUCUUGAGGCCAAGUUAUUCAUGCUACUACACAAGGUAAUAUUCUAACUAGUUUUUAUGAUUCAAAUAUCACCUUGCAUGCUAGUUUAAGCUUCGUGCUUUGGAAAAUGUUUAUUGCAUGUGUAAUUAGAGAAAAAUUAGAUCGAAAGAAUUAGGGUUGUAUGUGCACCAUAGGAAUGUUAGAGUACAUAAAACCCAAUAAUUUUAUCACCAAGAUGCCGAGGACGACGAAGGGUUUCAAUGCUAUUUGGGUCAUUGUGGAUCGAUUGACCAAGAAUGGCCACUUCUUUGCUAUACGGGAGAGUUCAUCGGCUGAGAAGUUGGCCUACUUGUAUAUCCGCGAGAUCAUUGCUCUCCAUGGGGUUCCGGUCUCUGUUGUCUCAGAUUGUGAUGUUCGGUUCACCUCUUAUUUCUGGCAAAAGUUCCACGAGCAACUAGGCAUGCGGAUGCAGUUCAAUAUAGAUUAUCAUCCGCAGACAAACAACUAGAGUGAGCACACCAUAUAGACUCUCGAGGAUAUGAUGAGAACCUGUGUAAUUGACUUCGGUGGGCAUUGGGACUCCUACCUACCUCUUGCAGAAUUCUCCUACAACAACAUCUUUCAUUCCAGUAUUAGCGCCCCACCAUAUGAGUUGUUGUGGGUGGAGAUGUCGCACCCCAGUCUGUUUGGGUGAGAUCGGUCACAUGGUGAUGUGACAGAGAGAAGUAGUUCUGCAGACUACCGAGAGGAUUCAACAGAUCAGACAACGGCUGAAGACCGCUCAGAGUCGGCAGAAGAGUUACGCUAGCAGAUGCCGAUUUGAGCUGGAGAUCUAGGUGGGUGACAUUAUAUUCCAGAAGGUCUCAUCCUGGAAGGUUGUGAUUCACUUCAGGCAAAAGGGGAAGUUGGCUCCUUGAUACAUUGGGCCAUUCAGGAUUAUUGCCAUAGUUGGCGAGGUGGCUUAUAGAUUAGAUCUCCCUAAGGAGUAUCGUCAGAUCCACAUCACUUUCCAUGUUUCACAGCUAUGAAAGCGUAUUCCGGACGAGGUGACAGUAGUGUCAUUAGAUGAUAUUCAGGUCAAUGAGCACCUGAAUUACGUGGAGAGGUCGGUGGCUAUUCUUGAGAGGAAGGUGAAAGUUUUAUUGAACAAGGAAGUACCUUUGGUAAAGGUACAGUGGGAACAUAUGAGGGGAUCCGAGGGGACGUGGGAGUUGGAGGCAGAGAUGCGGGAGCACUUCCCAUACUUGUUCGCCGCAACAUUCUUCGACGACGAAGUGUAGUUCAAGUUGGAGAGAAUUAUAACACCCCGAAUCCUAGGUACAAGUUUAAAAGCAUUAUCUACAUAUUAAUGGGCCUACUCGACGAGUUGGUUGCCCCUAACUCGUAGUGUAGAGACGGGUUAGCCCGCGUGGAUCAAUAGAUCUACUCGACGAGUCGGAGGACCCGGAAUCGACGAGUAGGAGCUGAGAGAUGAAACCCUAAUUUUUAGGGUUUGCGCCCUAUUUAAAGGACCUUAAGUCCCUUCCUCCAAUCCUUUACCACCCUCUUGACGGCCAGAAAAAACCCUAAUCAAUAUUUCCUUUUUCUUGAGUGUUUGUGAAGUCUAAUGAGUGAUUUUGGUGCAUUUUUUGAAAGGAGGUGUGCAGUAUAAGAAGCUUGGAGAAAAAAGGAGCUUGAGAAUCUAAAUCUACUUCAUCUUGGCAUCAUUUUGGAGGUAACAAGACAUUACUUGGGCUUAUCUUUAGCUAAAUCUCCUCAUGUUUGGGCUUAGGGCCAUCUUUAGCUCAUUUGGAAGUCAUUUCGAGUAUUAGGACAAGAUAUAAAGUUGUAACAUCAGAUCUGGACUCCCCUUGGUCCCUAUAACUAUAAAUUUAUGAGAUUUGGCAAGCUUGGGCCUUUUCUUUUGAGUUAAUCUUUCCUUUAGUCUAGUUUUGACAUUCAGGACCAUGUAUGCACGUAAAGUUUGCAACUUUACGUGAAAACCAUGCCCUAGGAGAUUGGAUCUGCAAUAUGGAGCUUUGGGGUGGCUUAAAAACAUUUGUAUGAGUGAUGGACUUCAUGAACUCAAUGAUUCGGGUGAAGGUUACCUGUAUUUGAUUCUUCUUGAACUCGGCGACUCGGUAAGCAGACUCGAUGAGUCAGUUAGGGUUUUCCCUAACAUCUGGACACACAUGGACUCGACGAGUUUGUUGGAAACUCAGCGAGUCAAUUAGGGUUUCGGGUGAUUUCUGAGUUCUUAAGAAACUCAACGAGUUUCUAGCUGCACUCGACGAGUCGACCUAACAUGGAUUGUUACUUUGACCAUUGACCAAUGGUCAGCCAAUUGACUUCUGGGUGUAUUUUGGUAAUUAGGGAACAUAUGGAAUUGGAUCAUUGGUGGGUGAGCUGUAUUUGGAGGAGAUUGAUACUAUCAUUCAGAGCAACAUGAGAGGUGAGUUGUCCUCUCUAUACUAACAAGGUCGAAGGCACCAAUGACGACCCUUUUUGGGUUUGUACCCGGGUUUAUUGCAUGAUAUGCUUUAUGAUUUGUAUCCUGGUUAUAGGAUGGCUGCUAUGUUAGUAUCGGUUAUAUUAGUAUCCUUGUUAUAAGAUGGUUGCUAUGCUAGAGAUCGGUUAGAUCAGUAUCCUGGUUAUAGGAUGGUUGCUAUGCUAAAGAUCGGUUAGAUCAGUAUCCUGGUUAUAGGAUGGUUUCUAUGUUAGUGAUCGGUUAGAUGGGUAUCCUUGUUAUAGGAUGGUUGCCAUGAUUCAUGAUCUGUUAGAUCUGUAUGACUAUUUGUUUAUAUGUAUGUGCACAUGUUUGUUGGUUUAGGGGAUUGGGUUGAAGCAGGUCCUGCUUUGUGUUGUAGGCCAAGAUACUCAGGGAGGAACGGAUAGACUGCAAACCCGAGAGGGCAUAUAGUCAGGCCGAAGGCCCGACGAGCGGCCCAGAUAGGCUGAAAGCCUUGAGAGGCGGUCAAGACGUGCAGAAGGCAUGGAGAGAAAUCCAGAUAGACUGAUGUCCUAAGAGCUUACCCAUUUGUUAUAAAUGUUUUUAGGUACUUCAUAAGAAAUACAAGGUUUGACUGUACUGAUUUACAUUUGCAAUCAUGUUUCCUCAUUACACUCUGAUGUAAUUGAAUACUGGGUAAGCUCUUAGGUUGUACUUAUUAUGCUUAUAUUUAUAUUCAUAGUCGUUGUCAUGAAUAUAUAGAUAAGAUUUAUCAAUAAUUCCAAUUAUAAUGUUGGUUGAUCUACUUACAGGAUAGGUGUCUAAGAUUGUCAUGUUGGCUUGGUUGUUGGAUUUUAGAAAGGCUAUAUGCUGAAAUCACCAUGCCCCCUCCCUAUCCGUCCUGACUGAUCCUUAUUUGAUAAAACUUGUUGUGUUCAUUGGGAUUAUUGAGGGAUCUAAUUUUCAUUACCAGUUCAUGAUAGAAAUUAAUAGGUGAAAGUAUUAUAGGUUAGUACUUAUUUGACGCGUUACCUGUUAAGCCAAAGGAAUAUCUGUUAAUCGUCGGAGUAAUUGUCCAGGUGAGUUCUUCUCACUAUAGUAUAUACUCCAAUAUGUAUCAUCUGUAUGUUAGGAUAUAGUGACCUUGUAGUAUGCACUUAGGCAAUUAGACUUGGAUAGUUAGUUUCAUGUUAUGUAGAUUGUUGCUAUAUGUUGAUACGUAUAUAUGGAGUUGAGGGCGGACUAGCCUUGUGCUGAAGGCCAAUAGACUCUAGUAAACUAGCACUAUGAUAAAGGCCAAAGUGCAAAUCGGCUAUAUGCUGAAGGAAAAAAGGGUGGACUAGCUACAUGUUGAAGGCCAAGGGCGGUCCAGAUUUAUGAUGAAGGCCAUUAUGUGUAUACGUUGUAAAUAUAUUGUAGGAUACGAUGAUUUGGGGGAAGUCACUAAGCCUAGUGCUUACUCAGUUGUUAUAAAUGUUUUUAGGUACUUCAUAAGAAAUACAAGGUUUGACUGUACUGAUUUACAUUCGCAAUCAUGUUUCCUCAUUACACUCUGAUGUAAUUGAAUACUGGAUAAAUAAAAAUGAAAAUUUCGAGUUGAAAAAUCGGGACGUUACAAAAUGAGUGCAAAAUUUUUAAUUAUUUGGCUUAUCCUUUAAAGUCAUUCUCAACUUCUUUCUACAUUAAGUAAAAAGAAUUCGAGAGUACCAGUUCACCACGAUAAUACAAUUAGUUUGAGACAUGUUAUAAGCCUAAUUAACUUUGUUAUUUGCUUAAGAUUUAUUGUUAUCAUGGUUAAUGUCUAUCAGACAUCAAACAUGAAAGCUCUUCCAUCAACCAAACUUUCUCCAUUAUGUUUAAGGUACAACCUUCGUCUCUUCUACCCCAUCUCAAUGUCAUUUGCAUACUGAGAGCCAUGUUUAGAGGGUAUUUGGUCGAGCUGGUUCUAGGCUUCGACAUUGGGGACAUCGGCCAAUGAUUGAGUAAUCCCUAAGUAGGGGAGAACUGGGUGUUAUGAUUGGAGGAUCAUCAGUUGUUUAGGUAAUUUGAAUGGUUAUUAAGUUGUCAAGGUGUAGCUGAGGCCAAGUGGUGGUGAAUCGCUUGGUAUUAUUGGGAAUAUUUCCAAGUGCAAGUGAACCAGGAGUUUCAUAUUCAAGGGCAAGAGGACAGCCAAUUCUGGUUGUGGGUUGAAUCGAAGCUUAGGCAAGUAAUAAUACUCAAUAGUCAAUCGUAAUUUGGGAAACAGAUGUUGAGGGAUCAAAUUUAUCUUGUCCGAAGAUGAGAAGCAUCGACAAUGGCUCAUUUUGGGUUCAUGUAUAGGUUCAGGUCAUGGGUGGUGUGAGGGCCUCUCUGCCUGUUCUUAUCUGAUGAAGUCUUUGGGGUUUGAAGUACGACAUGAACACCUAACAAUGUCUAGCAGGGUAGGGGAGCCCAUGGAAAUCUACGGGAUGUUGUUAGUUUAUGUUCUGGCAUGUAGCAUUUAUUUUGCUAAUGUAGGCCAUUACGGUGGUGAUUGUAAAAAUGUUCGAGGAUCACAACAUUCGAUUGGGUUGAGUCAGACUCGUUAUUGUUGUGUAGUCUCUCCGUGUUAGGGAAUGAUGAUUGUUAGAGUUGUAGUGAUGGUUAGGCUUGUAUAUCUCUCGAUUGUGGGUGAGGCCCGUUUGGUUAUGUAGCUUGGUUGAGACCCGUGUUGAGGCCCAUUUGGUUAUGUUAUCUUGGGUGAGCAGACUAUUUAGACAUUCGAGGAUAUGCUCAUGGUAUGUGGUUUUGGUCAUGAGUCUCCAGUCCAGUGAUGGAAUGAUGGCAAGAUCUGUGUGUUUUGUGAUCUUAGCGUUCUAGUGGAUUAGACGGUGUUACAUUGUAUCAUGAACCGAUGAGUGUAUGACUAAUAUAGGUGGGAGCCAGUCGUCAUAUGCUUGAGACUCUUUGGCCUCAUAUCAUUAGUAUUUGGCAUGGUUGGGUGUUAGUCAUUUUGGGGGUCGGAAGGCUCAGUGACCAACUGGUUAGGUCAUGGGGUUAGAAAUUUUUGUUUUUCAUAGAAGCCUUAGUUUGGUAGCAGAGGUAUCUUGUCGAAUAAUUAUCUUUGUGGACAACUCCCCAACUGCUUGAGGGUUGCAUGGUAGAAGUUUGGUUACCAAUGUUGGGUAUUGAUCUUGAAACUUUGGAUCGGGAAGUUCGAUCUAAAUGUCCUAAAGGAUUUUUUUUGGUGGUGGAACACCUGGGAUGACACGGUAUUUUUGGAUGCAAUGUGAGAUACAUGGACUGGCCACUAUUACAUUAGUGAGCGUAGUGGGCUAAUGAUGUCUUUGCAUAAAGUCAAGUACAUAUACGCAGUCUUUUAGGCAGGAAUUCUAUAAUGAAAUAUAUUGGAAUCCAUGAUCAGGAUGUUCUGAGAAUCUAUUAUGUGUGUGUUGGCGGUGAUCCUAGUAAGGGACUAGGGUUAAGUAUAACAAGAGGAUGAUCCUCGGUUGUAGGGCAUGGUUUCCAUAGUUAGAAUGAUAGGUGCCCGGGUUGCAGAGUAUAUUGUUAGUGUCAUGAUGAUGGUAAGACGAGGAUAGUCUUUUUCAGUUAUACUCUUGAUUAGAGUCUCGUGGGCAACCGUGUGUGAGGGUGUCAACUGCAACUAUCGGUCAGGAUUCAUGCAUUUCCGUCUUUUAGUAGCAUAAUGUGGAACCAGGAAGAUCUCGGUUAGAUCGGGCCUACGAAUUUUUGGUCAAAAUGAUGUGAUGUAUAUAUGUUGGUACAUCAACAGUUGUAGAGGCUUGUGUUGGGAAUCACCUUUGUAUUCGAGUGUAGGGUUACCUGUAUCGACGAAUGGUCAGGAUCCUGUUUCCCAAUUAUUGGCGAGAUAAUGCAGGGUUUGAGGGGUUUUGGUCGAAUGGGUUGUGGUUUACAGUCAUUAUGGAUAUGAUUUGAAUGGUUUUGUCUGUCUUGAAGCCAACCGUGGUAUAAGGUUAUCAGAUUUUGAGAAAAGUAUUUAGAUUUUCUUUUUGUUGGUUAAGGGUGACAUGUUAAGGUUCGUUUCUUUGUCAGGGCAUGCGAUUUCCGCUAAGAUAUGAUUCAGUACUAGUAGCAUAAGGUGUUCGUAUGUGUGAGAUGGUUUUUCUGUACUGCAUUUGGAAUAUGGUCGUUCAGACGAAGUCGAAUCGUGUUGAAGAGUAAGUUGUAAGGAAAGAUUUCGAGGACGAAAUCUAAUUUAAGUGGGGGAGAUUUGUAACACACAUUUUCUAGAUUGGAUUUGUGUAGAGCAUAAAGGAGCUAAAGGCGUGUUUUUUUGGGGAAAAAUCAUGUGUCACGUCAUAACAAUAGGGUGGUCACGAUGUGACGAUCCAAUAUGAGAACGUAUAUCCACAAGAUUGUCACAACGUGACAAUAAUGUAGUCACGAUGUGACAAUGGCUGUUCAGACCUUAGACUAUAAUUGUAGGGUUUUUCUUGUAUUUAAGCAUCUUCUCCCAAGGAUUAGGUUAUCCUUUUUAGCCAGUAAUCCUCUAUCACUAAACCAUAACCUCCCUUUGAGAGUUUUGGCUCAUUUUGGAGCAAGGAUCAAGCAAGCCACUCUACUCCACCCUCAAAAUCAUUCUUUAGAUAGUUUGUAAGACUUAGAGCUUUUACCUUUGUGAUUAAUGUCUUGUAUGUUUUACUCCAUUAUAGAAGUUUGUAUGUUGGAAUGAGAUAAAGUCUGCAACUUUAUGGCUCAUAAAGGUCCCUUGAGGCUUAUAUCUGUAACAGCCCGAAAUUCUAGAUAUUGCAAUAAUUAUGAUUUUGGGUGUUUUAAGAGGGGACUCGGCGAGUUGGAGCUCAGACUCGCCGAGUAGGAUCGCAGAUCUAGUCGUGGGUUCGCAACUGGACUCGACGAGUCCGGAUAUGGACUCGGCGAGUCCACGCUGUUUAGCGAAACCCUAACCGUCCAGGUUUGGGGACAUAUAUAAGGGGCCUUAUGGCCGUCAUUGUUCACCCUAGUCCUGUGAGUGAAGCCCUAAAUCGAUUGUGAGCAUUUGGAGCAAGGUAGAAGACCAUUGUUGAUUUUGGAAGUGUUGUUUUGCAAGGAAGAGGAGGCUUGGUUAAGGGAACAACAAGAGAAGCCACAUUCUUAGGAUUGGGGACAUAGAGAGCACGUUAUUCAGGUAAUAUUUCGAGUUGCAUUCUUCUAUGUUGAUGUGUAUAUGGAUUUAGGGUUUAUUGAACCCUUUUGUGGCUAGAUUGAGUGUUACCUUAGUCCCCCAAGAGAUUGGAACCCUGUAUUGGGACCUUUGGAAGUCCAGAAUGUCCCAGGCCUGAGCAUUUCGGGAGUCAAUGGAGGUUUUGGAUUGGAAUCCUUAUGCCUUAGGUCAAAAUGUAAAUUAUGAGUCAUGGGGUGUAUUAUGAGCACCGAAAUGAGGAUCUUACGUGAUGAAUCAGUCUAGGAAGGCCAGACCUAUGAAUGGUCGGAGCAGUUCUGACCUUAGAAAGCAGUUUGAGCGGUUGCAUGGCAUGGACUCGCCGAGUCCGAUGAACAGACUCGGCGAGUAGCUUGAAGAUUAACUGGGACUCGUCGAGUUGUUCUUCAGACUCGGCGAGUUGAGUCGGGGUGGCCCCGCGAUUCUUCCAGGAGGAACUCGUCGAGUCAAGGGGGAUACUCGACGUGUAGAAAGGGAAUCUUAGAGAAUCGGUGAGUCAAGGGCGAGUGGACUCAGAGUUGUUGAACUCGGCGAGUCUUGGGGUGACUCGGCGAGUUAGAUCGCGGAUUGAGUGAAGUUCUGAGUAUGGGGACUCGGCGAGUCAUAGGGUUGACUCGGCGAGUAGGGUCAGUCAGGGGUUGACUUUGACCUUGUCUUUGACCAAGGAUUGACCAGUGGUUCCAGGGGUAUUUUGGUAAUUGUUGUUUAUUGUUUGAGUUCAGUGCAUUGGUGGCUGUCCAGAGGUGGAGAUCGUAUCAGUGAUCGGAGCAGCUUGAGCUAUCUGUUCAGUCGGCAGUUUCGAGGUGAGUUAUCCUCACUAUAUCGCUAGGGUUUAUGGCACCAAGGCCGACCCUUUUAUCGGAUGGAAAUCCGGGUAGUUGUCAUUACAUGUUAUGGGCCGGAAGGCAUUGCUAUGUGGACCGGAAGGUCAUGGCCUGGAAAGGCGUAUGUAUGCAUUUAGUAUGUUGACUGAUUCAUAGGGUAAUGUUAUGCUAGUGACCGGCUAGACCGGUAUCUUGUUAGAGUAAUGCUAUGAUAUGUAAUCUGUUGAUCGAUUGUUGUCUAUGAACUGCUAUAUGAUUAUUCGUUAUGUUGUAUAUGCAUUUUAUGCUUAUGGGCCGGAAGGCAAUAUAUGUUAUGGGCCGGAAGGCAAUAUGUUAUGGGCCGGAAGGCAAUAUGUUAUGGGCCGGAAGGCAAUAUGUUNNNNNNNNNNNNNNNNNNNNNNNNNNNNNNNNNNNNNNNNNNNNNNNNNNNNNNNNNNNNNNNNNNNNNNNNNNNNNNNNNNNNNNNNNNNNNNNNNNNNNNNNNNNNNNNNNNNNNNNNNNNNNNNNNNNNNNNNNNNNNNNNNNNNNNNNNNNNNNNNNNNNNNNNNNNNNNNNNNNNNNNNNNNNNNNNNNNNNNNNNNNNNNNNNNNNNNNNNNNNNNNNNNNNNNNNNNNNNNNNNNNNNNNNNNNNNNNNNNNNNNNNNNNNNNNNNNNNNNNNNNNNNNNNNNNNNNNNNNNNNNNNNNNNNNNNNNNNNNNNNNNNNNNNNNNNNNNNNNNNNNNNNNNNNNNNNNNNNNNNNNNNNNNNNNNNNNNNNNNNNNNNNNNNNNNNNNNNNNNNNNNNNNNNNNNNNNNNNNNNNNNNNNNNNNNNNNNNNNNNNNNNNNNNNNNNNNNNNNNNNNNNNNNNNNNNNNNNNNNNNNNNNNNNNNNNNNNNNNNNNNNNNNNNNNNNNNNNNNNNNNNNNNNNNNNNNNNNNNNNNNNNNNNNNNNNNNNNNNNNNNNNNNNNNNNNNNNNNNNNNNNNNNNNNNNNNNNNNNNNNNNNNNNNNNNNNNNNNNNNNNNNNNNNNNNNNNNNNNNNNNNNNNNNNNNNNNNNNNNNNNNNNNNNNNNNNNNNNNNNNNNNNNNNNNNNNNNNNNNNNNNNNNNNNNNNNNNNNNNNNNNNNNNNNNNNNNNNNNNNNNNNNNNNNNNNNNNNNNNNNNNNNNNNNNNNNNNNNNNNNNNNNNNNNNNNNNNNNNNNNNNNNNNNNNNNNNNNNNNNNNNNNNNNNNNNNNNNNNNNNNNNNNNNNNNNNNNNNNNNNNNNNNNNNNNNNNNNNNNNNNNNNNNNNNNNNNNNNNNNNNNNNNNNNNNNNNNNNNNNNNNNNNNNNNNNNNNNNNNNNNNNNNNNNNNNNNNNNNNNNNNNNNNNNNNNNNNNNNNNNNNNNNNNNNNNNNNNNNNNNNNNNNNNNNNNNNNNNNNNNNNNNNNNNNNNNNNNNNNNNNNNNNNNNNNNNNNNNNNNNNNNNNNNNNNNNNNNNNNNNNNNNNNNNNNNNNNNNNNNNNNNNNNNNNNNNNNNNNNNNNNNNNNNNNNNNNNNNNNNNNNNNNNNNNNNNNNNNNNNNNNNNNNNNNNNNNNNNNNNNNNNNNNNNNNNNNNNNNNNNNNNNNNNNNNNNNNNNNNNNNNNNNNNNNNNNNNNNNNNNNNNNNNNNNNNNNNNNNNNNNNNNNNNNNNNNNNNNNNNNNNNNNNNNNNNNNNNNNNNNNNNNNNNNNNNNNNNNNNNNNNNNNNNNNNNNNNNNNNNNNNNNNNNNNNNNNNNNNNNNNNNNNNNNNNNNNNNNNNNNNNNNNNNNNNNNNNNNNNNNNNNNNNNNNNNNNNNNNNNNNNNNNNNNNNNNNNNNNNNNNNNNNNNNNNNNNNNNNNNNNNNNNNNNNNNNNNNNNNNNNNNNNNNNNNNNNNNNNNNNNNNNNNNNNNNNNNNNNNNNNNNNNNNNNNNNNNNNNNNNNNNNNNNNNNNNNNNNNNNNNNNNNNNNNNNNNNNNNNNNNNNNNNNNNNNNNNNNNNNNNNNNNNNNNNNNNNNNNNNNNNNNNNNNNNNNNNNNNNNNNNNNNNNNNNNNNNNNNNNNNNNNNNNNNNNNNNNNNNNNNNNNNNNNNNNNNNNNNNNNNNNNNNNNNNNNNNNNNNNNNNNNNNNNNNNNNNNNNNNNNNNNNNNNNNNNNNNNNNNNNNNNNNNNNNNNNNNNNNNNNNNNNNNNNNNNNNNNNNNNNNNNNNNNNNNNNNNNNNNNNNNNNNNNNNNNNNNNNNNNNNNNNNNNNNNNNNNNNNNNNNNNNNNNNNNNNNNNNNNNNNNNNNNNNNNNNNNNNNNNNNNNNNNNNNNNNNNNNNNNNNNNNNNNNNNNNNNNNNNNNNNNNNNNNNNNNNNNNNNNNNNNNNNNNNNNNNNNNNNNNNNNNNNNNNNNNNNNNNNNNNNNNNNNNNNNNNNNNNNNNNNNNNNNNNNNNNNNNNNNNNNNNNNNNNNNNNNNNNNNNNNNNNNNNNNNNNNNNNNNNNNNNNNNNNNNNNNNNNNNNNNNNNNNNNNNNNNNNNNNNNNNNNNNNNNNNNNNNNNNNNNNNNNNNNNNNNNNNNNNNNNNNNNNNNNNNNNNNNNNNNNNNNNNNNNNNNNNNNNNNNNNNNNNNNNNNNNNNNNNNNNNNNNNNNNNNNNNNNNNNNNNNNNNNNNNNNNNNNNNNNNNNNNNNNNNNNNNNNNNNNNNNNNNNNNNNNNNNNNNNNNNNNNNNNNNNNNNNNNNNNNNNNNNNNNNNNNNNNNNNNNNNNNNNNNNNNNNNNNNNNNNNNNNNNNNNNNNNNNNNNNNNNNNNNNNNNNNNNNNNNNNNNNNNNNNNNNNNNNNNNNNNNNNNNNNNNNNNNNNNNNNNNNNNNNNNNNNNNNNNNNNNNNNNNNNNNNNNNNNNNNNNNNNNNNNNNNNNNNNNNNNNNNNNNNNNNNNNNNNNNNNNNNNNNNNNNNNNNNNNNNNNNNNNNNNNNNNNNNNNNNNNNNNNNNNNNNNNNNNNNNNNNNNNNNNNNNNNNNNNNNNNNNNNNNNNNNNNNNNNNNNNNNNNNNNNNNNNNNNNNNNNNNNNNNNNNNNNNNNNNNNNNNNNNNNNNNNNNNNNNNNNNNNNNNNNNNNNNNNNNNNNNNNNNNNNNNNNNNNNNNNNNNNNNNNNNNNNNNNNNNNNNNNNNNNNNNNNNNNNNNNNNNNNNNNNNNNNNNNNNNNNNNNNNNNNNNNNNNNNNNNNNNNNNNNNNNNNNNNNNNNNNNNNNNNNNNNNNNNNNNNNNNNNNNNNNNNNNNNNNNNNNNNNNNNNNNNNNNNNNNNNNNNNNNNNNNNNNNNNNNNNNNNNNNNNNNNNNNNNNNNNNNNNNNNNNNNNNNNNNNNNNNNNNNNNNNNNNNNNNNNNNNNNNNNNNNNNNNNNNNNNNNNNNNNNNNNNNNNNNNNNNNNNNNNNNNNNNNNNNNNNNNNNNNNNNNNNNNNNNNNNNNNNNNNNNNNNNNNGCUAGUGUGUGUUAUGAGAGUCGGUCCAGUCAUGCUGGGGACUCUGAUGGUAUUGUUGGAUCAGUUUGAGAUUUCGGAUUUUGUAUGUUGCAGUGUGAUUACAUUGGAAGGUCUGGCCCCGGGUUAGUGAUUUUGUUUAGUUGAGGUAGUGAUUUUGUGGAGUGGAGAGAGUGCAUGGGCUUGAGAGCCCCUGCAAUGAGAGCCAGAGUAUGUGAAUAGCGGUUACGCAAAAAGGGUGGUGUCGCUUGGGGCGAGCACCGUGGCACCGGUUGGAGUGGCAUUAUGGCCAAGAGGGUUCCUUGGAAAAGGAAAAGAGAAAGGUGUGUAACUCCGAAGGGGAGUGCAAGUUCACGAAAGUGAAAGCUGCAGAGCAGAGUUAUGGUUAGAGUAUUUCGAGUAUGGUUUUGAGCAUCGUGUGCGCGGCAGUGAAGUAGGAACCCAUCCGGUUUGGGAUGUCUGUUGAGGCUCAGAAGGGAUGCAGGGGGAGAGAGAAUCUUGAAUUCUCAGUGUGAUUCUGAUCAGGGUAUAGGGUGGAUAUUAGUGGUUCAUCUUGGGAGAUGUUCGAGCAUAUCAUCAGUGUAUCGGGUCUUCCAACCUGCGGGCGUUGGGGCUAGUUCAGCAUGUGUAUGUGAUUGCAAGAGGAGAACUCGUGAGAGUUGCUCUGAGAGUAAGAAUGGGUCUCUCAGUCGGUCCGGAAUGGACAAAGUGGGCUUUGGAUCGGGGAUCUGGUGGUUCAUGGUUUCCUAACCCUUAUGGGUCAAGUGAUCAUUGAGAUUUAGAGCAGAGUUGCAUCUUGGGUAAUUCUCGGUUCCAGAGAGUGAUGAGCAGUACAGAGAUCGUUCUUCAGUCGACAGACCAAAUUCAGCAUAUUAGACAGAGGUUAUUAACCGCCCAGAGCCGACAGGAAAGUUAUGCAGACAGACGCCGGUCCGAGCUUGAGUUUCAGGUCGGCAACUUCGUACUCCUGAAGGUCUCUCCUUGGAAAGGAGUGAUUCGAUUCAGGAAGAGGGGCAAGUUGGGGCCCCGGUAUAUUGGGCCUUUUCAUGUGAUUGCGGGGGUAGGCCGGGGGGCCUACCGUUUGGAGUUUCCCACGGAUUUGAGACAAAUCCACGACAUUUUUCAUGUGUCGCAAUUGAGAAAGUAUAUAGCCGAUGAGUCGGCAGUGGUCCCAUUAGAAGACAUUCAGGUGAAUGCGAGCCUGAAUUAUGCCGAGAGACCAGUGGUCAUCAGAAAUCGGAAGAUCGAGGUUCUGAGGUAUUAAGAGAUACCUCUGGUGUUAGUUCAGUGGCAACACCGGAGGGGAUCGGAAAUGACCUGUGACCUGGAGCGUCAGAUGUGGGAGCAGCAUCCGGAGCUAUUUUCGGAGUGAGACUUUGAGGGCGAAGUCUAGUCCUAGUGGGGGAGAAUUGUAACAGCCCGGAAUUCCAGAUAUUGCUAUAAUUAUGAUUUUGGGUGUUUUAAGAGGGGACUCGGCGAGUUGGAGCUCAGACUCGCCGAGUAGGAUCGCAGAUCUAGUCGCGGGUUCGCGACUGGACUCGACGAGUCCGGAUAUGGACUCGGCGAGUCCACGCUGUUUAGCGAAACCCUAACCGUCCAGGUUUGGGACCUAUAUAAGGGGCCUUAUGGUCGUCAAUGUUCACCCUAGUCCUGUGAGUGAAGCCCUAAUUCGAUUGUGAGCAUCUGGAGCAAGGUAGAAGACCAUUGUUGAUUUUGGAAGUGUUGUUUUGCAAGGAAGAGGAGGCUUGGUUAAGGGAACAACAAGAGAAGCCACAUUCUGAGGAUUGGGGACAUAGAGAGCACGUUAUUCAGGUAAUAUUUCGAGUUGCAUUCUUCUAUGUUGAUGUGUAUAUGGAUUUAGGGUUUAUUGAACCCUUUUGUGGCUAGAUUGAGUGUUACCUUAGUCCCCCAAGCGAUUGGAACCCUGUAUUGGGACCUUUGGAAGUCCAGAAUGUCCCAUGCCUGAGCAUUUCGGGAAUCAAUGGAGGUUUUGGAUUGGAAUCCUUAUGCCUUAGGUCAAAAUGUAAAUUAUGAGUCAUGGGGUGUAUUAUGAGCACCGAAAUGAGGACCUUACGUGAUGAAUCAGUCUAGGAAGGCCAGACCUAUGAAUGGUCGGAGCAGUUCUGACCUUAGAAAGCAGUUUGAGCGGUUGCAUGGCAUGGACUCGCCGAGUCCGAUGAACAGACUCGGCGAGUAGCUUGAAGAAUAACUGGGACUCGUCGAGUUGUUCUUCAGACUCGGCGAGUUGAGUCGGGGUGGCCCCGCGAUUCUUCCAGGAGGAACUCGUCGAGUAAAAAGGGGAUACUCGACGUGUAGAAAGGGAAUCUUAAGGAAUCGGUGAGUCAAGGGCGAGUGGACUCAGAGUCGUUGAACUCGGCGAGUCUUGGGGUGACUCGGCGAGUUAGAUCGCGGGUUGAGUGAAGUUCUGAGUAUGGGGACUCGGCGAGUCAUAGGGUUGACUCGGCGAGUAGGGUCAGUCAGGGGUUGACUUUGACCUUGUCUUUGACCAAGGAUUGACCAGUGGUUCCAGGGGUAUUUUGGUAAUUGUUGUUUAUUGUUUGAGUUCAGUGCAUUGGUGGCUGUCCAGAGGUGGAGAUCGUAUCAGUGAUCGGAGCAGCUUGAGCUAUCUGUUCAGUCGGCAGUUUCGAGGUGAGUUAUCCUCACUAUAUCGCUAGGGUUUAUGGCACCAAGGCCGACCCUUUUAUCGGAUGGAAAUCCGGGUAGUUGUCAUUACAUGUUAUGGGCCGGAAGGCAUUGCUAUGUGGACCGGAAGGUCAUGGCCUGGAAAGGCGUAUGUAUGCAUUUAGUAUGUUGACUGAUUCGUAGGGUAAUGUUAUGCUAGUGACCGGCUAGACCGGUAUCUUGUUUAGAGUAAUGCUAUGAUAUGUGAUCUGUUGAUCGAUUGUUGUCUGUGAACUGCUAUAUGAUUAUGUGUUAUGAUUGCUAGAUCUGGGGUGUGACCCGAUAUGUAGGGUCGUUCUAUGAUUUGUUAUGUUAUGUAUGCAUUUUAUGCUAUGGGCCGGAAGGCAAUAUGUUAUGGGCCGGAAGGCAAUAUGUUGUGUUGUGGACCGGAAGGUCGGCGUGGGUAGGACCGGAAGGUUUACCCAGCAGGGACGAAAGUCCCCUGAGACACAUGGACUGGAAGGUCGUGGCCUGGAAGGGCGUAUAUGUGGUUGGUAUUUUGGGGGUAUCUCACUAAGCUUUCGGGCUUACAAUUGUGGUUUUAUGUUUCAGGUUCUCAAGAGUCUGUGGCAAGGCAAAGGCGUGAUCGUACCGUUCCUCGCGUUGAUGUUUUAUGAUAUGAACCUGGGAAAAUACUCUGUUAAAUAGUUUAUUGAAAACCUUUUGUAACAACGUUAUUAAAAUGAGUGGUUUUUGAAAAGUUUUAAUUGUUUUGAAAUUUUGGACGUUACAAUAUCUUUCAUAUCUAGACUAUGGUUGAGUUUUCGGAGCUUUGCAUGAGUCUACGUUAUAUUCUUGCUUCUUGACCUAGUUUAGGUAAAGCACAUGGAUGGGUCAUGCAUGUCCAUAAAGUUGACAUUUUAUGACCCUAUAGAGCCCUGAAAAGCUUUCUGGAAAAUAAAAAGUGAAGGCUUAAUGGAUGAAGGACUCAAUCCAUAAGGAUGUUUCUCAGCUAGUGGUCACGACAUGGGAGCAUAAAAGAACAGAUGGAGGCACCAUUGCGAUUGAAGACAUAUAAGGUCUUUUGAUCACAAUUGAAAGCGUAAUGUGAUGAUGAUGAUAUAAGUCCACUUUUAUGAAAGAUCUAGUAUGCUCAAGAAUCAUAUUAAAGUGAUAUUGCUAAUUAACAUAUGAUAAUAAUGGGUCACACUAACAGCUUGAUACAAUUGAUUAUUUAUUAGAAAUUGAUUUUAAAGCUAAAACUAGAGGAAGAGGAUAGGGCAUGGGACUUUUGAUUAGUUAAAUUGAAGUUAAGGUCAUGUCUUCAAAGAAUGGCGGAGAACAUGAUCUAGGUACAUAAGUGCUUGCUUGGUUAAGAACUUAUGAGUAAUAACCUUCCUUUAUGAAAGCUUGUAAGCCUUCAUUUGUUGGAAACUGAAACCUUAAUAUGUCCUCCCCUUUCUCUCAUUAUUCUUCUAAGAAAAGAUGAUAAAGUUUAAGUUACUUGCAUCCUUGCUUUAAAUAAAACUUUGGUAUUGGCUUAAAGCGCAAGAGUUGUAACUAACAUGACAUUAAGUUGAGUUAUUUUUGGCGUCUCUAAAGUUCCUCAUUCUCCAUCAAAUUUGAAGCCACCUAAAAGGACCCAAAUAACUACAAAGGUUGUUAUUUCUUCAUCCCUUCUUUGGUUGGUGAUUUAAUCUUUCUACAACCUGCAGGAUGAUCCUUGCUUGGUGUAAUUUGUUAUGUUAUUUUUGAAAAUCAUAAGUUUCCAUUUGCCAUUUUACUAGCUUAUGAAGCUAAUUUUGAAGUAAAACCCAACAUUUUAUAACUCAUAGAGAACCGUUGAGUAGGCCUGACAAUCGUGUCAUGUUCGGGUUGGCAUGUCACGGGUUGGCGGGUCAAAAUAUGCCAACCCAAACACAACCCAUUUAAAUAUAAGGUCACGGGUUGGCGAGUUUGGAACAUAAACUCAUAUCACUACUAGAAAACAACCCUUUAAUGACGCGCAAACAAUGACACUCGCUGAUAGAGGACGCGCAUUGGUGUGUGCCCUAAAAAAUAAUGUCAAUUUCGCAAAAUUUGAAGGAUAGUGGACACGAAUUUGUGCGUGCCAUAAAAUUAGUGUAAGAAAAGAAAAAAAAAAUGCAGAGGGUGCCUUUCAUAAAGUGUGCGUCCUCUAAAUGUGUCGCUUUAUAUAUUUUUUUUUUGCCUAAAUGCGCUAUUGUAAAGGGGGAAAACGAAAUCUUCUGAAAUCCUAAAAUUUUGAAGAACCCCGCUUCUACACUCUCUCCUCAUUAUCUCCCUUUUCAUUCACUCCUUCCUUCUCUCUGUAAACCCUAAGCUAUCGCCACUGCCACUGCCAUUGAGCCUUAAAAACUCAAUCCACACUAGAAUCCUACAAUAGAACCCUAAUAAUCCUUUUGAAUCAGCAUAUCCUUUUGAAUCGGCUCGUCUUCCUUUACCUCUGUACUCUCUCUCUCUCUCUCUCUCUCUCUCUCUAAGCCCUAAGCUGCCACCACCAACAUCGAACCCGAUAAGCUUUAAGAGUUUGGAGUGCAUCUAGAAACCUAAGCACACACUUCCACCAUCUCAAGAUACCGGUUCAAGAUCGGAACGCCAAUCCCUCUUUCCCCACUCAGAUCCCACGCACCGCUGCCCCUAACCUUCUCCUUCAAAACGAAAGAAACACUCGAUGAUUCUUCCUGUACCGGUGGUCCCACCUCCGAAUCACUCGAGACUGAAACUUUUGAGGACCGACUCUCGCAGUUACAUCUGCAUAAUCAGAGUGGCAAAUGGAAGAAAGUCGACCCAUGGAAGAGCAUGAAGUCCGGGAAGAAAUCCAAUGGGAGUUCAGGAUCUAGGGCAAACAUGUACCUCCCACUGGUGCCAUCGAAGGAUCCGAUUUCAGGUUGAGUUUGGAGUGCGUCUAAUGAAAUCUAAUCAUCGGCGAUGCAAUAACGGUUCUCUCUCACAAUCGAACCCUAGAUCUUGCUUCCUACCCUCCUUCAUCUCUAUUCUCUCCGUUCGACCACCAGACCAUCCAUGAGCACCGCCAAUCAAUGACGUCACGAUGCCUGCAAUUCCGACUCCUAUCAAACUGACAAUGGCAUGACUUCAUUUGACAGGUUUGUGUGUUUAUUUUGGCUAUUUUUUUUGUCUUUGCUUUGGUUUUAGAGAACCCUUUAUCGUUUUAGAUAUAGAUAACAUAUUUAUUUUGGCUAGUUUCAGGUCUGUGUCAGUAUAUUUCCAUUUCAUAGAUUCAUAGUUUUACUUGGGGUGAUUCUAAUAAUCGUUUUGGAUACGGAUACAGAUAACAUGUGAGGCGAAUGAAGAGUUGAAGAAGAAAGUGGAAGAACAUGCUAUGAAUAUGAGAGAUGCAGAGAGGAUGAAGAGAGAGUUAAAAUUAGUGGAAAGAGAUAUAGGAGAGGCAGAGAUUGAAAGGAACAAAUGGGAGGAGAAAUAUUUAUUUUCAGGUAUCAUCUUUAUAUCCCAAAAAUUCAAUGUAAUGCUUUUGUUGGGAGAGUUGAUCUAGUAUGUUUUUUUACGCCACAUAAAUAUUUAUUCUGCAACAAUACUGUCUAAAAAUACUGCUAUUUACUGUUUCUUGCAGGUCCAUUAUGCAACUACAAUACUAGAUAAAAACAAUCCGGUGAAGCAUGAUAGAAAAGUGGGUAUUUUCAUACUCAAAUUCCGCCAUGGAAGCAGCCUCUCGCUCGUUAGCUUCUAUCGAUUGCAGUACCAGAUUCACCGCCGGUCGCCAUUCCAUUUCGAGCAUUGUUAGGGUUAAGCGAUGUAAUAAUGUAACUCGUGUUGUUGGAACUGAACCGAAGCCCAAGGCAGUCGAUCCUUUAAGGUCCAUAAUCGUCGAUGGAUCUUCAAUCAACAACACUUCCACCGUACAUUAAUAUUUUCUCUUGCUUUCAAUUCUUACAUGUAAGUUAUUAGUUAUGUGUUCUAUCUGUGAAGAAAUAUUCAUGUUUCAAAUUUGAAUUGUUAUUGUCUGCAGAGAAUGGAGACCGUUUCACAAGAGAUUUAAAGAGUUAGGGCUAGAUGGAAGAGAAUGAGCAAUUGGCGAUCUGAGCACUCUUCCCUAUCUUUACAUAAAUACAUUCUUUAUUAUGAUCUCUCACAUGAUUUCCUUCUUCAAACCCAAAACUUUCAGCUAAUCGAUCUAUUUUUCUCAUUCCUGGAGCCAACCUGUUCCCAUAGUGCUUUGUUGGCUGGUUACUUCAGCAAGGUAUGUUCUAUAAAGUUAGGUGCUUUUUUCAUUGAAUAUAUGUAUUAUCAUUUAUUGUAAGAUCAAUUGGAGAAAGUGAAUUUUGGGUAACUAUUAUAUAUGCUCUGCUAUGUUAUAGGUUAUGAUAAGCCUCAUGCUGCGGAAGACAGUUCCAGAGGUUGUCUAAAACUCAAGAUGUUGAUCAAUUCCUUGAUCUGAGCCCUAAUUUCUUUUCUAUUUUUGGUUUUGGAAAGAAUAAUCUUUAAUAGGGACUGAUGAUUUCUUUUUCAUUUCUUGAGGUUGUCUAAAACUCCCAUAUUUAUAUUUUAUCUUUUUUCGAUAUGCUUUGGGGCUCAUUGAGUGUUACCCGGGUCGGUGGUAGCCAACAUAGUCAGAUGAAAGGAACAUGAACAAAUAAAGGUGCACGAGCAUCAAUGCGGAGUGAAAGGUAACCACAUCAGGAACAAAAAUUUGGUUCUUUCUUUUUCUAUAAUUUUUCUCGCUCUUUUACCAUCCCUAAAUGAAAAUCUAUUUUGAUCUUCAAAUUUUUGUGUUCGAAUCCUAUAUUUUCUAGGGCUUUGUCAAGGGGAACGUGUUACCAAACGCAAUUGCUUUUAUCACCCUAGAUUGUCUAAAAGCUCUCAAUGAAAUGAAUAUAGGUAACAUGUUGUUUGCUUAUAGCUUCUCUUCCAGCCAUAAUCAUCGACAAAUUUAACCCCCUUAGAUGCCACUUUCUAUGUAAAAAUUAAUACAAAUGAGAGUAAUUAUAUGAUUAUAGUCAUAAUCGACUAUAAUAAAGUUGGGAUAGUGUUUGAGCUUUGUUGUUUGAAAUUGAAUAACUAGAUAACGAUUAAUGAAUUUAGGAUACAAAAAUUUGGUUAAUAUCAACUAUCUCAGAUCUUAACAGAUGGAAUUAGUAUUGGAAAGAUGAAAUUUUAUUGACUUGAGUUCUAAUUUCUUUCUUUGGAGGUAGAUCCAUUAUGAACCAUCUACAUGGUUUUUUACUACAGUUUACUGACGAGUUUAAUGUGAAUCUAUUGAUCUUGGUUAAACGCUUGCUUUAAUGAUAAAAACAUAUAUUUUAAAAACUCCCCUUUCAGUUUGAAAUAUAUUAGCCAUGUUUAAUAUGGUACAUCUUAUCAGUUUCUGCACCACAUAAGCACAUAUGGCAUGGUGCCUAAUUAAUGAAGAUUGACUUUUAUUUUACAUCAUUUUAGAGUAUUACUGUAUUUGGCAAAAGGGGGCUAUGGUCACUUUUAAGUAUGUUUUUGCGAAAAUGGAGUUGUGGGCAUUUCUCACUAUCUUUUAAUUUUCUCUCAACACCAUGCUAAAUAUCCCCCCACUUUCUAUUCCUUUCCAUAGUUAUAAUUAUUCCACCAUAUGUCAUAUCCGGUUUGGCUUUGAUCCAAAAACCGAUGAUUACAAAGUCGUUAAAUUUACUGGUGUUGACCAACGAACCAAUACCAGCCUGUCUAACGGAUAUUUCAUUGAAUAUUGGCAGAAAAUUGUAAUUUAUAUCAUGAGAAAAGGUUCUUGGUAUUUAAUCACUCAAAGAUCAUGUUUUUUCAAAGUUUAGUGGUAUAACUCCAAUUGGAUCACUUUGCAAAAUUGAACACAGGCAUCAACAGGAUGGUUAAUUGUCCAAGGGAAAUAAAAACCAAGACAUUGGUUCUACUUGUACUAUCUUUUUUUUAUAUUUACUUUCCUGAUAAUAUUUUUUAGAAUUAGGUUGAUGUUGAGCCCCUUUUCUUAGAAUUUCACAAAAAUAGUGUGAAACUUUAUAAGAGGUCGUUUUCAUAAAAAACAGUUGUUGUGAUUUCUUAUAAUUCUUUGUAUGUAAUAUGAGUUAGUUAUGGCCAAGACUUUUGGUUGUAGAAGAGGACAAUUAUGGAUUCUGGUAAUUGGCCUAUAGUAGGUUUUGUUUUGCUAUGAACUGAUUUGUAAGAUUCAUUGACCUGAAGACUAAGGACCCUCAUUGUUGGUAUUUAUGCUCCACAGAAUUCUGCCUCCGCCUUUUCCUGCCUCUGGGGCUUGCUAUUUCUUGUAAAUUUCCCUACAUGUAUAUGAAAUAAAAUUUAAAUAGUUUUCUUUUUCAUUGUUUUUUAAACGAAAAAUCUAAUCUACUUUUCUAAAUCAUUAUUACUAAGCAAACAGGUGAAACACAUACCUUGGGAGAGGAGAAUGUGGAAGAAAGGUAGUGUUGAUCCUCCACAAAGAUUUGGAGAUUCUUCAUCUUCAUCAGGAAAUCAUUUUCUUCAUCUUCAAACUCCACCAUAUAACCCAAUCAAAUCAGUUCACAAAGAUUUGGAACAAGCUCUUCAUUCUCCCACAACACUGCUUUUGCUAUUUCUUCACCAAAAUGAAACACAUAUUCCAUAACAUUUUAUGACCGGAAGAUCUCUCCAUCUUCUGCAUAUAUAAUUUGAAGUAUUGUUUGUCCCAACGUACCAUUCGCCUUGAUUCCACAUCCAACACAUCUCCAGAUGAUAAACAAAGUCUGUAACAGAUGUUCAUCUUUUUCAAUGUCUCAAAAACUUCGGUUGCUAUNUUUCAAUGUCCAAAAGCUUCGGUUGCUAUUAAAUAUCUAACAGCUUCAUGUCUCUUAUCUGGCUCCAUUUUAAGUUUAGGAUCAGCAAGAAAUCCAAGAAAGAGUUUUAAAAACCCCUUUUUUAUUAUCUUUUCUUUUGAAUCAACCGGCUUAAAUGCAGCAUGAUCAAUAUCAGAUGUGUUUUGCUUAUCUUCUAUCUAAAACAGGGUGUCUACCCCAUCUUUUCCUUUGUAUAUGGCUCUAGGAAGAAUAGAUGUGAUGGAGCACCAUGUUUCAUUGUACUGUGGUCUAAGUCUAGUAAGUUACUUAUAAGAUUCUUUUUUUUUCCAACAUUAGAGGGUAAAGGAAGAAUAGUUUAAUUCACUACUAGUGGCAUUAGGACAAUUUUACCCCUCAUAAUGAUUAUUACACGCAAAUUGCAAAAGGUGUAUACUGAAUUUAUUAAACACAAUCAGCUAACCAAACUUGCCCUUAUUUAUAUUAUCCCUUAAUUCGUUAUGUUUUCUAUUUCAUUCAGUAGGAUGCUAUUUUGGUUGAUGUUGUGCAAAUGGUGACUCAAUUAAGAAGCGAAACACAGAAGCUAAAAGACUCGAAUUCAGAUCUCCAUGAGAAAAUUACCUUUCUGACCCUUGUGCUUUACACUUCAUAUCAAAACUACCUUCAUAGUUGGAAAAAGCAUCAAAAAUAAUGCCAUGUACUUGCAAAACAAUGAACAUCUAUAACCAUUGUACUUAAGUUUACUUUUAUAAAAAGUGUGAAACAUGAUGUUAUAAAAUUUUUUUUUGACUUGAUAUUCAAUUUAUUUUCUUGAAACUUGACUUGAUAUUCAAUUUAUUGCAACAUUAUUUUCUAAAGGAAGAUGGCGUGGUUCAUGUUUAUGCAGAUAAAGUUUGUAAGAUAUCAUGAUUCUUGAUGGUGGUGGUGCUUUUGUCUUUAGUUUUGACUUUUUAGUGUAAUUGUUUUCCUUUUCAGCAAAAGAGAGGAACCAGAUGAGGUAUUUGUUUCUAAUAAUUAGAAUAUGUGUUUCUUUUUCGCAUGAAUCAAUUUUUUUUUCUUCCUAUUUCAGGUUUUAAUAUUUCAUGAUGGGACAUAUCUAACCUUAAAGGAGGUUUUUGAGAGCUUGUAUUAACCAUGUAGCUUCACUAAUCAUUUCAACUAGUUUCUAGUGAUGAUAGUUGUUUUUUGUGUAUCUGUAGAACAAUUUUAUAUUCUUGUGUAGUUGCUUUUUAAUGAUCAUAAGUAUUCAAUGCAGGUAUGGCCUGGACCUGAAUGUUGAUCUAUUAGAUGUGCAUGCAGACAAGAGCACAUUGCAUCAUUUUGAUAAAUUCAAUCUGAAAUACAACCCAUGUGGUCAGAGUAGGCUUCGGGAGAUUUUCUUGAAACAGGAUAAUCUAAUUCCGGGUACGUUUCACAUAUUAAUGGGGUCUAAAGAAAUUAAAUAAUAAAACUUAUGGUUUCUACUUUUUCAGGUCUUUUCCUUGCUGAGGUAACAAGCCAAGUGUUUGUAGAUCUUGAAGCGAGUAAAUAUCAAGUGAGUUUUGAAAGCCAUGUUAUAUAUAUAUAUAUAUAUAUAUAUAUAUAUAUAUAUAUACACACACACACACACACACACACAUUCCUUUAUCUGUUUUGUUUCAUGUAUGACACUUACACUUGAAACUUUUACCUNACACACACACACAAACACACACAUUCCUUUAUCUGUUUUGUUUCAUGUAUGACACUUACACUUGAAACUUUUACCUUUUGAUAGAGUUAUGCAUGGCUUAAUCCCCCUACGCUUUUUGACUUAAUGUACAAAUGACAACUUAAUAGAGAAAUUUAGCUCAUUAUGUGAUAAUUUCUUAAUAUUGCUCUCAUUCAUUUUAGGGAAUUCGUGCAAAAUUAGUUUCCAAAGAUUUUGCUCCCAAGGUACCCUUUUGUGUUCUUUAAGUAUUAACACUCCUUGUGAAAUAUGACUUUAAAAUUUUCAAUAAUUAAUUUUCUUUUUUCUUGGAUUUGACAGUGGGAUAUUCCAAAUUUGGAUAUUCCUACUUCUGAGCCUGAACUAAACCUGCCCAUAACCUUGAGAGAGCAUUUUCAUGUGAACUUUCUAGGUUUAUCAUAGGAAUAUCCGAAUGACAGUUAUGCCCUUCGUACCAUAAAAAGUCAUUUGGCAAAAUGAAAUUGCUGAUGCAUUUGCCAAGAAGUAUUCAUAUGCCCAAGUUGUAAAAAGAAUACCAUUAGUUCUUGCAGAAAUUAAGAAUGCCGUCAAGGUGAGAUUAAAUUGUAAAAAAAAAAAAAGACAAAAAUAGCCCAAACACUUAAAGUUUGGACUCAUUUCCAUUUUAUGUUUAUUUUUUGUCCAGAGUAUACAUGAUAAUGGUGGCGGUAAAUUUUGGGUUCCCAAAACUGAUUGGUUUAUUGUUGUGCUUAAUUCUUAACAGCUAUCAUAGAAACCUUCAACAACAGUUUUGGAUCGACACCUUCUAGCAAAAGAUAUCAUGUACGUGUUCAUGUGCUGCUAUUUUGGAUUCGGGAACAUCCUUGCUUACUGGCCUAACUGUAUGUAUCUCACGUGAAGCUUUUGUUAGAACUAUUAAUCUUAGGGAUUUCAAGUUUUUCAUAUUUCUUCUAUCUAAUUAGUUUGUAAAUUUGUUACAACGUCUAUUGAUUUGUUUUUUCUUUCCAUGGAACGAUUAUUUGUAUGACAUUAAAGUUUAUGCAAUGGAUUGUAUUUUUUAUAUAUGGUAUUUUAUCUUUUAUUAUGAGACAUUAAAUGCAAAUUUAAUUUGAAAAUUAGUAAAUCUAUAAAUAAUAUUUUUUUAAACAUUUAAAAUUACGAUACGCAAAAAUGUGUGUCAUCUUCAUUUAUGACAUGACCUUUCUUGACAGAGGCUUUAAUGAUACGCAAUGUGCGUCAUAAACAUGAGCGUCGUAAGGUUACGACACACAAAUGCGCGUCGUCUUCCUUUAUGACAGGGCCUUCCUUGAUAUGCAUUGUGUGUCAUAAUUGUGCAUCGUAAAUGCGCGUCGUCUAUAGACGACGUGCAAAAAUGCGUCGUCUCUCUUUAUGACAGGGCCUUCCUUGACGCGCAUUUGCGCAUCGUCUGAGCGUUUUACGACGUGCAAUGAGCGUCUUAAAAGGCUGUUUUUCUAGUAGUGUAUAUGACCCGCCAACCCAUUUAUUUAUACGGGUUCACAGGUUGGCGGGUUCGUGAGUCAGAUUUGGGUUCGUGGGUCAGACCAUAAAAAAAAUUGACAAUUAAACAUGAAUAAAUUCUUGAUGGUUGAUGCAAACAUAUCAAAAUUUUAGACAGUUAACUACUUAAGUUUUAAACAACCAAAUGAAAAUUAAAAACAUUCAUAGAAACAUGUUCAAACUAAACAUUAAUACAAAUAUUGAUAAUAAUACUUGAUACACAAAUACAUUUAAAUAUNUAUAUAUAUAUUAACAAUAUAAGCGGGUUGGCGGGUCAACCCGUUUAUUUUUUGAGGAACUCAUAUAUGACCUGUUUAAUAAAUGGGUUGGUAUGUUGGCGAGUUGGACGGUUGGUGGGUUGAAAAACUCAACCCAAACCCAUUUAUUUCGUGUUGUGUCAUAGGUCGUGUCGCGGGUUGCCAACCCUACCGUUGAGAAGUAAUCACAAGAAAGAGAAGAAUUCACCCCAAAUCUCACAAUUAUCAAGGAAUGAUGCACAUCCCCAAAUUUAAAAAGUUACCAUUUAGAAAAAGCUUAUCAUAAGACGGUAAAUUGACCCUAGAGUAGCAUUUGGUGAGCAACAAUUUGCAACGACAACGCAAUAGAGUCAACAUUAAUGUAUGAGACAUGCAACAAAAGGAUAUAAGGGAUUUUGGUGUAUCAUAGUAUUGUAUAGUUGCAAUAAUAGAUAACUUACAUAGUGUUGCGAGGUAUCAUCAGUUCAUGGUUAUAUACGCUAAAUUAUUUUCCACUUUUAUUAGAAGAAUAAUUUGGGAGAGAAUUGGAUGAUGUGUGUAAUACAUUUCAGUAUGAAAUGCACCCAAUAACAUAGAAUAUUAAAUUUUUUUAUUAGUGUAUCUCUUAUAUAUUGUCAUAAUUUUUUUCUUACAAGAUUUAUAAGGAUAGAGUGGGUAGGUGUGUCUAAUAUAUCACAAUACAUGAUAUAUUAUGAUCAGCUUUUGGUAUCAUGUGAGGAAUCAUAAAUAUUUAAAGAAGAAAAAUAGGACAAUAAAUUGGUGGUACGUGUAAUAUAUCAUGGUACAUGAUAUACCCAUUUACACAGAUUUUUCAUGUCCUCAUCAACCUUUGGUAUCAUACUCUGAAUCAUAAUGCUUUAAAGAAGAAAGAUAAGGUAAGAAGGGGUUGGUACGCGUGAUAAACUAUGGUACAUAACUUAACCAUAGACACAAAAUUUCAAAAUUUUAUCUGUGUAUGGUAUCGUACAGUGAAUCAUCAAGUUUUAUGAUAAAAGACUUAUUGUGAGAGAAAAGGAUAUCUCAGUCACACUGAGGUGUAAUCAGUGAGAAUCAUAGACAAUUUGUGAGUCAUUAACUGAGAGUGGUUCAACUCCUAUCAUUAUAGAGUUAUGUUUAUAGUUUCAACAUAGAUUCAAUGCUUCACCAUCAACACUUUUUGAUAUGGUACAAGAUGGAAUUAAGAAAAUUAGUAAAAACACAAAGAAACAAUCAAAAAGACCCGAUAUGGUGUGUCUUUUCAAAUGAAUAUUCAUAAAGUACUUCAUUUUUCAAGAAACUUGCCACACCAUAUUUUGUCUAAAGAAGAAAGACAAAUUAGCACUCAUUUUACACCCCAAAAGACAUAAAAAUAUAGAGAUUUAAGCACCAAUAUAGAGAAAGAGAUGUUCUUAUCCUUCAAAUAUGAGAUUAUUCUGAUGGAUUCCAAGCUUCGUAUUUAUCCUAAUAAGAAGAGAUCUGAAGUAGUAUAGUCUUUGUAACCAAUGAGUUAAAUGGUUCUAAUCUUUCUAACCUUGAAGUUAUGACAUUCAACAGGAGAAGACUCAGAGAAACAAUGUGUGACAUCCCCAAUUUCACGGCCAGAAAAGAUCAAUUUGUUUAUGCUUUAUUUGAAAAUCAGAGUAUCCUUUUGAAGAAAUAUGUUGCAAAAUUUGUUCCAAAAAAUAUAUGAUAAAGAUAUUAUCAAAGCAUUUCCGAAGAAAUGUAUUUUAAAUAAAAUAAAAACGUUAGGAUGUCCUUGUCAAUACAGUACAAAAGCCUAAACAGAAAUAGUACAGGCCUUACAACAUCUAUUAUUCUAAUGGCGUAGAAUCCAUUGAUCUCUCAUUAGAGCAUCACUCUUAUUCUCUAUUGCCACUACAUGUAAUACAAAAAAUUGAUUGGGUCAGACUUGGUAUCCUGGUGAACACAUAAGGUUUUCAACCCACAAUAAUUAAGUUCAUUAAUUUACAUCAUAUCAUUCAACCCGAUUACCCAUUCAUGUUAUCCUUAAUUUUUGUCUCUAAAGCAUCUAAUUUAGGGGACCUAGCCUAACAAUUAUCAUCGGGAUGGACAAUACUGCUUAGGGGAUUCGUCAACAAUAUAUGUCAAAAGGCAACCUUGGGGGGAUGGAGUACACCUGGAGAAUACAUAGUUCAAAAACACCUAUAGAUUGCGAGCCUGUUAGCAUUCCACAGGACUGUCUAGAAUAGCCCGUGGCUGUCAUCUAUGCUUCGCUAGAUGACUGAAUCAGCUUAAACAUCGAGGUCUCUCAUCAUUUAUUUCAUCAUCUAUAUCAUCUACCCAUCUUUACCCAUCAUAAUUAUAGGUAUAAAAUACAUAUACAGUUUAAAUCUAAUAAAACAUCUAUAAUUUGUUCAUCCAUCAUAGAUAUCAUGAACACAUAUAAUAUGCACACAUAGCACUUAAUUUAUAUUAAAUACUUCAUAUCUAUGUGUAAGAUGAAAGUAAGUAUGCACUCACUUGUUAAAGUGAUGACUCGAAAUUCGGGCAACACUUCGCUUCUAACAAUUUUCUUUUCCUUCGACGAAACCUACUACUAUAAUUACUAGAUUUUAGUCUAAUAUUUAUUGCAACUAAUUAUUAGUCUAGAUUUAUCAUUAACUCAAAGUCUACUUUCAUGAUCUAUCAAGUAAGAAUCAACCAGGUAGGACAGUUGGGAGGCAGGACCAUUUCGACAUAUAGCUUUUUUGAAAUCCAAAAAACCAAGCAGACGUGACCAAUCUAGACCCAUCUCCCGUAAGUAGAUCAAUCAGUAUAAUGACUUUGAAUCACUGAUAAAUCUUGUUUAUAGGUUCAUAAUAACGAUAGUGAACUUAAACAUAAGUUAUACUUAAAGUAGGGUAAGCAUAACUCACUUACAAGGGGGAUUAGCGAGGAGCCGGGUCCUGCGCGGGCAGAACUUUUGAGCCGAAAAAUCUUCUUCUCGGGGCCUUCUGGCACUCCAGGACUCGCCUCUAUCACUUAGGAAGUGCUAGGGAAUCAAAGAGAGGGUUUGGGGGUAUUGGGAGAGAGUGGGAUAAUAAUAGUGUGACCAAAAUGAGAGAUUUGCGUUUCUAUUUAUAUGCUGGGAAAUUGGAGUACGCGAGGCGUAAUUACAAAGUAUGAAGGGCAUACCAAGCCUUAUGUGGGGCAUAAACAGGUCAUGUUUCGAGAUCAUAUGCAAAGCCGUGGGGAGAAAUGUAGGACUGAGAUGGUGUCAGGUGGCACUCCGAGGUUAACCCAAAAAUUAAUUAAUUUCUAAAAUCCGUAAAUUUCGCAUACUAGCUCCGUUUUUGACGUUCUUUAUAUCCACGCAUAGGUAGUGACGCAAUCUACAACUUUCAUUUUAACUCCGUCUGCUACUUUUGACUUUAUUUUUAAAGUUAUAUUUUAACAGACUUAUAUAGUUAAAGUCCGUUAAAAAUUCAUAAUUUUGUCAUCCCGACGUUUGUUUUCGUCUUUCUUUAUAUCAUUGAGCUCCUAUUAAUGAGAUAUUCGAUUCUCGUUUAGAAUGUGUCGGCUAAAAAUCGAUCGUUCUAAAAUUCGAUUACUGGGCUACAAACUACUAUGUCAAAUCUUACAAAAAUCAUAACUUCCUCUAAGGAUGUCAGAUUUUGACUUUAUUUAUAUGCACGCUCUUGGUUUAACCUAUACUAUGACUUUUGUUUAGAUAGUUAAGGCUAAAAAGUAUUUUAUCGCAAACUGACUUUUUAAGAUACACAACGUCGUGUCGGUUUUGUUACAAAACUUCGACAAGUCAUAACUUCUUCGUUAUAUGUCAGAUUUUAGCGUUUCUUAUAUCAGCGAAAUCCAUGUUACAACUACUUUAACAUUCUUCAUAGAUAUUGAGUGUAUCUAUUAAUUUAUUUUUGAUGCAUGAUUUUAUUAUUAUUUUAUUACAUCGUUAUAAGCACGUAUAUUGUACAUAAAUCACAUAAAUCACAUAAAUCACAUAAUAGUCAAACAAUACCUCUUCAUUACUUUAAAAUAGAUUAUAAUUGUCGACCCUAAGUAUUACAUCAUAAUAUUAACAACAAGUUACAUAAAUGGUCCCUAUAGUUUGGUUGAAUUCUCUGUUUUGGUCCCUAAGUUUAAAACUUGAUAGGUUAGAUUCAUGUGGUUUGUGAAAAUUACACUGUUGGUCAUUGGCCCAUAUAAAAAGACCAAAUUACACUUUCCUUCUUUUUUCUUUUUCUUUUAACAAUUUAUUAUAUAUAUNGUGUGUUUGUGUGUGUGUGUGUGUGUAUAUAUAUAUAUAUAUAAUUCUUUUUUAUUUAUAUUUUAAUAGAAUUAAAAUAGAUUUUUUAUAAAAUUGUUUUUAUUUUUUAAAUCAAUUAUCUAAAUUAUAUAAAAUCAUAUUAUUAUUAUUAUUUAUUAUUUAUUUUAUUUGUUUAUCUUUGUUUUUGUGGUUUAAAAAUCUUUUUAUAUUUUUGACGUUUUAUUUCAAUAUACUUUUUAAUGUUUUCUUGAUGUUUUGUUCGUCAUAUAUAAUUAUUUAAUGUUGUUUUUAGGUGUUUUUUGCUUAUAGACAGUACGAAAAGGCUGCACCAUUAAGAUCUGGCCUCAAAUAAUCUAGUAAGAUUCUUUUAAUCCUAUCAGAAAUUGGAUUAAUUGUUGAUCUUCAAGAUAUUUGUGAAGUUUAGCAGUCGCACCACAAGUAUAAUUUGGAGUAUCAUGAACAAUUUUCAAUUCCUCCUAAAUUUUAGUUAGUUUUGUGAAGUAAGUGGAGAAAUCAGUAGUGUUUUUGUGAAAUUAAAUACAAUUGUUGUUGGAUUUGAUAGAUUAAAGCACCAUAGGAUUAUUCAUACCUUUGAUGAAGUUCAUUCUAUAUAUGUCAUGCAGUUUGUAAAAACAAAACAGGAUUAAAAAAGUAUUUCACACCAAACCAAAUGGAAUAGGUGGAAGAAUCACUUGCUGGUAGUGAAAUAGAGCCAUAAAAAAAUAGUUUGCUUUUGAAAGUGAAAACAACAUAGUAACACCACUUUCAUGUAGAGAAUCAAACAAAAUUGGAUAUUCAGUGGUGUUAGUAGAAGGAAUUGAUCAUGAUUCAACCGUUGAUGAAGCUUAAAAGAAAACGAAUGUGAACCGAGAUUGCGAAAAUUGAAACAUGAAUCGAGUUAAUCUGAUACCAUGAGAGAGAGAGAGAGAGAGAGAGAGAGAGAGAGUUGAAACAUGAAUCGAGUUAAGCUGAUACCAUAAGAGAGAGAGAGAGAGAGAGAGGGAGAGGGAGAGAGAGAGAGAGAGAGAGAGAAUGAAAUGGAGAAAAUAUUCUCAUAGAUUAUGAAAUCAGAAAAGUACAACGAAUAUAUACAAAAAUCUUUUAACUAACUAUUAAUAACGAACUUGUAACAAACUAGGCAUAAAUUAUGAAAAUACCCUUAAUUAUGUAUAAAAUUAAUAACAUUUUGAUUCUUCUUCUUGGUGGGGUGGAUAUAUGCAUGCUAAAAACAAUAUGAUAUAUAUGUUUAAGUCAUUCAAUGAAGUUGCAAAAGGAAAAAAAAAAAGUGAUUUCAUGAUUACGGAUACAUAAAAAUUAAGGAUAAUGAAAAAGGGAAAACAAAUGGAAGAAAUGGAAAUAUCAAGGGAUUGUGAAACUCAUCAAGGUUUGAAGUACAAACUAAUGAUAACGGAAUUGUUGUAAUACGAUGAUAUUUAUAGUUAUCUUUCCCAUCAUUGUAUUUCACUUUUUGCUUGAAUAAUAAAUGGUGCUAAUACACUACCUUUUUGCUUGAAUAAUAAAUGGUGCUACUACACUACCUCGUACUCAUAUAAAUUGUCAAAUUAUGGAGCUACACGCUAUUCCAUUUACACGGGUUACACGAUGGAAUUUAGAAUGGUACAUAUAGAUUUACUCAUAAUAAACCCUAACCGUAGUGGCGAAUCUAGAACCAAAAACCAUGUAGUUUUUUAUGUAAAUGAAACAAAAAGAGUAAAUUACACGAAUGGUCUCUAUGGUUUAUGGUUAUUUGCACGUUUGGUCUCUAACUUAUUGUUUUAACUCGGAAGGUCUCUACUGUUUGUUUUGUUACGCACUUGGUCCCUUUCUUACCUAAAAGGACUAUGUUUCCCUUGAUUUUUUGAUUUUUUUUUUUAAAUUAACACACCCCCACCCCUACCCCUCAUCUUAAUUACCUAAUCCAUCAUUUUUCUCUAUUUAAAUAAUAGUAUUUUUAAGUAAGAUAGAGACCAAACGUGUAACAAAAACAAACAGUAGGGACCAAACACGUAACAAAAAUAAAUAGCAAGGACCUUCUGAGUUAAAAAAAUAAGCUACGGACUAAACUUGUAAAUUAUCCCAAACCAUAGGGACCAUUCAUGUAAUUUACUCAAACUAAAAAAACAAAAGAGUAAAAAUUACGAAUUGUAUUGGGUCGGGUUGUAUACCUUAAAAUAAUUAAACAUAACUUCACUAUUUAUAAUAAUUUUACAUUUAAACUCUAACGUCUUAUAUCUUGAAAUAUAUAUUAAUAAUUAUAUCGUUAUCGAUACUUUCUAAAACACUUUUUUUAAUUAAUGAUAUUAAACUAUCAUCCAAAAAUUGAAAUAUAUAAAUAUAAGCAGGAAGAAGUGGCACCCGGUGGAAGGAUAAUGAUUGUUGGUGGCCUCGCCAGACGACGGAUGACGGGCAGUGGAUCUAUCGAUCAAACAUGCAAGAACCUUUGAGGCGUCAAGCGUUAGGAGAUCUCAAUUAGUGAUCACAUUUGGUAAAGUUUUCUGUUAUUAUUUUAAAUGGAUUGAUCUGUUGCGUAAUGAAUAAAUUUUAAAUGAAUUUACGUAGUGGCAGUGACGGACACAUAAUGUUUUCGUAGGGACGUCACUCGUACUUCAAGCCGGUAUACCUAAUAGAAAAGAUAUUUUUUUACACUACGUAUGUGCCGGAAAUUGAAUAGUAACCCGGGACCCCCUAGGCUCCACUAAGGUCUGCCCCUGUGUGGUGGACUAUUUUAAACGGAUUAUUUUAUAUAAAAUUUAGGUUGAUGUAUUUUUAUUUUUAUUUUUCCAAAAAUUACAUAGGUACUAUAACACUAAUGAGAUAUUCACCAAUUUUUUCAUAUAUAUUUUAUAUUAAUAUUACUAAUAUUAAGAAAAAUAGGUAGGUCCUAGCUACCUUCAAAGUAGCUAGGCCCUUGCUGUAUUCCCUUUGUUUUUUUAUUAGUUUACAAAUGAAACAUUCUUAUAGUAAAAACAUAUCUUAUGUGUCUAUAUAUAGCAACACACAAGAAACAACGUGCUGAUCAAGAUUUCCAAGAUGACAAUGGAGGAGUCUCGGUGUCCUUAAAUGUUGGAAUACCAUCCCAAUAUCGACCACCCUUAACUGAAUCAGAUGAAGCAAUGGCUUCAAGUUCAGCCAUGUCUUUUCUGAUGUUAGUCUCACAGAUAAAGCUCCAAUGUUGUGUUCAAGAUUCUCAAUCUUUGUGGUUCCUGGAAUUGGCACCACAUCAUUCCCCUGGUGGUGAACCCAAGCCAAUGAUAGUUGGGAUGGGGUGCACCCCUUCUUCGCCGCCAUCCUAUUCACCUUCUUAUACAUGAUCUUGUUAUGCUCAAUAUUUUCAGGUUGGAACCUCGGCAAUAACUACAAUUAGAAAAUCUUGUACCCGAUAUGAACGACCUAUUCGUUUGUCAAUUGUGUUGGAAGAAAUUAUGGAUAAACAAGAAGAAGAAGAUGAUUUAUCAUACGUAAAUGUCAACUGCUUUAUUAAUUAACAGAGUUUACAUAUUUAUAUAUCCCUAACAUCCCUAACCAUCACGUCCAUUCAUUAGGACGGUUACAUAACUGAUAACGACUUUUACUAUAAACACCAACUAACUGAUUAUAAUUAGAUAAUAUUUACAAAGUAUCUAGCUUAACUCUAACAUUCCCCUCUUAAGCUAGAUUUCAGAUACUCCAAGAUUCUUCUUCAAACGAUUGAAGUUACCCACUUGCAAAGCCUUGGUAAAUACAUCUGCUAACUGAUCCUUUGUUCCACAAAAAACAAACUUCCACAUCUUUGUUUGCAACAAGUUCACGGAUGAAGUGAUAUUUAAUUCGAAUAUGCUUACUUUUCCAUGGAAUAUAGGGUUUUUUGACAGAGCUAUGGCAGAUUUGUUAUCACAGAAAAGCUUUGUUGCAUUGAUUUGGUAUUUUCCUAGUGUGACCAAAAUACCCCUAAGCCACAAAGCUUGGCAGCCAGCCAUUGAAAGUGAAAUGUACUACACCUCAGCAGAAGAUAUGGCGACUACAUUUUGCUUUUUCAUUUUCCAUGAUAUGGCUCCAGAGCCAAGGUUAAAAAUAUAGCCUGUGGUGCUUUUACUAUCAUCUAUACACCCACCAUAAUCACUGUAACAACCCGAAAUUCGUAUCACUGCUUGUACCCCUUUUCGCGACUUAUUUCGAUCAUCCAAUCGCCGUUUCCAAUUUCGUUUCCAAUUCCGACAUUUAAUUAAGUCAUUAAUGUUGAUAUUAUUUUAUGACUUAAUGAGUGUCUUAAUACCCUUAGAACUCAUUCUAACACUUCAUAUUAGUGAUCGGAACAUUUCUAGAAUCAGCCAUAUCGGGUUACGGCAAUUUGGCCGGGUGCGACCAAAAGCCCCGUCUAACGCUGGUAUCGGGUAGAAUUCCACCGUGUCCCGAACUUGGACACUAUUUAAAGAGAUCCAAGCUUUCAUUUGAAGCUUUUUCUUCAUUUCACAACCAUCUCUCUCUAACCUCUCUCCUCAAGCUAGAUUCAAGGUCCAAAACAUCAAAUUUAGGCUUCAAAUCACCAAGGUAAUCAUCUUAGCCCUUAGUAUAGUAUCCUUAGCCUUCAUUUUCUUGUCUAAAUCAUGGAAUAGGACCAUAAACAUGUGUUUAUAGCCCUGGAACAGCCUUAGGCCGUAAACACAUGAAAAAGGGGGGGUUUUGAGCAACAAAACCCUUCCAAACCACAACUAGACUUUAGAUAUGGCUAAAUGACUUCAAGGAAUGGACUUAGAGCACUUUAGACAUGGAUUUUGAGGGAUUUGAAUGAGUUUAUGGCCAAGACAUAUGCUUGGGCCGUAAACCCCUCAAAGAUGGGAGUAAACACAUUUCAAACAUGUUAGAAAGCCAUCCAUCACCACCAAAAGCCUUGGAAUAAAUCAUAGAACCAACCAAAAAUAGUUUAGGGACCUUAAACAUAUCAAAACUCUUCAUUUGAGAGUUUACGGCCAUAGCAUGUGCUCCAGGGUCGUAAACUCCUAAAAAUGUGUUAUUUGAUGCCCUAAAUUCAUACCAAGGCUUGUAAAAAUUAUUGGAAUCACAUGUGAUUAAUCUAAGGCCUUUAAAUCACUCAAUCAAGGAGAGUUUAGGAGUUUACGGCCGUAAGCUCCAUUCUAGGGCCGUAAACUCCCUUAAGUGUUGUUAUUGGUGAUUUAAAUUCAUUCCAUGCCUUAGAUAAAAUUGUUCCAACCCUUCCCAAGUGUUAUUGACCCAUUAAGCACCAUAAAUCUUGCCAACAUGAGUUCACGGCCGUGAACUCAUGUGUGAGUGGUGUAUAUGGACGAAAACUCAUUAGGGAGUUUACUCUUGAAGAGUAAACUCAAAUCCCAAGUCCCUUGCAUCAAUAUACGUCCGUAGAUGUCACCCGGGUCACUCCAAACACUCGUUUUGAAGUGUUUUCGCUCAUUGGAGUGUAAUAUCAUAUCUAAUUAGAGUUUAUAAAUCUAAUUAGAUAUAUUUGUAUACCAUUUCAUAUUACAUAGGAACCUCGCUCGUAUUCAAGCCUCGAUUCGACGUUUAGCAUCCUAGUCGUCACAUUCCGCGUCCGGUGAGUUCAUACCCCUACUUUUUUUUACAAUGGUUUUUAAAUGUUUUCAGGGGGGAAUACAAGCAAAAGUACAAGAAUAUCUUGUACUUAAAUUCAUUAUUUUACUUAAAUGGUUUCAUAAUUCGCACACUUUUAAGAAUUGAAAACCUACUAACAAAUUGUUUUAACUUGCAGAGUUGUUUGUUUAAAUGAUUUCAAUUCUUAUUAUAUACUGUUAUGUUUCAUAAUUGAUUGUUCACAAUUAUAUUGAUAGAGAUCUUAAAACCUUUGUAAUGUCUGUAAUAAAACACCAUAGGCUCGAGUGUAAAGGAUAGACACCAUUACAAAACAUAAAACAUUUGUAAUGUCUGUAAUAAAACACCCUAGGCUCGAGUGUAAAGGAUAGACACCAUUAGAAAACAUAAAACAUUUGUAAUGUCCUUAAUAAAACACCUAGGCUCGAGUGUAAAGGACAGGCACCAUUAGAACUUAGUUAGUCAUAGAUACUACUUCCCUAGGCACGAGAAGAAAGAGUAAUCUUAAAGAUUGGAGACACGUCCUCGGUGAACACUCCACAGAGAUACGCGAGUGGAGGACCGCACCUGUAACCAGAAUCUCUUAGAUAGGGAGCGUGACUUGAGUGUAUAGAUCUAUACGGGACUGACAAUCCCGCACCUGGCUGCUAGCUACAACCGAACCGAAAGGUUCAAGGGUGACGAAAGUCAUAAAAAGGAUACUGGCCAUGACCCGAGUCAUAUCUGGUCUGAAGUAUGGUUAUGGAACUCGCAAUCAAGAUUAUGAACACUUCACACUUAAUUAUUAGUUUUAUGUACGUAAUAAAACUAAUGUACAAUUAAGGAUAAUCAGACUUUCAGGAGAAUUCGCACACACACACGUUCAGGAAAAUAUGGGAUUUUCCUGGGGGAUAACAUUAAACAUAAUCAGAAUUGGUAACAGUUCACACACACACACAUGUAGGAAAAUAUAGCAUUUUCCUGAGUAACAGUAGUACGUAAGCAGAAAAUUGUAACAAGUUGGAUAACUAAAAUUUACAAUUCACAAGAACAAUUAUGUUUUCAGAAUACAUCUUUUUCAUUACAUUUUGGAUUUGGUAACCAACUUUUAAGAAAAUAUGGGAUUUUCUUGGAUAACCACUUUUUCAGGAAACCAAAGGAACUUGUACAUUUUUCACAAAACAAAACCGCUUAUGAAGUCACCAGCUUUAUGCUGAUUUUCAAACUGCUUGUAUUCUCAGGUCCGUAUUAGACAGGUACCCGACGAUCUCUUUUGGCGAAGACGGAGUGCGUAGAAGACUCGUCUUAUUUUGUUUAUAUAUAUACUAUGUAUCACAUGUAUAACUUUACUUUUGAAACAAAUGUAAACUAUUAUAUAUGUAAUGUAAUGGUUGUCUACUUUGCUUACUAUGUGCAUUGCAUUUGAUACUCAACGAGGAGUCCGCCCCGGAAAUGUUUCCGCCUUCGGUUUUCGGGGUGUGACAGAUUGGUAUCAGAGCCCUUGUUUAUAGUGAAUAAAGUAUACCAAACCUUACAUGGUAUAAAACUAUAAACAUUAAGGGGCCUAAAGUGCUCUGAACUAAAAGUAUCCUUCAAAAUAGAAUUAUUUUCAAAAGUAUAUAAGUAUACCGAACCGUCGAGAUCCGUAACUACAAGUAGAACAAAACAUAAGUAAAUGGGUGUUGUGUACUGCGUUAAACCUGGGCAGUUAUGUAGUCGUGUCUAGGAUCAAUAUAGCCUGGCCAACUAUAUUCAUUCGAGACACGGCCAACAUGUGCUUGGGAGUGACUGUAGUAUGCGGCAUGCCUAAAAUUUACCCUAAUACCACAAACAUGGAACCAGCGUCGUAACAAAUCAUGAAAUACUAUGGGAGUAUUUCUCGAGCCAAUCCUUGGUAGAACUCCUUGUUCACGCAUUGUUCUUUAAUCAUUCCCUCAGCGAUACUUUUCCCGCUUAGAUAGCUCUUUCCUGCUUUAUCGCUUAUUCAGCAUAUAUUCGUUAUAUCUCUUGAUUCAAUUCAGAGGACUUAUCAUCCUCUCUUUCUUGAUCUUAUUAGAUCAAGAUGCCUCCAAGAAAGAGACCCAGCUCCAAGACCAACAACCCUUCGCCACCACCUCCUCCCCAAAUUGAUCCUGUAGUAUUCCAGGCAGCUGUUACAGCCGCAGUGACAGCUGCCAUGUCUCAACGGAACUCUGGCGGUUCCGGUGGUUCGGGAGGUGGUACCCAAACCCAAAACCAAGAAAGCAGUCAGGGACACCGGAAAGAGGGUUCCUAUAAGGAUUUCAUGAACGCAAAACCCACGUCCUUUGAUGGCACUGGAGGUGUCAUUUCCCUCACCCGAUGGUUCGAGAAGAUCGAAUCCAUCUUUGAAAUUUGCGCCUACUCAAAAUCUGACAAAGUGAAGUUUGCCGCCUGCACCUUUAUCGACAAAGCCCUGACGUGGUGGAAUGGCCGAGUCAAAUCCCUAACCUUACCUGUAGCCAACACCAUGGGUUGGGAAGCCAUGAAGAAACUUCUGCUGGCUGAGUACUUCCCUCGGGGCGAAAUGAAAAAGUUAGAACACGAACUCUGGAACCUGAAGAUGAAAGGUUCCGACAUCACUGCUUACACUUCCAGGUUCGACGACUUGGCAUUACUCUGCCCGGGAAUGGUUACCCCGGAGAGUAAGAAGAUAGAGAGAUUCAUCUGGGAGCUGACCCAGCCAACGAAAGGAAAUGUCAUAGCUGCAAGGCCGGAUACAUACGACAGCGCCAAACACUUAGCACAAAUCCUAAUCGAUCAUAGUGACGACCUAGAGGAGGCCGCUACCACUCCUUAGCCGACAAAGAGGAGUGGUGAGAAAAGAAAAAUCAGGAAGAAGGAGAAAAGUCAAACAUCACAUGAAUCUUCGAAGAGACAGCAAAUAGUAGCAGUUCACGCUGCCACUUCCCCUGCAGCUGUCUCUGUUGUUGGAUCCUCAACUCGAAAACCUGUCAGUAGGUAUGCUGGAAGCCUUCCUAGUUGUGACAAGUGCAACUAUCAUCACUUUCCUUCCGGUUCAUGUAUAGAGGUAUUUUGCAACAAAUAUGGCAUAAAGGGUCACAUGGCGAAAAACUGUAAGACACCAACUCAAUCAACGAGUCAAACUUCCGGAGCGGGCAUUGGUCAGGCCUGCUAUGGUUGUGGAGAAGUUGGACAUCUCAAGAGAAACUGCCCCAAGGCAGUAACACCUGGCAACGCCGGAAGUGUUCUAGCGGUAGGACAAGAGGAGACAGCUACCAAUCCCACCAUUGCCACAGGUAUAUUUCCCGUUGAAUGUUAUGCCUGUGAUUCUUUUCGAUUUUAUUGCUGAAAGAAAUUCGCUAACCAUCCAUUUGAACAUCUUUAAAACCCUUUCAUUUGUGAGUAAUCGAAAAUGUAUACCGUCGAGAUGGUUAUCAAGUGAGAAUGGGGACGCUAACGUCAUAUCCGUAGAUUGUAUCCUUAAUCCGAACAAUUAUUCUUUUCUGUUCGAUCUAAUGGCAACCUUUUCAUGAAAUGCUUUGAUGCCAUCUUUGGCAUGUAAUGACCGAGCCUCAUUCAUGCUGUUAUUCUUGGUUUCGAGAAAGCCAUACGUCUUAACCUUCCUCCGACCCGACUCUCAUGAUCUUCGUGCAUCAAAGCUUAAAAAGUUUUUCCCAUGUAUUCCUCGUUCAUGUGAUCAUCGAGAAACGAGAAGUCUGCAAUUCUUUCCCCGAUACUGUUUCCAAAGGAUUCUUGAGAAUUCUUUCCUAACGCGUAGUCCAGUCUCGCAUCGACCAAGUCCCUGGAAUUACCUCAUAGUCCAAAAACCUUAGUGAGCACGAUGUGUCCAAGAGAGCAACCAGGGCUUGAUAUGAUCGCUACAAGGUAGUAGUGGUACCCUUCGAUCAAACCAUUUUCCUGGUCAAGUAGACAAGCAAAGCAGUCAUAUUUGUGAACCUCUCCAAAAGCUAAGGCAAUAAAGAAUCAGUCGGAACUGGGGAUACCCAUAGAAACCCGUCAAUUCUUGGAUCCCGUCGGCUAUGAUCGUAGACUCACGUAGAAGUUUCCUUUAGAACCAUCGGACCCUUAGCUACUCUGCCACAUGAAUAUGUACCCACUUGUUGGAAGUUUUACUCUGGAAAGACAUAGUAUGCCUUGGGAAGUGCGGAAAACUUAACUCAUGGAACAUUAGACCCUUCGAGAUCCUCGUUAGGAAUCGAUUCCAUAGCCCUCUUCGAGCUAUCUUUAGAACUCAGCAGCAACCAUCUGGCAUUCCACAUCUUUGAUAGUAAGGAUUGCCGACCUGACGAAACCCUAGAACUCCCUUGAUGAGAUCGAAACCAACGGAAGUCCGAACCUUCAUGGAUGAAUCAAUUGAGAUCAUGGAUCGAGAGGUUAGUCUUGCGUAACAAAGCCACAUCCUGACAGUGAGGGUUCGCUGAAAUGUCAAGCGGAGACCCGAUUCCACUUUGGAGCAUGAAGACCCGAAGCAGUAGAUUCAUCCUCACAUCUCUUUUCACUUCGUGAUCUGUGUUCGAAUCUUUGAAUUUCGGGACGAAAUUCCCUCUAACGUGGGGAUAAUGUAACAACCCGAAAUUCGUAUCACUGCUUGUACCCCUUGUCGCGACUCAUUUCGAUCAUCCAAUCGCCGUUUCCAAUUUCGUUUCCAAUUCCGACAUUUAAUUAAGUCAUUAAUGUGGAUAUUAUUUUAUGACUUAAUGAAUGUCUUAAUACCCUUAGAACUCAUUCUAACACCUCGUAUUAGUGGUCGGAACAUUUCUAGAAUCAGCUAUAUCGGGUUACGGCAAUUUGGCCGGGUGCGACCAAAAGCCCCGUCUCACGCUGGUAUCGGGUAGAAUUCCACUGUGUCCCGAACUUAGACACUAUUUAAAGAGAUCCAAGCUUUCAUUUGAAGCUUUUGCUUCAUUUCACAACCAUCUCUCUCUAACCUCUCUCCUCAAGCUAGAUUCAAGGUCCAAAACAUCAAAUUUAGGCUUCAAAUCACCAAGAUAAUCAUCUUAGCCCUUAGUAUAGCAUCCAUAGCCUUCAUUUUCGUGUCUAAAUCAUGGAAUAGGACCAUAAACAUGUGUUUACGGCCCUGGAACAGCCUUAGGCCGUAAACACAUGAAAAGGGGGUUUUUGAGCAACAAAACCCUUCCAAACCACAACUAGACUUUAGAUAUGGCUAAACGACUUCAUGGAAUGGACUUAGAACACUCUAGACAUGGAUUUUGAAGGAUUUGAAUGAGUUUACUGCCAAGACAUAUGCUUGAGCCGUAAACCCCUCAAACAUGGGAGUAAACACAUUUCAAACAUGUUAGAAAGCCACCCAUCACCACCAAAAGCCUUGGAAUAAAUCAUAGAACCAAGCAAAAAUAGUUUAGAGACCUUAAAUAUAUCAAAAAUCUUCAUUUGAGAGUUUACGGCCAUAGCAUGUGCUCCAGGGCCGUAAACUCCUAAAAAUGUGUUAUUUGAUGCCCUAAAUUCAUACCAAGGCUUGUAAAAAUUAUUGGAAUCACAUGUGAUUAAUCUAAGGCCUUUAACUCACUCAUUCAAGGAGAGUUUAGGAGUUUAUGGCCGUAAGCUCCAUGCUAGGGCCGUAAACUCCCUUAAGUGUUCUUAUUGGUGAUUUAAAUUCAUUCCAUGCCUUAGAUAAAAUUGUUCCAACCCUUCCCAAGUGUUAUUGACCCAUUAAGCACCAUAAAUCUUGCCAACAUGAGUUCACGGCCAUGAACUCAUGUGUGAGUGGUGUAUAUGGACGAAAAUUCAUUAGGGAGUUUACUCUUCAAGAGUAAACUCAAAUCCCAAGUCCCUCGCAUCAAUACACGUCCGUAGAUGUCACCCGGGUCACUCCAAACACUCGUUUUGAAUUGUUUUCGCUCAUUGGAGUGUAAUAUCAUAUCUAAUUAGAGUUUAUAAAUCUAAUUAGAUAUAUUUGUAUACCAUUUCAUAUUACAUAGGAACCUCGCUCGUAUUCAAGCCUCGAUUCGACGUUUAGCAUCCUAGUCGUCACAUUCCGCGUCCGGUGAGUUCAUACCCCUACUUUUUUUUACAAUGGUUUUUAAAUGUUUUCAGGGGGGAAUACAAGCAAAAGUACAAUUAUAUCUUGUACUUAAAUUCAUUAUUUUACUUAAAUAAUUUCAUAAUUCGCACACUUUUAAGAAUUGAAAACCUACUAACAAACUGUUUUAACUUGCAGAGUUGUUUGUUUAAAUGAUUUCAAUUCUUAUUAUAUACUGUUAUGUUUCACAAUUUAUUGUUCACACUUAUAUUGAUAGAGAUCUUAAAACCUUUGUAAUGUCUGUAAUAAAACAGCCUAGGCUCGAGUGUAAAGGAUAGACACGAUUACAAAACAUAAAACAUUUGUAAUGUCUGUAAUAAAACACCCUAGGCUCUAGUGUAAAGGAUAGACACCAAUAGAAAACAUAAAACAUUUGUAAUGUCCUUAAUAAAACACCUAGGCUCGAGUGUAAAGGACACACACCAUUAGAACUUAGUUAGUCAUAGAUACUACUUCCCUAGGCACGAGAGUAAAGAGUAAUCUUAAAGAUUGGAGACAUGUCCUCGGUGAACACUCCACAGAGAUACGCGAGUGGAGGACCGCACCUGUAACCAGAAUCUCUUAGAUAGGGAGCGUGACUUGAGUGUAUAGAUCUAUACGGGACUGACAAUCCCGCACCUGGCUGCUAGCUACAGCCGAACCGAAAGGUUCAAGGGUGACGAAAGUCAUAAAAAGGAUACUGGCCACGACUCGAGUCAUAUCUGGUCUGAAGUAUGGUUAUGGAACUCACAAUCAAGAUUAUGAACACUUCACAGUUAAUUAUUAGUUUUAUGUACGUAAUAAAACUAAUGUACAAUUAAGGAUAAUCAGACUUUCAGGAGAAUUCGCACACACACACGUUCAGGAAAAUAUGGGAUUUUCCUGGGGGAUAACAUUAAACAUAAUCAGAAUUGGUAACAGUUCACACACACACACAUGUAGGAAAAUAUAGGAUUUUCCUGAGUAACAGUAGUACGUAAGCAGAAAAUUGUAACAAGUUGGAUAACUAAACUUUACAAUUCACAAGAAUAAUUAUGUUUUCAGAAUACAUCUUUUUCAUAACAUUUUGGAUUUGGUAACCAACUUUUAAGAAAAUAUGGGAUUUUCUUGGAUAACCACUUUUUCAGGAAACCAAAGGAACUCAUACAUUUUUCACAAAACAAAACCGCUUAUGAACUCACCAGCUUUAUGUUGAUUUUCAAUCUGCUUGUAUUCUCAGGUACGUGUUAGACAGGUACCCGACGAUCUCUUUCGGUGAAGACGGAGUGCGUAGAAGACUCGUCUCAUUUUGUUUAUAUAUACUAUGUAUCACAUGUAUAACUUUACUUUUGAAACAAAUGUAAACUAUUAUAUAUGUAAUGUANUGUUUUAGUGUAAUCAACAAUUGUCCGAUUGGGAGUGUGGUUACUACGUUAUGAACUGGAUGCAUGGGUUUGUAAUUUUUCGACAACAUGGAUUUCCGAAAGUAAGUAUAUUGUUAGAUAUUUUUUUCAUUUUUGUUUAUUGUAAUAAAGGCUCACCUUUGUUAAAUAACAAAUUUUUUAUCUUAAUUUGUUUGUAGAACAUUUUGAAGGACAAAAAACCAUUUUUUAGUGAGGAAUUGGAGGAACGUGUUAAAACAUGGAUGAGAACUUUUGGUGAUAAAGUGAAGCCUUUUUGUAAGGUACACAAAUUGUAUUUCAUGUUGUAUUUGCUCAUAUUUUUUAUGUUCUGGAGAAGUUUUCACCCUUGCAUUGCUAUAGAUGAAGUUGUUAAUGGCCAAGGUCUUAUAAUUUGAGUUUUCAUCAUUAAAAGUUAUUUGAGAUUUUGAAUCCUAAGUUUUCUUGUUAAUUUUUGUAGGCAUACAAUGAAUCAACCACAUAGGGGAAAGAGAGGUUAGAGGUGACAAAGGGGAAAGAGAGGUUAGAGAUGUGACAUUAACAAAUUUUUUUCUGUUUAAUGAACUAAGUUCAUUGUAAUUUUUUUUUCUAUUUCUGAAAAUGAAAACAUGAUCACUGAUGUCCCACUUCUUAUGGUUGGAAUGGAAUCAUAUAGUAGGUUUGUAUUUUGUAGAGAUUGAUCCAUGUGUUCCAGAGCAUCCAUGGACUGUAAUUGACUGUUUGGAGUGGAAUUGGAAUGGAAUUGGUGUAUUAGAUGUGAGACAUCAAGUACGGUUGUUUAUUGGUGUAUUAGAUGUGUAUAUAUGGCGUAUUAGAUGAUUGUAUGUGUAAAAUAGAUAGGAUAAUAUAAUACGGUCAAAUAGCCGUACUCUAUUAUGCAUGUAAUCUAAUACACCCGUCUACUAAUACGCCCUCUAUGUACAUAUUAUAUUCACAAUGUCUGUAAUAAAACACCCUAGGCUAGAGUGUAAAGGAUAGACACCAUUACAAAACAUAAAACAUUUGUAAUGUCUGUAAUAAAACACCCUAGGCUCGAGUGUAAAGGAUAGACACCAUUAAAAAACAUAAAACAUUUGUAAUGUCCUUACUAAAUCACCUAGGAUCGAGUGUAAAGGACAGGCACCAUUAGAACUUAGUUAGUCAUAGAUACUACUUCCCUAGGCACGAGAGUAAAGAGUAAUCUUAAAGAUUGGAGACACGUCCUCGGUGAACACUCCACAGAGAUACGCGAGUGGAGGACCGCACCUGUAACCAGAAUCUCUUAGAUAGGGAGCGUGACUUGAGUGUAUAGAUCUAUACGGGACUGACAAUCCCGCACCUGGCUGCUAGCUACAGCCGAACCGAAAGGUUUAUGGGUGACGAAGUCAUAAAAAGGAUACUGGCCACGACUCGAGUCAUAUCUGGUCUGAAGUAUGGUUAUGGAACUCGCAAUCAAGAUUAUGAACACUUCACAGUUAAUUAUUAGUUUUAUGUACGUAAUAAAACUAAUGUACAAUUAAGGAUAAUCAGACUUUCAGGAGAAUUCGCACACACACACGUUCAGGAAAAUAUGGGAUUUUCCUGGGGGAUAACAUUAAACAUAAUCAGAAUUGGUAACAGUUCACACACACACACAUGUAGGAAAAUAUAGGAUUUUCCCGAGUAACAGUAGUACGUAACCAGAAAAUUGAAACAAGUUGGAUAACUAAACUUUACAAUUCACAAGAAUAAUUAUGUUUUCAGAAUACAUCUUUUUCAUUACAUUUUGGAUUUGGUAACCAACUUUUAAGAAAAUAUGGGAUUUUCUUGGAUAACCACUUUUUCAGGAAACCAAAGGAACUCGUACAUUUUUCACAAAACAAAACCGCUUAUGAACUCACCAGCUUUAUGUUGAUUUUCAAUCUGCUUGUAUUCUCAGGUACGUGUUAGACAGGUACCCGACGAUCUCUUUCGGUGAAGACGGAGUGCGUAGAAGACUCGUCUCAUUUUGUUUAUAUAUACUAUGUAUCACAUGUAUAACUUUACUUUUGAAACAAAUGUAAACUAUUAUAUAUGUAAUGUAACGGUUGUCUACUUUGCUUACUAUGUGCAUUGGAUUUGAUACUCAACGAGGAGUCCGCCCCGGAAAUGUUUCCGCCUUCGGUUUUCGGGGUGUGACAAUCAUUGUCGCUAAAACCUCUCAAACUUGCAUCCUCAGUUCUAGUAUAGAUAAGCCCGUGAUUGAGAGUACCAUUUAUGUAACGCAAUAUAUGCUUACCAACUUCCCAAUGACUUUUCUUGGGAUUCUCCAUGAUGCAACUAAUAACACUUACAGAAAACAUGAUAUCGGGUCUUGUUGCAGUUAAAUACAUAAGGCUACCUACCAUACUCCUAUAUAGACUAGGAUUCACAUCAUCUUCGGAUGUAUUUUUUGAGAAUUUUGAUCCAAACUCCAUUGGUGUAAAGACAGGUGAAGAACCCACCAUGUUGAAGCGUUUAAGCAGUUCCUUAGCAUACCUGUGUUGGGAAAUUGAGAUCCUCUUUUGCUCCUACUUUACCUCUAUUCCCAAGAAGUAAUGCAAUAGUCCCAUGUCAGUCAUUUCAAAUUCUGUUUUCAUAGAUUCCUUAAAUUCAUGAACCAUUUCCUCUAAGUUUCCUGUAAAAACCAAAUCAUCAACAUACAAACAACUAAUUAAGAUUUUUUUAGUAGCCUCUUUGACAAAGAGGGUAUGCUCGAAGGGGCAUUUCUUGAAGCCAUUAUCCAGGAAGUACUUUUCAAUUCUACUGUACCAGGCACGGGGUGCCUGCCUUAAACCAUACAAGGCCUUUUUCAAGUGACAAACUUUAUACUCUUCCCCCUUCUUCACAUAUCCAGUUGGUUGAUCAGUGUACACGUUUUCUUCAAGUGUGCCAUUUAGGAAGGCCAAUUUCACAUCCAUUUGAUGCACAUCCCAUUCAUUUUGUGCUGCUAAAGAAAGAACCAAACGAAUUGUUUCUAGUCUGAUUACCGGAGCAAAUACCUCAUGGUAAUCAAUUCCCAACUUUUGUUUGUAUCCCUAGGCGACUAAACUUGCCUUAUAUUUUUCAACCUCUCCUCUUUCAUUAAGUUUGGUUUUAUAUACCCAUUUGACACCAAUAGAUUUAUGAUCUUUGGGUGGAUCAACUAGUUCCCAUGUAUCAUUCUUCAGAAUUGACCUUAUUUCUGCAUCCAUUGCAUCUCUCCAUUUCUUAUCUUGAAUUGCAUCUUCAAAAGUAACAGGAUCAACAUCAAUAAAAAGAGCAUAGUCAGCCAUGUCUUCAAAGUCCAAUCUUUGAGUGUUUUCAUAUAGGUUUGCCAUGCUUCAUUUUUUCUUGAUCCUUCUAACACGAGGUGGUUCUUCAGAUGAACUUGAAGAUUCAUCGAUGGAUUGUACUGAGUUGUCAUUGACAGGUGUGUGUGUGUGUGUGUGUGUGUGUCUAUUCAUGUCAUUUCCCUCCUCAUUGCUUUCUUUUCCUGAACAAAUGCUCAUCGGGAUGUGUGCAAUGUUCUCUUCACUUCUUAAAGGUUCAUUCCAAGCUUUUGCUUCAUCAAAAAUAACAUCUUUGCUUACGAUUACCUUUUUUGUUAUAGGAUUAUAGAGCUUGUAUGCUUUUGUGUUUUUGCUGUAACCCACAAACACUGUUUUUUCGGAUUUCUGAUCGAGUUUUCUCCUUCUUUGGUCAGGAACAUGUGCAUAGGCAAUGCACCCAAAAACCUUUAAAUUUCCUACACCCGAUUUAAGACCACUCCAAGCUUCCUGUGGUGUCAUGUUGUUUACACUUUUUGUUGAUGUUCUGUUGAUCAGAUAUGCUGCACAUGCUAUUGCUUCAGCCCAAAAUUCCUCUGGUAAUCUUUUUCCCUAUAACAUGCACCUUGCCAUCUCUCCAAGAGUCCUAUUUUUUCUUUCAGCAACCUCGUUUUGCUGGGGUGUGUAACUUGCAGUUAGUUGAUGAUGUUUGCCAUUCUCUUUCAAGAGAGAUUGAAGACAAGAGCAGUGUAUUCCCCACCACGAUCAGAACUUAAACAUUUGAUUUUGUGUUCACUUUGAUUUUCAACCAAAGAUUUAAAGAUCACAAAGUAAUUGUAGGUCUCCGAUUUUUCUUUAAGAAAGUAAAUCCAGAUUUUUCUGCUAAAAUCAUCUAUGAAGGUUAAUACAUACCUACUUCCUCCGAUUGACAGUGUUUUCAUAGGACCCCAAAUGUCCGAGUGGACCAAUUCGAGAGGCUUUGAUGCCCUCCAUGCCUUGUCUUGAGGAAAUGACUUCUUUGAAUGUUUACCCAACGCACAUGCUUCACAUACAUACUUUGCAACAACGAUAGAGGGUAACCCAUGUACUAGUUGGUGUUUAUGCUUGUAUGUGAGAGCACCAAAGUUUGCAUGGCCAAACCUGUGAUGCCACAGACGUGACACAUCUUUUGUGUUUAUGUAGAGAGAGAAAAGAUUGUCCCCAUCAAACUUGAUAAGAAACAUCUUGUUCACAAUCAUCUUUACUCUCCCGAUCAAAUUAUUAUUCCUGUCUUUUAUCUCACAGAAUCCAUUUUUAAACCGUAAAUCAUACCCUUUCAUAAUAAGUUGUCCCACACUCAAUAGGUUAUGUCUCAAACCUGUUACGUAGAACACAUUAGAGAUAUUCUUUUCAUUAUCUCUAAUCUUAAUGGAUAUCACUCCAUUCCCUGCCACACUAAGCUUGUUAUCGUCCCCAGUUCGGACUUCCCUUUUCUUUGAGUUUUCUAGACUAACAAACAGGUCUUUAUUCCCUGUCAUAUGGUUACUGUAACCACUAUCUAGAUACCACAAGGUAUCUUGCACUGAAUCUUGAACACUAAGCAUCAUGAACAUCGUGUCAUCAUCAUUGCUUUCUUCGUUGUGAAUGAAACUAGACUCCGUUCCUUCAUCUGCAAUUCGUUUUCUGCAGACUUUCUUGACAUGACCGAACUUAUGGCAAUAAUGGCACUGUAUUUGUGGUUUUCUUUGAUUCUUGCCUUUGUUGGUGUUUCCGGGUUGAUUAUCUAUAGCCUGAAAGGCGUGUUCCAAUAUAGGGGAUUCAAACUGCUUCAUCCUAAGUUCAUGGGAUUGAAGCGUACCCAAAAGAUUUUCUAAUGAAAAAUCCUCCAAGUUUUUCGACUCCUCUAUAGCCACAACGACGUAUUCGAAUUUUUUUGUGAGGCUUCGCAAGAUUUUCUCAACAACCCUCCUAUCUUCAAGGAUUUCUCCAUUUAAGCGCAUUUGAUUUAUAAGGAUUAUUACCCGAUUGUAAAACUCUUCUAUGGAUUAAGUUUCUUUCAUUCUUAAUUCAUCGAACUCACAACGAAGCGUCUGCAAUCUAACAAUCUUAACCUUCUCUUCUCCUCUGUUUGAUUUGUGCAAAAUAUCCCAGGCCUCCUUUGAAGUGUCAGAGGAUGAAAUUCUUUCAAAUAUGUUUUCAUUGACUGCUUGGUAUAUUAGAAAUAAGGCCCUUCUAUCUUUCUUCCUCAAAUCAUUCAACUCUAAUGUCUCAAGCGCAGUCAAUAUGGUGGGUUCUGUGGGUUCAUCGAUUCCGUGUUCAACAACAUCCCAAAGAUCCUGAGAUUCAAACAACACUUUCAUUUGGAUAUUCCAGUGAAAGUAAUUCUUUCCAUUUAGUUUUGGUAACUGCGGUUGAGAUUGUAAUCCGUUCCCAGAAGUUGAUGCCAUGAAGAUUGGCUCUGAUACCAAUUUGUUGGAAGAAAUUAUGGAUAAACAAGAAGAAGAUGAUUUAUCAUACGUAAAUGUCAACUCGUUUAUUAAUUCACAGAGUUUACAUAUUUAUAUGUCCCUAACAUCCCUAACCAUCACGUCCAUUCAUUAGGACGGUUACAUAACUGAUAACGACUUUUACUAUAAACACCAACUAACUGAUUAUAAUUAGAUAAUAUUUACAAAGUAUCUAGCUUAACUCUAACAAAUUGGAAUGGAGGUGAGCUGAAUGGAAAAUAUAUUGAAAAAAGUUAACCAACAAACCUUACGUAAGUCGCCAUCUUCCAACUUCUCAACAAUCCUUGGACCAGAUGAGAAGAAACCCCGUCCUAGAGGACUGUAUGUAACAAUCCCGAUCCCAAGUUCUCUGAUAACGUAUGAUAUAUAUACAUAAGAAUGGAACUUCAGAUUUUUUGAUACAUGUUUAUUGAGAAAAUUAGAAAAAGAAAAACAGGAAAGAAAAGACAGCCAACCUGCAUGUAGGAAUGAUUUCUUCUUCUGCAUUUCUUGUCCACAAGGACCAUUCGAGUUGUAUAGCUGUUAAUGGGUGCACAGCAUGAGCUCUUCUGAUGGCUGAUGCUGACGCCUCCGAUAAUCCAACAUAUUUGAUCUUUCCUUCUUCCACAAGCUCCUUUAGUGCUCCCAUCUAACAAGAAAGAUAAAAGAUCUUAGGAGAUCGAUAUAAAUGGAUAAUGAAUUUAAGCAGGACUGCAACAGAACGACGUGUAAAGAGGAGGAAAUUAACAGUGAUUUCAAUAGGCACACGGUUGUCAAUCCUGUGCUGAUAAUAUAGAUCAAUACAAUCGACGCCUAAUCUCUUCAAGCUAGCUUCACAAGCAUACUUUAUAUAGGCCGGGUCUCCGGAGACGUCCAUGUGAUUACUGCUCUCGUAUUUGAACCCGAAUUUGGUACCCAGCUACACUUUUUCCCUGCCCUAUCCAGUCAAUGCCUGUAAUACAAAAAAAAAUGUUUGCUAAUCAGUCUACACAAGAAACGAUACUUAAACCAUAAGUUGACUGAAUCAAAACAUGAAAAAACCCAUGUGCUCUACGACCUUAAAACUAAUUGGGAGCGACAUUUGAUCAAUGUAAUAUUUAGUUAUGAAGCUUGUAAUAGUAGAAGAAUGUUACCUUGCUGAUAAGAACUUCGUUGGUUUGAGGGCCGUAGAUGUCGGAGGUGACUAGAAAGGUAAUGACGGCGUUAAUGGCGUGCUGGAUGAGCUUGAUCAUGUCAGGUUCAGGUUUGGGUUUUAAUUUCCAUAUAAAUAAGACAUUCCCAUACAACCUAAACCCUGAGCCGAUACCUCUAGACCCUGUGAACCUAGUUUGACUUUACGAACUCCUGCCAUUUUCGAAAUUUGUUGUUCUUUUAUAAAUUGACGAAAGCAACGCCUGACAGCUUACUUAUAUAGGGAGCAAGAAGCGGAGAGUUUGGAAGGCGUAGGUACCAAAGUAAUUGACUUUUUAACGUUAGAAAUGAAGAAGAAUAUAUAACACUUACUUACAAAUGUACAUAGCGUUUUUAAUUUAACCAAGUGUUCGACUAAUUAUAAAUGAGAAGUCGACAUAGGUUAUCUAGUUUUUGGUACAUAGUACAUGAUUUAAUCAUAGGUAUGCAUACACCCCAGUUUACAUGCUUUUUUACCUAAAAUUUAUAUAGAAUUUUUUUUAUUAUUAUAAUUGAUUUUCAGUUAAUGCCCCAUACUAAUAAUAAUAAUAGUUUUAUAUUAUACACCCCUUACAAUCAUCUCUUGAUCUGAUAUCAUAUUAUGAUCAACUUGGGUAAUUUCUCAGUUACUAUUUUUAAUCAACUUUUUCUUUUUUCAAUUCAUAAUACCCGAAUUGAAAAUCUUGUAUUUGAUUGUUUUGGGUAGUUAAUCAAUGAAAGAGACGAGUUAAAAGAGAACAUGUACAUGCGCACACAAAACUUAGCAUUUAUGAUACAAACCCAUGAAGUGAUACACGAUCUGGACAGUAGACUAAUUCUCAUGAUUUCUUUUUCCAUUAUGCAUGUUGCUAGUAGACUAAUUCUCAUGAUUUCUUUUUCCAUUGUGCAUGUUGCCACGUUUCCCUUUUUUUAGGAAUGCCAUGCUAGCUAUUUCCUUUCAGUAACUUUGCACGUCUUCAAUUCCUAGUUAGUUGCAAUCUUUUCUUUAAAUACCUUGUAAUUUGCAUUGGAGAAUAUAGCAGAAAAUUGUCUCAAUUAUCAGUUGUUUAGUUGUUUAUUUAGCUAGCAUCUUCUAUCUCCUAUAUCUAUUUCUACAGGGGACUUGCCAUCCAUAAUUUGGCUGUAUCAAUUUAUGUGUGUUUUUAAAUGACGUGGCCUGCAAACAAAGGAGAAUACACAAAUUAAGCGUAGCAUUCAUGUGUCUUUUUAUUGUUAUGGCCCUGUAAUCAACUUUGUACGUUGCUGCUGCAGCCUACCAGUAGGGUGUUAGAAUUAUAAUGUAGACUUGUUUUAUAAACUAUAGUUAGUGUGAAUUAAUGUUAGGCAGUUAAAAUGGGUGGUUAAUUUAGUUACCUUAACUGUCAAAUAUGGCAGUUAAAUCUGGAAGUUAGGUAUUUAGGAAAAGAUGUAGUGGUUAGAAGGGUUGUAUCGUUUUGGUACUAGUGCCUAUAUAUGUAUCAAAUGUAUGUAAUCUUCUGUUGACUUAAUAAAAGAAUUAAUGUGUUUGUUGUGUAAAGAAACUCUCCUUUGCAUUCUUCCCGAUGCACAUGAUCUUGCAACUUCUGAUAUGUUAGAUUAAAUCCAAUGUUAAUUGUAUAUUUGUAUGUUUAGUACAGAUCUAUACAAUUAUAUAGUUUAGGGGUCCUUUAUAUAAAUAUGUUACUCUAUGUAUUAUAUAUAUUGAUGAAUGAGAUUGACAGUGAUGACUCCGGUAUGGGACACCAUUCGAGGGGCCCAGGCGGAGGCCGUGAGACCGGAAAACCGCUAGAGGGAGCGAGUGAACGGGCAGGUAUCGGAGUUUGUUACCGAUAGUCGAGGACUUAUGACCUUUCAGGGUUGGGUUUGGGUACCGUUUGUGGGCGGAACGCGUACCGUCUUGAUGGAGGAGGCGCAUAGAUCGAAGUUCUCGAUCCACCUUGGGGCCACUAAGAUGUAUUUGGACUUGAAGAAGGAGUAUUGGUGGCCCUGUAUGAAGAGGGAUGUUGCAUGGUUCGUAGAAAGGUGCUUGACCUGUCGCAAGGUUAAGGCCGAGCACCAGCAUCCACAUGGUAAGUUGCAGCCGUUAGAGAUUCUUGAGUGGAAGUGGGAAGAGAUGACCAUGGAUUUUAUCACCAAAUUGCCGAGAACUGCCAGGGGUGUCGAUGCAAUUUGGGUAAUUGUGGACAGGUUGACGAAGAGCGCUCACUUCCUUGCCAUCAGUGAGAGCUCUUCCGCGGAGAGGCUGGCAGAGUUGUACAUUAGGGAGGUGAUAUCGCGGCAUGGAGUACCGAUCUCGAUCGUCUCAGAUCGAGAUGUGUGUUUCACUUCCAGAUUCUGAAAGAAAUUUCAUGAGGAAUUCGGUACGAGGCUGCAUUUAAGUAUCACAUACUACCCACAGACCGAUGGGCAGAGCGAGCGGACGAUUCAGACGCUCGAGGAUAUGUUUCGGGCAUGUGUACUGGAUUUCGGCAGGAGUUGGGACACGUAUUUGCCCUUGGCUGAGUUUUCCUAUUACAACAGCAAUCACUCAAGCAUUGGUAUGCCACCCUUUAAGUUGUUGUAUGGAAGGAGGUGUCGUACCCCCAUUUGCUGAGGUGAGAUAGGGCAACGUGUGAUGGGUAGUACAGAGAUAGUGCUUCAGACGACAGAGCAAAUACUGCAGCUCUUCCUUGCCAUCAGUGAAAGCUCUUCUGCGGAGAGGCUGACCAGUUGCGAUUAUGGAUCGGAAGGUCAAGGUUUUAAGGAACAAGGAAGUGCCCCUGGUGCCGGUCCAGUGGCAACAUUGGAGGGGGUCCGAGCUGACUUGGGAACCGGAGCGCGAGAUGCGUGAGCAGCAUCCAGAGUUAUUGCGUAAUUAGACUUCGAGAACGAAGUCUGAUUCUAGUGGGGGAGAAUUGUAACAUCCGGACUCCCAGGUAUCUUAUUUAUGCUUUAAUAUUGAGUUUUUGGAGAGAGACUCGGCGAGUAGGCGCUCAGACUCGCCUAGUAGGAGCGCGGAUGGUCAGACUGAUUUAAUGGUGCACUCGGCGAGUCCACGCUGUUUAAUGAAUCCCUAAUCCCCGGGGUUUGAGACCUAUUUAAAGGGGAUUAUAGCCACCAUUUGCGGCUACCAGACCCUUGAGAGAAACCCUUAUUGUGCUUGAACGUUUGUGAGAGACAAGAAGUCAUUAUUGGACCUUUGUGGGUUUGUUUUGCUAGAAGAAGUUGAUUCCAGCUUGGAGGAGGCCAAGGAAGUUGCAUAUUCGUGGAUUUCAAGCAGAGGGCAUCAUCUUUGCGGUAGCAUAUCGACCCUCUUUCUGUUUUGUUAAGGCAUCCAUGCAUCUAGGGUUUCCUAUGCCCUUUAUUGUGUUGAUUUGUUGAGAAUAAGGUCCCUUAUCAUGUUUAGACUUCAGAUCUGGACCCAUAGUGAUCCAUAGAAGGUUAUCCAUCUUGCUUUAUGUUGGGUUAUGGUAGAGAUGAACUUAGAGUGUUGUAUUUGGGACCAAAUCAUCAAGUAGUGUCAUUUGGAUGUUGCAUGUGUAUCAAGUUCGAACCUUUACGUGUUUAUUGAGCUUGGGGAGGUUAGAUCUAUGGAUUAGAGGAGCAGAUCUGACCUCAGAUGGUCAUUUGAGUUUGAGCAUGGCUUGAACUCGCCGAGCUCAAGAACAGACUCGGCGAGUAGGAUGAGUUUCCCCCAUAAAUCACGCAGAUGGUAACUCGCUGAGUUGGGGAAGUGACUCAGUGAGUCAUUUGGGGUUUUGAGGACGUGAGUUCAUGACUGAACUCGCUGAGUCAUAAUUGUGCACUCGGCGAGUUUGGUCAAAGGGUUGUUCAUUGACUUUUGUUGACUUUUAGGGCUGGUUAACUUUAGAGUAUUUGGGAGUUGAGAGGGGUAAAAUGGUCUUUUAGCAUCCUAAGAGUGCUAAGAGAAGGAAUGGUCUUGCUUUGGGAAUUGUGUUGAUGUCGAGUGUUUAUUUUCGUAUGAUUAGGCGGAGGCUAAAUCCUAUUUCACGGAGACCGAGAUUUUCGAGUGACCGAGUUACACGAGGUGAGUCUUCUCACUAUACAUUACCUAGAGUGGUAUUAUGAGUUGACCGAAAGGUCUUAUGUGCUAUGUAUGAGAUUCUGUGCCAUGUAUGAGAUUAUGCGCUAUGUGAUGUAUGUAUGAUAUAUAAUUGUAUAUACCGGACCGGAGGCUCCAACGAUUCAGACCGGUUCGGAGGGCCCAACAAGCUAUGACCGGACCAGAGGGUCCAACGAGCUACGGGACUGGAGGGUCCCGCUGAGACACAUCGGUCAGAGGGUUGUACAGUAGCCUCGAGUGGUGUAUGUGUUGUAUGUGGUAUUUUGGGGAACUCACAAAGCAUUUAUGCUUACAGUUGUUGUGUUAUGUGUUUCAGGUACUAGUGAGGACCGUGGGAAGGCGCCGACAUGAACCGUACACACCGAGAGGAGAUUUGAGUUAUGAUCUUGAGGACAUGUUUGAUUAAUAACUAUUGUGAAACACUUUUUGAGAAUGUUUUAUAUUUAAAAUAUGGUUGUUGAAAAAUGAAAAUUUUGUUUUGGAAAUCUCAUCGUUACAAGUUGGUAUCAAAGCCUUGGUUUGAGGGAUUCGGAUGCACCUUCGGGCGUAUUUGAACUCAAACUGAGGAUUUGAGAGAUUUUUUAUAAAACAAGUUUUUAAAAGAGUAAGAGGUUUAAAAAAAGAGAGAAGAGCAGAGCAGUGUGUACGGUCAGCGAGCACCCGAACGGUGAAUCCCCAAAAUACCCUUACAUUCUGUGUUAUGAGAAUAUGCUAUGUUAUGUUAUACAUGCCAGAGUAGGCUAGGUACUCAUAUUAGGACUAGAGUGGCCUAAUUUGUGAUGCCUUAGCCUAGGAGAUUACUGUUGCUAUGAGAUGCCCUGAGAGUGAGUAGGUAGUAGAUGAGAGAUCUAUCGGAGGGUAGCCAAUGCAUAGCGAGAGUAGAGUACUUGUGAUCCGAAAUCCAAGGAGGAGGAUUUGGGGUGAAUGUUGAUGCGGUGUGGUCAGUAGUAUAGGACCUGUAAUACUGAAGACACCGGAUCAACGAGCAGUCCAAGUAAGAAUCCUUUGGAUAUUGGAGGACGAGUAGGGUUGCGUUAUCGAGUGCGAGUAUGCUCGAUCGAGUCUCUGAUAUUUUUAUGUUGUAUUUCAGAGACAACAUGGUUGGGACACGACACACACCGGGGAGCAGUGGUGUCAGCGACGAGUAGAUCCGUCGAUUGAUUCAUGAGGAGGUGACUGCUGCCAUCCGGGCUGAGAUUCCAGAGAUGUUCGGGGACAUUAAGACCACAUUGAUUGAGACCUUUGACGAGCGGUAUGCAGCAAUGACUGAGGCUGCGGCUGCUGCAGCUACUGCUGCUGUUGCUGCUGCCAGACCUCAGGGAGGUGACUCGUUGUUGUUUCGGGAGUUCAGCAACACGAAGCCACCAGAGUUUGAUGGGACGCAGGACCCAAUUGCUGCGAUGAGAUGGGUUUCUGAAAUCGAGGGGUAUUUCUAUACGUGUUCUUGUCCAGAACACUUGAGGGUACGGUUCGCUCUGAAAUAGCUCUGCUUGGGAGCGAAGGAUUAGUGGAAGUUCGUGACGGAGAGCUUCACUCUGGCAGAGAUUUCUGAGGUGAACUGGGAGAGGUUCACCGCCAUGUUCAGAGAUGAGUAUGUUCCCCUGGUGGAGAGGUAACGGUUGAUUCAGGAGUUCUUGACCCUCAAGCAGGGUACUGAUUCUGUCACAGUUGUUACCAGGAAGUUUCAUGAGAGGGCGAUGUUUUCCCCUGAGCAGGUGUCUAUGAGCAGGCUCACAUGAGCCGGUACUGAGUGUUCUGAGAAGAGAUAUUCAAGAGUUCGUGGCGAACUCGACUUACCGGACAUUUGCUAAGCUCCAGGAAAAUGCCCAGAAGAGGGAGAUUGAGUUGGAGACUUAGGCCAGGGAGGAGGCCGAGUGACAGAGGAUGGACCGGCGGCCGGCUUAGUCUCAGCCGGCAGCCCAGUGGGCUAAGCCCGCUGAUUCGAGAUCUGGGAGCGCGAAGGGCCGCACUUGUGGGAAGUGCGGCAAGAGUCACGAGGGGUCGUGCAGGGCAGGGGUAUGCUAAAAGUGCGGGAAGGAGGGGCAUAUCGCGAGGGAUUGCCCCAAGGGAUUCUCUAUUUGCUUCCAUUGCAACCAGACCGGCCAUCGGAAGGCCGAGUGCCCUCAGCUACAGCAGGGAUCUGCGCCUGCGGCUAGGGCUACCGAGGUUCGUCCAGUGAAGGCCGAGGCACCAAAGGCCCACGGGAGAGCCUUCCAAUUGACAGCAAAGGAGGUCCGCGCAGCACCCAACGUUGUGGUUGGUAUGUAUUCUUCUCUCUAUUUAUUUGAGUCUGAGAUAUUAUGCUUAUAUCAUGUUAUGCGUAGGUACUUUUCUUGUGAAUUUUGUACCUACCUUAGUGCUAUUUGACUCAGGAGCGAGUCGAUCUUUUGUGUCGUUAGCUUUUAGUCGUCAUAUCAGUAUUUAUCGAGAGGCCUUGAGUCGACCUCUGUGAGUUUCUAUAGCUAACGAGCAAGCAGUGUAUGCCACGGAGGUGAUACGAGGAUGUAGACUUGAGAUCUUCGGUGUGGGGUUCCCGAUCGAUCUAGUCCCGAUUGCGAUGGGGGACGUAUGUGUCAUAGUGGGCAUGGAUUGAUUGAACCAAUUUGGAGCUAUUAUAGAUGGCAUGCGUCAAUGGUGACGAUUCGAGACCCUAGUGGGGGAGUACUUACGGUGUACAGUGAGGGUACCCAUCCUAAGUUAGCAUUUUGUUCGGCGAGUCCAUGCUGUUUAAUGAAACCCUAAUCCCCGGGGUUUGAGACCUAUUUAAAGGGGCUUAUAGCCACCAUUUGCGGCUAACAGACCCUUGAGAGAAACCCUUAUUGUGCUUGAGCGUUUGUGAGAGAGAAGAAGCCAUUAUUGGACCUUUGUUGGUUUGUUUUGCUAGAAGAAGUUGAUUCCAGCUUGGAGGAGGCAAAGGAAGUUGCAUAUUCGUGGAUUUCAAGCAGAGGGCAUCAUCUUUGCGGUAGCAUAUCGACCCUCUUUCUGCUUUGUUAAGGCAUCCAUGGAUCUAGGGUUUCCUAUGCCCUUUAUUGGGUUGAUUUGUUGAGAAUAAGGUCCCUUAUCAUGUUUAGACUUCAGAUCUGGACCCAUAGUAGUCCAGAGAAGGUUAUCCAUCUUGCUAUAUGUUGGGUUAUGGUAGAGAUGAACUUAGAGUGUUGUAUUUGGGACCAAAUCAUCAAGUAGUGUCAUUUGGACCUUGCAUGUGUAUCAAGUUCGAACCUUUACGUGUUUAUUGAGCUUGGGGAGGUUAGAUCUAUGGAUUAGUGGAGCAGAUCUGACCUCAGAUGGUCAUUUGAGUUUGAGCAUGGCUUGAACUCGCCGAGUCCAAGAACAGACUCGGCGAGUUGGAUGAGUUUCCCCCAUAAAUCACAUAGAUGGUAACUUGCUGAGUUGGGGAAGUGACUCAGUGAGUCAUUUGAGGUUGUAAGGACGUGAGUUCAUGACUGAACUCGCCAAGUGACAAUUGUGCACUCGGCUAGUUUGGUCAAAGGGUUGACCGUUGACUUUUGUUGACUUUUAGGGUUGGUCAACUUUAGAGUAUUUGAGCUUGGAGAGGGUUAAAAUGGUCUUUUACCCCCCUAAGAGUGCUAAGAGAGGGAAUGGUCUAGCCUUGGGAAUUGUGUUGAAGUCGAGUGUUUAUUUUCGUAUGAUUAGGCGGAGGCUAGAUCCUAUUUCACGGAGACCGAGAUUUCCGAGUUACCGAGUUACACGGGGUGAGUCUUCUCACUCUAGAUUACCAAGAAUGGUAUUAUGAGUUGACCGGAAGGUCUUAUGUGCUAUGUAUGAGAUUGUGUGCCAUGUAUGACAUUAUGUGCUAUGUGAUGUAUGUAUGAUAUAUAAUUGUAUAGACCGGACCGGAGGGUCCAACGAUUCAGACCGGGUCGGAGGGCCCAACGAGCUAUGAUCGGACUAGAGAGUCCAAAGAGCUACGGGACCGAAGGGUCCCGCUGAGACACAUCGGCCAGAGGGUUGUAUAGUAGCCUCGAGUGGCGUAUGUGUUGUAUGUUGUAUUUUGGGGAACUCGCUAAGCAUUUAUGCUUACAGUUGUUGUGUUAUGUGUUUCACUGCAACGCCAAAGUCAUCCUAAGUAGUGGUCUCCAUCACCUCACCUGUAACAACCUGAAAUUGUUCGUCGCCAAAACCCGUUCUACCCGAAAGGUCGCCGUUAUCAAAUUCGUUUCGUUUUCUCUUUGGGUUAAUUAUAUAAACUUAUACGUUGAUUUUAAUUUAAUGAGUGUCUAAAUCACUCAGGAACUCACGUAAUUAGCCUGAAUAUAAUUAUUACAUGAGUUUUAGAAACGUCCCCGCCAGGUGAUGGAAACUCAAUCGGGUGCGACCUAAAGCAUCGUUUAAGGCCGGUAUCGGGUAGAAUUCCACUGUGUCCAAGUUUUAGGAACUAUAUAAACAUGUUUAACCUCUCAUUUGAAGCUUUUUCCUUCUCUCUCUACUCUCUCUCUAACCUCUCUCCUAAAUCCAAAGAUUAAGGGUCCAAAACUCAAUUUUAAGGCCUCAAAUCCUUAAGGUACCUUCCUAGCCUUAAUCUAUAGCAUGUUUGGCUUCCAAAUUUGACAUUUAAUCAUGAAAUAGGACAUCAUAUGUGAGUUUACGGCCCAGGAGGCUGCCUAGGCCGUAAACACCAUUUUGAAGGGUUUUAAGCCCUUAAACUCCUUCCUAAACUCAUUUGGACUUUAGAUAUGGCUAAGGGACUUCAAGAUAUGGACUUAGAACACUUAAAUCAUGGAUUUUGAGUCAUUUGAAGGAGUUUACGGCCAAGGCAUAAGCUUGGGCCGUAAACUCAUUUAAAUGGGGUUUUUCAUGCCCUUAAACCCUUCCAAAUCACUACUAUGGCUUAGAUAUGAAUUAUAGGACAUUGGUUUUAGCAUUUGGACACUUGAAACAUGAUUUUUGGGGGACUUAGAUGAGUUUACGGCCAAGGAUAGUGCUUGGGCCGUAAACUCCCCAAAACUUGGCAUAAAUCCAAUUCUAAGGUGUUAGAAAGCCAUCCAACACCACCAAAAGCCUUGGAAUAAAUCAAGGGACCAACCAAAAAUACUUUAAGGGCCUUAAACACAUCAUUUAUGGGAUUUCUAAGAGUUUACGGCCAAGACCUGUUCUUGGGCCGUAAACUCCAAAAUUUUUGGUGUUAGAAUGCAAACUAAACACCCCUAAGGCCCUUAGAUGAAUUUUAGAAGCCAUUCUAUGCAAGUUUUAGACCUUGAAACACCUUGUAGCAUCAUAUAGUAGAGUUUACGGCCAUGAGAGGGGUCUCAUGGGCCGUAAACUCCAUAAAUCCUUCAUAUGUCCCAUACAAAUUCAUGUUAGACCUUGGAAUAAUUCUAUUAAUCACAUGUGAUUUGUUUUGGAACCAUUUAACACCAUUUUCUUGGAAAAAUAGGAGUUUACGGCCAUGGAGCCAUGCUAGGCCGUAAACUCCCAUAUAAGGGUCUAUUUGAUGCUUUGAAAUCAUUCCAAGUCCUUAAACCAAGUCUAGAAAUUAUCCCCUAAGUGUUUGAAGUCAUUUAGCACCUUAAACCACACCCACCAUGAGUUUACGGCCGUAAACUCAUGGGGAAUGGGUGUUUUAGACCAAAAACUCUUCUAUUAGUUUACUCAUGGGGAGUAAACUCAAGUCCCAAGUCCCUAGUGUCAUUUCACGUCCUUAAACGCCACCCGGGUCCCUCCAAACACUUGUAUCGGAGUGUUUUCGCGACUUGAAGCAAGUGUCCCUAACAAAUAGCUAAUCUAAGUCCUAAUUAGAUACAAAUGUGUAUCUUUAAAUUAUACUUAGGAACCUCGCGCAUUUACAAGCCCCGGACUAAAGUUUAGCAUCCGAAAUCGUCACGUUUCUCGUCCGGUGAGUUCAUACCCCUACCCUUUUUCACUGUUUUUAACUGUUUUCAGGGGGGAAUACAAGCAAAAGUACAAGUGUUUCUUGUACUUAAACUGAUUUACAAUUUAAUGAUUUUAGUUUCUAAAUGUCAUGAUUUCCAAAGAUUAUGAUAACUGAUGUUUCGAAUUGCAGGUUAAUUGUAGAUUUCUUUCGAAAAGUGUUUUAAAUCACAUUAUCUUUUGUAAAAGAAAUCAUACUAAUAAUAACAAAUAUAACUAACAGGAUAGAACGAAUGCGAAUAUGGAUAUAACUAGGUACGAAUACGAAUAACGAAUUCGAAUACUAAUACGAAUACGAAUAACGAAUUUGAAUACUAAUAGGAGUACGAAUACGAGUACUAAUACGAAUACGAAUGUAAUUUAGAACGAAUAUGUCUACGAAUACGAAUAUGUCUACGAACACGGAUAUGUCUAUGAAUACGAAUACGUCUACGAAUACGAAUAUGUCUACGAAUACGAAUACGUCUACAAAUACGAAUACGACUGCGAAUACGAAAUAACGCCUUUGGUUGACACUAAGACUUCAAAUAUACAGUUAAUGUACUCCUUGAGUGUCACCAGAGUUUCGAAUUUAUUACGAAAAUACUCCUUUGGACCUCUACUGAGUUUCGAAUAUAUCCGCCUCAGAAUGUCGACAGAGCUUCGAAAUUACAACUAAGUUAGUAGACUAUAGUCAUCCGAUCGUAGAAUAACUAAGGAAGUAGAAUAUAUAAUUAAUACUACUCACAUAGUAAUUACUAGUAUUUCGAAAUCAGACUUAAGAACAAAACACUACACAUAGGAAAAUAUGGGAUUUUCCUGGGAUAACAUCAAAAUCAGUAACGAACCUAGAUACAAAUAGACAACUCAACAUAUAGGAAAAUAUGGGAUUUUCCUGGGUAACACAACAGCACAUAAUCGAGUAAAGAAACAAACGAAUAACUAUAACUAUAAGGAAAAUAUGGAAUUUCCUGGAAUGUCAUAACUAACCGUUUCCGAAUUUGUAACAAAGGAUAACUAAACUGUUUUUGAAUAAGAAAAUAUGGGAUUUUCUUCAUCAACAACUUUUCUCGAAACGUAAAGGAACUCGUCUUUUCAAAACUAAAUUGCUUAUGAACUCACCAGCUUUAUGCUGAUUUUCAAACUGCUUGUAUUCUCAGGUCAGCGUUAGACAGGUACAUCGCAACCUUUUGGAGAAGAUGGAGCGUUCCGAAGACUCGUCUUUACUUUUGUUUAUAUUACAUAUGUAAAAUACUUGUACAACUCUACUUUCAAACAAAUGUAAACAAUAUUAUGUAAUGUAAUGUUUUGUGAUUACUGUUUUACUAUGUGCAUUGGAUUUGAUACUCAACAUGGAGUCAACCCCGGAAAUGUUUCCGCCUUUGGUUUUCGGGGUGUGACAUCACCCAUCUCAGAUUCAGGAAGCAGACUACACCUCAGGCUCUCAUUUUUUGGGAGCAAAUUACACCUCAGCCUCUCAUUUUCAGGAAACAUACCACACAGAAGACAGUAAAAUAGACAAGUUAUUAGGCAUUGUUACUUAAUUGAAAACCACAAUCGAGCACUUUGGGAAGAGAAUGGAUAAUUGGGAAAAAGAUAAACAAUUUGGUGUGAACAAUAUGGAAAAUGUGGAUGCGGGGGAAGAAUUUUUUCAUGGUUUGGAUCCCGAGUCAAACCAUACGUAUGUGUAGACACCACCGCCUAUUGUUGUAGUUAAGGAUAACACAGUUACACAGUUAAAAGGGGGGUAAAAAUGAAAUCGAAAUUUUGUAAGGGGCCCUACACAAAGGUAUAAAAUUAAGUAAUUUCUAUUUAUAUAGUAAAUAAUCAUUCCAAAUUAAUUAACAUAUUGAUUUUGUAGGUUCCAUCGACGAAACCAUUGAAGAACAGAAAAUGGAAAAAGUCGCAGAAUUCCAAUAAUGUAGAAAAAAGACUUUUACUACUGGACGUUUAAGCAGAUAGUGAUGAUGAAUUUUGGAAAUUGUGGGGAAAGAACAUGGGAGCGGUAUUUUUGGAGCAUAGACUUUUAAGAGGUAUUUAGAUGGAUUAGGAAUUUUGGUCAAGUUUAAUUGGUAUUGGCUGUGGAUGGUUGCUCUCUGAGGUAACACACAUCCUUUGUUUUAUAUUACAAAAAGUGGUGGAUAAUUAAUUCUACAAAAUGAAUUUGUUUUCCAACAAGCAACAUUUGGUUAUCUGGACGUCACUGCUCAAGGAAAUAAAUCCGUCGAUUGGUAGGUGGACGAUUAUUAAUCUUGAAGGCACGACUUUGGAACCUGGGAAACAACAUUAUUUGAGGCGUGUAGCAGCCGGGAUGGUUGAUGGACCACAUUGNUAUAUAUAUAUAUAAUAUGUAUUUAUCUAAUAACUUUUCAUUUUUUUGAAGGUUUUAAUUCCCAUCAGCAUACCGCACCUGCAUUGGUAUUUGGCUGAUUUGGAUCUACUUACAUGGAAAGUGAGCAUAUAUGAUUCGGCCGAAUGAUGUGGUUUCUUUACAAGAUAUGCGUGUGACGGUAGUUUCAAAUUAUUGAGAGAUAGUAUAUUAAGUGAACUAGACCACAUAUCAUAUUGGGCCCAUUUUCCCAAUAGACAGAAACCUACUAAGGUGGAAUUCAUUAAAGCUAAAGAUGCGUCGCAACAAGAAAAAGUAGAAGAAGGAGAAAGAGGAGAUUGUGGAUUUUAUGUGUGCAUGUUCAUGGAAAUGCUUGCAUUGGGUGUUCCAUUGGUAGAGAUACGGGAUUUAGUUACCGUAAUACGAUGCCAAAAAUUAUUUGGAAUAGUAGACUGAUUGUUUUAUGAUUAUUGUUUUAAGAACAUUUCCAUUAGCAUAAACAAUUCCAUUCCACUAUCCACAUAAACUUUCCAAUCGAGUUAUAUGUCGUUGGGACUUUACAUUAAGGCUAAUUACCAAUUGUCAUUGAGAUUUUACAAAAGAUACGAAAUACAUACAAAAGAUACAAAAAACCUUCACAUCCCAAUACACACACUUUACACUAACAGCUAGACCAAAAGCUUUACAUGCUAACACUAAUUAGCUAACUAAAAAACAAAACAAACAUACCCAACAACUAGAACAACUACCAACAACUUGUACAUACGUAUGCUCUUUCUUGGAAUCACACAUCCCCUUCUCUAUGCUUGCCGCUAAACUCUUCUCCUUACUGAGGAGAAAAUCCAACUCAACAUUCUUAGUCCUUAAGUUUUUUAUGACACCAAGAUCCUAUUUGGAAUCCAACUGCUGCUUCAUGGAAUAGAUGAGGUUUUUGUAGUAACUAUCUUCCAGUGCAACAUCUUCCCAUUCAAAGUAAUCACAUUUCCUCAGUCUUGUCUGUAUCAAAUCCACAUGGAUAAAACAUCCAAACACAAUUACUCACUAAUCCCUAAAUGCUACCGCUAGACUCUUCUCCUUGGAAUCACACAUCCCCUUCUCCAUGCUUGCCACUAGACUCUUCUCCUUACUCAGGAGAAACUCCAACUCGGCAUUCUUAGUCCUAAAGUUUUCUAUGAAACCAAGAUCCUCUUUGGAAUCCAACUGCUGCUUCAUGGAAUAGAUGAGCUUUUUGUAGUAACCAUCUUCCAGUGCAACAUCUUUUCAUUCAGAGUAAUCACAUUUCCUCAAUCUUGUCUCUAUCAAACCCAUAUGAAUAAAACAUCAAAACAUAAUCACUAAUCACCAAAUGCAAUUUAGGAAACCACGAAAUAAAAAAUGAUUAACACUACAACACCAUUUAAACAAUCGCGAUCGUACAUAUAUUUUUAGAAACGAAAUCACGACAACAACCCAAGAAAAUGAAAAUUACUUUUAGGGUUUUUUUGUAAUGUAAUGGGUUUUUAAUAGUGAAGCCCUAAAAAAUCUUGCAUUAACAAAUCAAACUAGAUCGAAGCUUAGCAAGCUGUUGUUGCAAUACCAAAAAUGUCCGUCGGGGUUAGUGAGCUUCCAACAUGUCUGUUCCUUACCUGGAAUGACAUCGCAGUCACAUUUGUUAACAUCGUCUUUAAUAAACACACGAGCAACAUGGAGGCGAUUUCUUAGAUUGGACGAGCUUACAGAAAUUGUGUUGAAGAAUCGAACAAGUUGAUUAUAUAAAGGAAGGUGCUUGCUUCGACUUUUCACGAAGGGGUAAGAAACAAAUGAAUGAGGUCCAAAUCGGGGUUUUAAUUAAUAGCAUAAUUGGGAAGAUAACACGUCAGGUGCAACGUUGGAAGUCUAGGUAAGGGGUUUUUUACACAUCACUUAGCUAGAUAAGGAUCAUGUACACCGCAACAACAGUGUACACCUCUACGGAUCAGUGUACACCUUUGUGGAUAUGUAUACACAUCUAAGGAUCAGUGUACACCUCUACGGAUCAGUGUACACCUCUGAAGAUAAGUUAUAGAACUGUUUUUUGUGGAUCAGUGUACACCUCUGCGGAGACGAAACUGAUGUAUUUCAAUUGAGACAUGUAAUGUUUGAAUCAAAGAAAAUUGUGCAUUUGUAUUUAACGGUGGUAGGUGAAGAAGCUGAAGAACAAACAAUGGUUAACAACCAGUUUAAUCUAGGAAAAACUAAUAGAGGUCGUAGAGAAAGCCAAUGUGAUGGAAACUGUUCAAGGAAAAGACAAAAUGAAGUGUCAUUCAUCACCUCCAAGGUAAUCAGGGGUAACCAUUGUUGUUAUACCUUCAAAAAUGUUCAACCAAAAUUGUAUUCUAACCAUCACCUCUCUUGUCGUCCAUGGACGUGGAGUAUCGGACGACGAUGUUGCAUUCGUAGAAGUUGGUGCAUUCACGGCCAUUUCUAAAUUUUUCAAUACCGAGGUGAGUUGAUACAAUAUAUAACCAAUAUGACAAUUUAUACGCUGAUCCACAGAGGUAUAAGCUGAUCCGCUGAUAACCGUUCAGUGGUGUAAAGAUACUCUCCUUUACAUUCUUCCAGAAGCACAUGAUCUUGCAUGUUCUGAUAUGUUAGAUUAAAUCCAACAAAUGCAUGCAUGAUGAUCGGGAAGAAUGAUCUUCUAUGAAUUUGUUGUUAGAGAAACUUGACGAAAGAUUCGAACUGAUUAUUAACUCCAAAAUAGGGAUGACAAAAAACACCAAAACCCAAAGAUUUUGGGAGCAUGUCGGGUCGAUCUUAUCAGGUCGUUAUCGGAUAUAUAUGAAAUUACUCAUUUAUGUCCUUAAAGACAUAACCCUAAAAUUGUGUAUCACUUUUAUUUGACAGCGAAAAGCAUGGUACAAGAAAACAAAUUACAUAUCAACCAAAGAUAUAUAGCAUAGCACAAAUUAAACAAAUAAUGUAUAGCACUACGCAACAAACAAUAUGCUCGCAGCAUGAAUCAAGCUUUCCAGGAUGACAAUGGAGGAGUCUCGGUGUCCUUAAAUGUUGAAAUACCAUCACCAUAUCUACCACCCUUAACUGAAUCAGCAGAAGCAAUGGCUUCUAGUUCAGCCAUGUCUUCUGGUGUUAGCUUCACAGAUAAAGCUCCAAUGUUCUGUUCAAGAUUCUCAAUCUUCGUCGUUCCAGGAAUGGGAACCACGUCAUUUCCUUGGUGGUGAACCCAAGCCAACGAUAGCUGCGAUGGCGUGCACCCUUUCUUUGCGGCCAUGUCACUAACCUUCUUGAACAUGAUUGUGUUAUGCUCAAUAUUUUCAGCUUGGAACCUCGGUAGAUACUACAAAAUAAUAAAUUUGAAAACCAGAUUGAUAUCAAUUGCCUAUUUGUUGCUAGAUAUGUACAUGAAUCGAAAAUAUAACCAAAAAGUGUAACAAUCAACAGACCUUACGGAAGUCCCCAUCUUCCAAAUUCUCGAGCACCUUUGGACCAGACGAGAAGAACCCCCGUCCUAGAGGACUGUAUGUAACAAUCCCAAUCCCAAGUUCUCUGAAAUACAAAGGAUGAUAUAAAGAAGUAAGAGCUUUGAAUUUUUUAAUACUUCGUCACUUGCUAAAUAUUGAAGAAAAAAGAAAGAAAGAAAGAAAACAAGAAGAAUAGAUGGUAACCAACCUGCAAGUAGGGACGAUUUCUUCUUCAACGUCUCUUGACCACAAGGACCAUUCUAGCUGUACGGCUGUAAUUGGGUGCACAGCAUUAGCUCUUCUGAUGGUUGAUGCCGAUGCUUCUGAUAAUCCAACGUAUUUAAUCUUUCCUUCUUCUACCAGUUCCUUCAUUGCUCCCAUCUAACAAUCAAGAAAAGAUUUAAGAGAGAUUUCAAUGGAUGAUGAAAGGAUAUGGAUUUUGUAAAGAAUACUAACCGUAAUUUCAAUAGGCACACGAUUGUCGAUUCUGUGUACAUAAUACAGAUCAAUGCAGUCGACACCGAGUCUAUUCAAGCUAGCUUCGCAAGCAUAUUUUACAUAGGCCGGAUCUCCGGAGACUUCCAUAGCUUCGCUGUCGUAUUUGACACCGAAUUUAGUCGCCAAAUCUACUUUCUCUCUCACUCCUCCCUUCAAAGCCUGUAGUUAACAAGAAACAAAAUACUUGAACAGUAAGUUGACUGAAUCAAACCAUGAAACGAACCAUGUGGCAGCGACGAUUGAUCAAAGUAAAAUGUAAUUGUUAAGAUCAAAGUAGUAGAAGAAUGUCACCUUGCCGAUAAGGAUCUCGUUGGUUUGUGGUCCGUAGAUGUCGGAGGUGUCGAGGGAGGGUAAUGCCGGCGUUAAUGGCGUGGUGGAUGAGCUUGAUCAUGUCAGGUUCAGGUUUGGGGGCUCCAUAGAAAGCGGACAUGCCCAUGCAACCCAAACCCUGUGCUGAUACUUCAAGACCCUGUGAACCCAGUUUGACUCUUCUAACUCCUGCCAUUUUCGUACUUCGAUCUUCGGUUACGGAUUGAUUUUUGAAAGCAAUAUCUAGCAGAUUACUUCUUCUUCUACUAAUUGAUUGAAGAAAGAUAGCCUGGUGGAUUACUUUAUAUAGGGGUUGAGAAGUGGGGAAUUGGUUGUAAUUUCAUGACGUACAGCUUCUUGAUGGUCAAUCUGGAUGGCCAUUGACGAAAGGUAGCUGACGUAAGUACCGAGCAUUCAACGUUUGACCUUCAAAAUGAGAAAUUAAAAAAAGAAUAAUAUAUAAAAGCUUUCACCUAUACGGUGAUUUUAUUCCAAAAAAGAUCAAAUAAAACAAAUAUAAAAGUGUUUCACCAUAAAUAUAGUCGAACUUUACCUGCCCAUGAUAUGUGAUAUGCUGUUCCCACCUUAUAAAAUCCCCAUUCACACCCUGUGGAUUGCCACUGUUACACCUUAAAUAUCUUAAAUAUAAUGUAAUCCAUUUUUUUCCUGCUCAUAUAUAAUAUAUUAUAUGGAUUUCUUUAAAAAAAAUUAAAUAUUAAAUUUUAGCGAUUUGAAAAAAAUUGGAUUUAAAAUAAAAAUGAGAAAAAUUAUGAAUUAUUGAAAUUAAUGAUAGUUUAAUGUAUUGAAUACAUUAUAUAUAUAAAUAAUUUUUAAUAAAUAACUUACAUAUAUAUUAACAUACAUAUUAAAUAUGAAAUUUUAAUUUAAUAAAAUAAAAAACACAAUAAAAUGACAAGUUGAAAAUAGAAAAUUCAAAAAUCUAAAAAUGUCAUGAUGUAUAUAAAUGAAGAAAAAAUGACAUGUGACAAAAAAAAUUAUUUAAUUAUUAGAAAGGAUGUCAUACAUCAAAGUUCAAACAUCCAUUCAUCAACUUUUCCGAACAAAUUUUUCAAUAUAUAUUAUAAAGUGUUACUAUAUAUAACUUACAUAAAUCGUUACACUAGGAGCUACAAGCCUUAUUACACUCAUAUAAAUGAUACACAAAACAAUUGAGGGUAUGUUUAGAAUUUCCCUUAUUAUAUUUCAUUACCACAAAAAGCAUAUCAUAUAAAACUCAAUUCUUCAGAAAAUUAGGGAAUGUUUUUUAGAAUUAUAUGACCCGCCAGGUAUUAGACCAAACCCAAAAAAAGAUCGAGGCCCAAUAAAAGAGCAAGACCAAAUCAAUCUAAAACGACACCGGACAGAAAAAAAACGGCCCGAGAUCGUCCGGGACCGAUCCGAAAAUGACCGGAUCGUUUAGAGACCAUCGGAACCCACACAAGAUCGGUCUAAUUAAUAGUUGUCUAAAGAAAAAGACCGGUUGCCAAAUUUUAUAAAUAUAUAAUUUUUGUGUUAAUUAGAAGUGGACGUAUGAAUAUCUAGCAAUAGUGGCAUCAAAAAAAAAAAUUCAAAUCAAAUAUAAGAACAUAGAUGUGGAAAAAGGAUUCGUUUUGGGUCGAGUUUAUGUCCACAAUAUAUGAAUAACCCAUGAAACUUGUCAAACUCUGACAAACUCAAAUCAAAAAAUGAUUUUACUAAAAAAUUAGUUUCAACAACAUUAAAGAAACUCAAAUUUAAACUAAGAUGUUUUUCUUUUUUUACAGUACAAGAAUACAAAUCUACGCCGAUGACACCUAUGUCGAUGACGGUUGUCGUUGCUAAAAGAACCCCAAUGCAGACGACUUGUCGUCGGCACACCCUUUGCAAACUUUGACUAAAUUUCUUUGACCAAGACAUAUGUGCCGACGACAAGUUGUCGCUACAGGUUUUGCAGGAACGACAUAAAUUUUUCGCGGUACUUUGAAAUUCUAUACCGAUGACUUGUCAUCGGGAUAGGUAGCGAAAAAUAGAUUUACUGUUUAUUUCAAAUACAUGUUCCAGAAAUACAAUACGCCGUCGUUUUAAGUAAGCUAUGUCGAAGACAUGUCGUCGGCAAGCCACGUGGCGAUCCGCGUGAAACCUUAUUCCAACGACAAGUCGUCUGCACAGGGUUUUAAUUUUUUAUUAUUUUUUUUGUUUCAGCAUAAACGAAACGACAUCCUUUGUGUGGACCCUAUCCUGACGACAAGUCGUCGGCGUAGGAGUUUACCCUAAGAGAUACGCACUCAGUCCAUUCAUUCGCACACAUACGCAUUUAGUCUCUUCUUUCCGACGAAAAUCAUAUUUUGCCUUCCACAAUCGACGAUUUGCUCCAGGUAACAUGUUUUCUACUCAUAAUUUGUUGUUUAUUGUUGUGUUGUAAAGAUUUUUACCCUCAAUUUAGGGUUUUUUUGGGUGUUAUAGCUGUCCACUGGUGGUGAAGAGGUUUUGCUUCACCACCGUCUUCCACCACCCUCAACCUCCCACCGAGGAAUCCAACCUCUUUCUAGCUUCUCCUUCACUACCACAAUAGGAAAGUAAGUAAUAUGGUGGGUUUUUGUGUGUGUGUGUGUGUUUUUUUUUCUGAUUUUGUGCUCUUCGGGUGACCACCAGCCACCAUUGGAGGAUCAUUAUCAAUUUUGACAAUCAAAUUCCUGCUAUCACAACAAAAAAAACGAAAAAGGUUAGUAUUUUUUUUAUAAUUUUUAUUGGAAAUGAAAUUGUAUAUAUGUAUAAGUUUAUAUGAAAUUGAAAUUGAAAUGAAUCCUCCUAUGAUUAUAGAAUUGUGUUGUUUGUUUUGUAUGUGUAUGAUUGUGUUGUUUGUUUGGUAUAUGUAUGUUGUUUGUUUGUUUAGGUUUAUAUGAAAUUGAAGUUGUAUGUAUAAAAUGUUAAUUUAGUUGGUUAAUGUUGUAUCAAAUUGAAAUAGUGGUUAAAAUAUUAUCUGAAAUUCAAAUUUGUUUAGGUACAUAUGAAAUUGAAAUUGUAUUUAUACAAUGUUAAUUUACUUGUUUAGGUUUAUAUGAAAUCGAAAUUUUGUAUGAUUGUGAAAUAUUUAUGAUUGUGCUCUUUGUUUUAGUUGAUAUGAAAUUUUAUGUAUAAAAUGUAAAAUAUGUAUGGUUGUGCUACUUGUUUAGUUUAUUAGCUUGGGUGAAUGAAUUGAUAAAGUGUUUAAUUUUUAAGUUAAAAUGUUUAUCAUUAAGAACAAACGUUACUAAUAGCAACAUAAAACAAAAUAUAAAUAUAUUUAAACAAAUAAAAGUAUGUUUAUUGAGAAUAAAGUUUACUAAGUAAAAAAUAUUUAAACUGCAAAGGUUAUUAAUAGCAACAUACUUUUUUUUGGCUUUUUUAUUGAAGUAUUUUAUUUUCAUUUCUAUUUGAUAGUUAUAACCUAAAACAAAAUAAUAAAACUGCGUUGCUAUUAAAAGUACGGUGCUAUCAUAAAACAAAAAGAAAAAAACAAAAUAAUAUUAAAACUACAAUGCUGUAAUUGAAAAAAACAAAAGUUAUAUAUAUAUAUAUAUACACACACACACACACACACAUUAAACAAACUAAUAAAAGUACAUUGCUAUAAAAUUACAUUGACUCAUUGUGGGUUUUGAAGCCUACCGAAAUGAAUGCUCUAUCAAUUCUGUCCGAUUUCUACUUCUAGGUUAUAUAUUUCUUUAUAUACUUGUGAAUACUCUAUCCAUUCCGUCGGUUUUUUUUCUUAAACAAAAAGUUAUGCAAUACAUAUUCACAUAUAGCUAAAAUACAAUUUUACUAUGUAUACAAUGUGAUUUUUAAUAAUGAAAUAGUAAUGACGAUCGAUAAGAGUUGGAUUCAUGAAAACCGAACGUCCCCAAAAUUCUUGUAAGGUCUUAAACACUUUAUGGAGAUUUCUAGGAAACAUGUUGACUCUGAAGACAAAGUGAGAUGUUCGUGCGUAAAGUGUGUGAAUAUGUAUCGACAGUUGUUGAGUACGGUUUAUGCCCACAUGCAUGAUUGUGGGUUUCUAAAAUCGUAUAUUAUAUGGAUUUAUCACGGUGACAAGCGUCCUGUUUCGGAUUUGGGCUACAAUUCGCCUCCCAUAAACAUUCGAACAACUAAUGAGAUGUUUGAUGUAAUUAAUGAUGUUACGUCGGAACAAAAUCUAAAUGAUGAAAAUACAGAUGAUGAAGGACGAGGCAUGGACCCAGAAUUUGAUGCUUUGUUUGAGGAGCUCAAUAUCGAGUUAUACCCUGAUUGUGAGAUGUCUUCUUUAAACUUUUGGCGAAGUUGUUGCAUAUUAAAGUGAUCAAUAAAUGGACAAAUAGUUCAUUUGACCUGCUUGUAGAGUUGCUAAGAGUUGCUUUCCCGAAGAUCAAGAUUCUAACUUCACACUAUGAAGCUAAGAAAAAGUUGAGAAAGAUAGGGUUAGGAUAUGAUUCCAUCCAUGCUUGCAAAUAUGAUUAUGCUUUGUUUCGGAAGGAGAAUGAUUCCAUACAAAAUUGCCCGAUUUGUAACGAGAGUAGACGAGUGGACACAACCAUAAAGGGGAAGCGAGUACCACAAAAAGUGUUACGGUACUUUCCUUUAACUUCAAGACUUCGACGGAUGUAUAGUUCGAAAUUCACAGCUAAAUAUAUGGUUUGGCAUAAUACUGGAACAUCAACGGAUGGUAUGAUGUAUCAUCCGGUAUAUGGGAAGUCAUGGCAAGAAUUUGAUAAGAGAUAUCUAGAGUUUGCUAAAAAAAACCUAGAAAAGUUUGUCUAGGUUUAGCUGCUGAUAGCUUUAAUCCAUUCAGAAACUUUAAUAACAAUUAUAGUAUUUGGACCCAGAAUACAGAUGAUGAAGGACGAGGCAUGGACCCAUAAUUUGAUGCUUUGUUUGAGGAGCUCAAUACCGAGUUAUACCCGGAUUGUGAGAUGUCAUCUUUAAACUUUUGGCGAACUUGUUGCAUAUUAAAGUGAUCAAUAAAUGGACAAAUAGUUCAUUUGACCAACUUGUAGAGUUGCCAAGAGUUGCUUUCUCGAAGAGCAAGAUUCUAACUUCACACUAUGAAGCUAAGAAAAAGUUGAGAAAGAUAGGGUUAGGAUAUAAGUCCAUCCAUGCUUGCAAAUAUGAUUGUGUUUUGUUUCGGAAGGAGAAUGAUUCCAUGCAAAAUUGCCCGAUUUGUAACGAGAGUAGACGGGAGGACACAACCACAAAGGGGAAGCGAGUACCACAAUUAUAGUAUUUGGCCGGUUAUAUUGACUACCUACAAUACACCACCAUGGAUAUGUAUGAAAGAGUCUUCUUUCAUGCUAACUUGGUUGAUUCCUGGCCCUAGAUCACCCGCAAAGGAUAUUGAUGUUUACUUGAGGCCUCUGUUGGAUGAGUUGAAAAUGUUGUGGGCCGGAGGUGUCCAAAAGAGAGAUGCAUCAACCAACACUGUAUUCAAUAUGCGUGCGAUGUUGUUAUGGACUAUCAAUGAUUUCCCAUCACGUAGCAGACUAUCGGAUUGGAGUGGUUAAGGUUAUUUAGCAUGCCUUACUUGUAAUGAAGAUACAUCUUCCGUUUAUGUGACCAACAAGNNNNNNNNNNNNNNNNNNNNNNNNNNNNNNNNNNNNNNNNNNNNNNNNNNNNNNNNNNNNNNNNNNNNNNNNNNNNNNNNNNNNNNNNNNNNNNNNNNNNNNNNNNNNNNNNNNNNNNNNNNNNNNNNNNNNNNNNNNNNNNNNNNNNNNNNNNNNNNNNNNNNNNNNNNNNNNNNNNNNNNNNNNNNNNNNNNNNNNNNNNNNNNNNNNNNNNNNNNNNNNNNNNNNNNNNNNNNNNNNNNNNNNNNNNNNNNNNNNNNNNNNNNNNNNNNNNNNNNNNNNNNNNNNNNNNNNNNNNNNNNNNNNNNNNNNNNNNNNNNNNNNNNNNNNNNNNNNNNNNNNNNNNNNNNNNNNNNNNNNNNNNNNNNNNNNNNNNNNNNNNNNNNNNNNNNNNNNNNNNNNNNNNNNNNNNNNNNNNNNNNNNNNNNNNNNNNNNNNNNNNNNNNNNNNNNNNNNNNNNNNNNNNNNNNNNNNNNNNNNNNNNNNNNNNNNNNNNNNNNNNNNNNNNNNNNNNNNNNNNNNNNNNNNNNNNNNNNNNNNNNNNNNNNNNNNNNNNNNNNNNNNNNNNNNNNNNNNNNNNNNNNNNNNNNNNNNNNNNNNNNNNNNNNNNNNNNNNNNNNNNNNNNNNNNNNNNNNNNNNNNNNNNNNNNNNNNNNNNNNNNNNNNNNNNNNNNNNNNNNNNNNNNNNNNNNNNNNNNNNNNNNNNNNNNNNNNNNNNNNNNNNNNNNNNNNNNNNNNNNNNNNNNNNNNNNNNNNNNNNNNNNNNNNNNNNNNNNNNNNNNNNNNNNNNNNNNNNNNNNNNNNNNNNNNNNNNNNNNNNNNNNNNNNNNNNNNNNNNNNNNNNNNNNNNNNNNNNNNNNNNNNNNNNNNNNNNNNNNNNNNNNNNNNNNNNNNNNNNNNNNNNNNNNNNNNNNNNNNNNNNNNNNNNNNNNNNNNNNNNNNNNNNNNNNNNNNNNNNNNNNNNNNNNNNNNNNNNNNNNNNNNNNNNNNNNNNNNNNNNNNNNNNNNNNNNNNNNNNNNNNNNNNNNNNNNNNNNNNNNNNNNNNNNNNNNNNNNNNNNNNNNNNNNNNNNNNNNNNNNNNNNNNNNNNNNNNNNNNNNNNNNNNNNNNNNNUAUAUAUAUAUAUAUAUAUACAUAUAUAUAUACAUAUAUAUAUAUAUAUAUAUACAUACAUUAAACAAGCUAAUAAAAGUACAUUGCUAUAAAAUUACAUUGACUCAUUGUGGGUUUUGAAGCCUACCGAAAUGGAUGCUCUAUCAAUUCUGUCCGAUUUCUACUUCUAGGUUAUAUAUUUCUUUAUAUACUUGUGAAUACUCUAUCCAUUCCGUCCGUUUUUUUCUUAAACAAAAAGUUAUGCAAUACACAUUCACAUAUAGCUAAAAUACAAUUUUACUAUGUAAACAAUGUAAUUUUUAAUAAUGAAAUAGUAAUGACGAUCGAUAAGAGUUGGAUUCGUGAAAACCGAACGUCCCCAAAAUUCUUGUAAGGUCUUAAAAACUUUAUGGAGAUUGCUAGGAAACAUGUUGAUUUUGAAGACAAAGUGCAAUGUCCGUGCGUAAAGUGUGUGAAUAUGUAUCGACAGUUGUUGAGUACGGUUUAUGCCCACAUGCAUGAUUGUGGGUUUCUAAAAUCGUAUAUUAUAUGGAUUUAUCACGGUGACAAGCGUCCUGUUUCGGAUUUGGGCUACAAUUCCACUCCCAUAAACAUUCGAACAACUAAUGAGAUGUUUGAUGUAAUUAAUGAUGUUACGUCGGAACAAAAUCUAAAUGAAGAAAAUACAGAUGAUGAAGGACGAGGCAUGUGUUGGAUAUAGUGUCUAAGUCCAUAACUAUAUUUGGUAUGUACUUGACCCGACCCGGCAUGGUCCAUUUGGGUUGCACUUCACCCGAACAAUUUAUGGAUAAUCUUUUGAAAAUAGUAUAAGUUAUGAUUUAUUAAUAUAUUAUAACUUCUAAUAUACUAAUAUAAGAUCAUGUUAUUUAAUUAGUAUUGAUCUAUAAUUAAUCUAGGAUUAAUUUAGAGAUCAAAAGUAUUACUAAUUAAAUAUGGGCUCUUAUACUUAUAUAGUGUGGGCUAAUGCUUAUUUGGAAUGGGCUAGGCUUGCAUGGAAAGUCCAUGGAUACUCCAUGGAGCUUUAACCCAUGGAUCUCAUGGAAAUGAAGAGACAUGGGUAUUAGGGUUUACAUGGAUGUAACCCUAAUCCACCACACUAUAUAAAGGAGGCUUUGGUUCUUGAAAUCACACUAGUUGAGGUGAGUAAAGUAAGAGGGCCGAUUUCAAGAUAGUAGUGACUAUUCUCUCAAAGUUCCAAGUUUGUGGUGAUUUGUGAUUUCCAUUUGAGGCAUCCACACUAUUGGUGCUAGGCUCUAAAACUCCAAGCAAUCAACUACAACUACAAGGUAAGUAAUUCUACUAGCUUUAUUUGAUUCAAGUUCCCCAUGCCAUGCUAGAUAGGAUAUGAACCUUGGAAAAAUAAUUAUUUGCAUGUAUCUUAGACAAACAUAGAUCCAAGGUUUAUUAGGGUUGCAUGUACACUUAGGAAGUGUUAGAAUGCUCAAAACCCAUCAGUGGUAUCAGAGCCACGGGUUGUUUUCUGUUAUAUUGAUGCAAAUAUUUUAUUUUCAAAGUUGAAAAAAAAAAAAAAAAAAAACAUGAAGUUUGUCAAAUUUUAAGAUAAUUACUUGUUCUUGUGAAAAACUAAUUAUUUGUAAAAUUUGAAUAAUUUGCUUUAUGAGUUGAAUUAGGUCAAAUUUAAUAAAAGAUAAAAUAAUAUGAUUAUUUUAUUAGUUUUAAAAGUUUGAUCUAAAGAGUUUUAUUUUUUGAAACCUCCAUAAGUUAUGGAUAUGAAAAGGUUUUAAAAAAAAAAUUGAUUCAAAGUUUUUUUGGAGUUACAAAAUUUGGUGUUAAUGUUUUAAAGGAUUCCAUAACUUAAGAAUAAGUUAUGGAUCACCAAAAGUUUUUUGUGUUACCUUGUUUUAUGAGUGAAUUUAGAUUAAUGAAUAAAAUUAUGUGAUAGUUGGUUUUAAUCCAAAUUAAUCUAAGAAUUGAUUCUAAAAUGUGUUUUUGUAACUUGUCCUCAAGUUAUAUGAAAAGUCACAUUUAAGAAUCAUAAAACUCAUAAAAAUUGGCAAAGGUUACAAAAAUGAAGAGUCUAGUUCUAAUUAAAUGGUUUUAUGACUCCAUAACUUGUCCUCAAGUUAUGGAGGACCAAGAGUCUCUUCAUUUAAUAAAAUAAAAUAAAAAAAAAAAAAGUGUAACCUUAAUUAAUUCCAUAAGUUAUAAAAUAAAGAAAAGUUAAUUCUUUUAUUAGUUUAAAGUCUUCCAUAACUUGUCCUCAAGUUAUGGAACUUGAAGAGUUUUUGGAUUAAAACUACUUUAAACACAUAAGUUAUGGAAUUAAUUAGUUUUGAAUAGUUUCAAAACUUGCCCUCAAGUUUUGGAAUUUGUAAAGUUUUCACUUAUGAAUACUUUAAUUCCAAGUUAGCCCUUAGAAUUUUAAAAGUUAAAAUUCAACCCUUAUACUUUAUAAUAUUAUAAGUUAAUAAUAUAUAUAUGUAUAAGAGUAAAGUCAGUCUUACCGCUAGUACGCCUCAUUCACGAAGCCGGUCUAUAAGGUGGGUAUAAGGUUGUUGCCUAUAAAAUGGCAACUUAAUGGGUGUCCACUCUCACCCACCGCUUGCUUGACUGGUGGAGGGUCGUUAGCCGAACGGGUUUGACAGGACUAGAAUUCUCCCUUCAUUAAAAGUAUUAAUGAUAAUACUAAGUAACUAAACUCUUAAUAAUACCCAAUCUUAGUUACUUAGGAAAAAUGUGAAUAAGGUGCUAAUCCAUGAAAUUACACUUUACACUUUGUCUAAGUCGUUAGUGGAGCGUGUGUGGUUAACCGGCACACUAACUUGGACUUAACAAGGUAGGUAAAGGGUGACUUAAUAUUUAUCAUAGUAUCGAUGGAGCGUGUGUGGUUAACCGGCACAUCGAUUGAGGGGUAAUUUAUUAAGGGUACCAAGUGAUUUGCAUGGUUACUUCACACCUUGUUUUGUGAUCCUCGGCAUCCCAGUCACAAAACCUGAAGGGCACACUCGAGAUUGAAACAUGCCUUUGAACAGUUCAAUGAAUCUCAAAGAUCUAGGAGUUUCAAAACCAAUUAAAACCUAAUAAUACAUUUCGUUUAUCUUGGUGGAAAUUGGUGAAUCGUCAUUCACCUACCUUCAAAUAUUUUAUAGCUUGGAUUACGGCAUACCUCUUCUAAGUUAUAAAAUAGUUUGUUGGGUCCUAGCCUUAAUAUUUCAUAUUGGGUGUCAUAUUAAGGACUUUAAAUCAACUAUCUUGAAUAUCUCCCAAAAGAUGUCUGUAAUAGACACCUAUGAUCUUCCCAAAUCUAGUGAAACAAGGUUUCCUAAAUGAAGAUGAUGUCCUUUGGAAAUCAUACUUCUUUCACCUCCUCCAAUUAUUCUCCCUAACCCACAAGUUCUUGAAAAGUUUAAGGUCACUCAAGCCCUAUUGGCAAGGCAAGGUCUAGGUGUGAUCACAUCUUGGAGAUGUAGUCACAUAUUGACAAGCCGGGAGAGUUGGGUGUCAAAGUCUUGAGAAAGUUGGUGGUUCAAUCACUUUCUAAGUCACAUAGUGAGUUCCUUUGGGACACCUAUGAAACAGACUAUGACAAGACCCUUAAUGAUCUUAUCUAUUUGCUAAGAUCAACUUCCUAAAACUUUAUGGACAUUGACAAUGAUGACAUUGGAUAUCCAGUAAAGCAUUCUCUUCCCAAUGGAAAGGGAUCGGCCAUAGUCAACUCGGUUGACCAAAUGGUAAAGAGAAAAGCUAAGUCUGUGAUAGUCCCGUGUACCAUUAUCAAAGGGUCCAUAUGUUUAUAUUGCCAAAGGAAGGGGCAUUGGUUGCGAAGCUGCCAAAUUUACCUAAGGAUGUUAAAGUCAAUAAGUUUGACUCUACUUCAGGUAAAGUCCACUAUCUAACUCUGUUAAGUUUCUAUUCUGAGAUUCCUGAUACAUGAUGUGACUGGGUCACAUGGUGAUGUUUUAAGAAUCAAAGAAAAGUGAAGAAACUUAAAGAAAGAAUAUGCUGAAUCUGAUGGCGUAGAUGGAUUUCUAUCGCAUAGUUUGAAGAUCGGAUUCUUGAGCAACUUCUUAGGAGUUAUGAGAUAUUGCUUAGGAAUAGAUAACAACAAGUUUUCAUAUGGAUUGUAAGGAUAAGUUUUUCCGCAAAGUUUUAAAAUAAAAGAAAAAUUUUUUGAUUUUAUUUAUUUUAAAAUAUCCUUACAAUGGCUUUUGAGGAAAAAUUGUUGCUUAUAUGAUUCCAUUAAGAGCAAGAGUGGAAAUAUGAAAUUGAUUCUUUCAUUUGUGGUAAUGUCUAGAUUUACCAAAUAAGGAAAGAUUCUCAUCACCCAAGUUUCAAUUGGACCGGAACUUGGAAUCAUGCAAGUUGUAUAGCAUGAUGAAUGAGAACUUUCAAGUUUUGGAAAAUUAAGACUAAUUACUCGGCCACAUGGAUGUGUGAGUCAAGUAAAGGACUAAGGGAUCGAGUACACAUUCUUGUGCACUGAUUAAGUCCACCACAAAAGAUUGAUAAGACUAUUCGUCAUAGUUUACUAAAGCUCAGUAAAUAUGAUUAUACUUACAAGCUUAAGUGUAACUCUGAGACAUUGGAAAAGGUUCCAAUGUAUGGCAGGGCGAAUAAGAAGAAUCAAAUUAGGCAGAAGGAUAAAAGUUUCUCAAAUCUGAAAAGAUGGGAGAGUACUUUAGUAUCAGUUUUGUGAUCAUCUUAAUGAUUAAGAAACCAUAUCAAAAUUAGUUCUCUAAGGAAAUCUUAGUGCAUUCUUAUGACUAAGAAGAGGAACUUGAAUUGUUGAAAUGGUUAAAUCAAGAAGAUGAGUCAUACUUCGUUCCAAUACAAGUCUUAGAGUCAUACUCCAAGAUUGUCAUUUGAGUGACAUGUCUUAAAGAAGGUUUAAAACACUUGUCAAAUGUAAGAGUAAAAGUUUUCUACUCUUGUACAUUUGAAAUUGGUAAGUUGUGAUGUUUUGGAUAAAACAAAGACCAACUUAGGCCAAUUGGGUAAAGUGUUUUUCUUGAUUAGAAUCCGCACUAUCUCUUGGAUGUUUGACAAGGGAGUCUUAUAUGUCAAGAGGACAGUGGGAGUCUUAAAGGUCUUGAAAGUCUCAAGAACUAAUCAAGAAUAAAACCUGAAGUUCUUCACUAGCACACGACUUGAGGUUCAUAACCUAUCGUGUUGACAUAUUCUGUGCCCAUUCCAGUUAAAGUUGGCUUUGCAUAUGAGUUCUUAGAGUUCUCAAUUUGUUGCACAACAACUUGGAAGCAAUGGUAGGCCCUUGAGCUGCCAGGUGGCAAGAAAUUAAGAUUGAGUUCAGUCCAUAUGAGUUUGGAUUUGUCAUUAUCCUUGUCUUGUGACUAUGAUUUUGACAAUUCACAUGGAUAAGAACACAUACACCAUUAAAUCUAAGUGUCAUAAGGUUUCUCUCCGAUUCAUGAAAAUGAUGGUGAGGAAACACUUUCACUAAGUAGAUUUUAGCUAGAUAGCAAUUGUGAUAUUUGCAUUCUCAAAGUCGUUAGUGGAGCGCGUGUGGUUAACCGGCACACUAAUUUGGACUUGUGAGAAGUGGCAAAAAGGUCUAAACAUUAUGAUUACGGCAUCCCUCUUCAUAAUUGUUUAGAUACACAAGUGUGCUAUCUAAGGGAAGGUGUAUGAUUUUGAUAAAGUUUUAUCAAAACAAUCUAGCAUCAGAAAUCUGAACUUUGGUAAGAAAGUCAAUGAAGUAUUGAUUUCUAGAAGUCCAGCUGAUUUCUGAGUACAUGUCAAAGCUAGUGGGAGCAUAAGUGUUAUGCUAAUAAUCAUCAUGUUAGUGGGAGCAUGAUAAUUAUGAUAAGUAUUGCAAGUUAGCAAUGUUAAUUAUAGAAAACAAAAGUUUCAAUUGGGAAAAAGUUGUUUUGCUAUAAUUAAGGGAGAGGAAAUUAUGCUUCAUCUCAAAUCUAUAAGCUUAGAUCGUGAGGUUUUAAUCAUUUAGUCAAGGAUAUAUAUGAAUUUCAUGUUGGAAUGGCUCAACAUAAGGAAAUUCUGUAUAUGGGUCCAUUAUUUGCGUUCUAAAAUUCGAUUAUGAUUACGGCAUCCCUUUUCAUAAUCUGAAUUAUGAGAACUUGGCAAAUUGAAAUGGAAAUGUUAUAGCAAAAGACUGGUUUAGUCUUUAUGUGAGACAUCAUGAAUCGUGUCCCAUAUGCUUCGGAUAUAGGAUCGAUUACAUGUGCUAUAUUCAUCCGUUCUAAAAUUUUCCAAAUGCCUGGGGCAUUAAGAAGGGAAAAGGUUUAGAACUGGAUAUGACUAAAAGGAUUAAACAAUUGUCGAGGACAAUCUAAGGUUUACCAAAGAUUGGUUGCUCAAGGACAGUUGGAAGUAUAGUGAUAAUUCUGGAAGGACCAUAUUGACAUAAUCUGUAAGGAGGCAACUCUUGUUCAGAAGUGAUAGUCAAAAUGGAAUCUGGAAAUGUUUCAAAGUUAGAAUUUUCAAUCUGUUUAAGAUUAGGAAACUUAAUGCAAGAAGGAUGUUUCCAAGGAGCUGAUCUCCUUUGGAAUACUCUGUAAUGAUUGUUGUCAAGUCUUUCUGACUUUGUGCAUAAUCAUUACAAGAGGAUCAAUGCAUAUAAGUUUAGAAUCUAACAGAUUUCAGUAAAUGGCAUGAAUUUGGAAUUCUUGCAUUUGCAGUAAGGAUUUGGGAGUGUGAAAAGAGAAUCAUUGAAGUUAUGUUCAAUUGAUCUAGUUCACAAAGUAAAGAUCAUAGACAAACAUAGUAUGCAUACUUGGUGUGUGGCAUGACUAGUGUUUAAGAAAACAUAGUGUACAUGCUUGGAGCAUGGGACAACUAUUGUUUUAAAUUCAAGAAUAAAGUUGAUAGCUGAAACAGUAUACAAUGAAUAAUGUGUAAUCAUAUGGUGAUAAAUAAAAGGUGUUUUAUUUAUGUUCAAAGGGUUGAUACCAUAUUGGAUUCAAUUAUUAUUGUGUUUCACUUUGCAUGUUUUGACUUCCCGAAUAAACUAGGUUAUUCUUCCGGAAUGACUAAGUUAUUCAAACCAUCCACAGUCGGUCAUAUGUUGGAAGUAGAUAUGAAUUAAGACUGUCAUGGGUUGGCUUGUAGAGGUCUAAGGUGUUGGACAAAGGGCUACAACACUCAUGAGUGCUCAUAAGUUCUGAGUAUUGGAUUCAACCCGCGCUCAUUGGAAUCACUUCAUGGAUUUUAUCACGAGUGAUCAUGAGACGAUAAUAUCUUAUAUUCUUCAAACCUAGAGAUAUGAGUUGUUACUAUGAGUUGAUAGUACAUUGAUUGCACGAAAACGCAUUUGGUAACUCGGUGCUAUAAAACGUGCCUUUGUGUAUGAUUCAACAAGUAGUAGAACAAGCCAUAUGAGUCGAAGUUUAUCCGUUCCUUUUACCUUCGGGAUAAAAGCGAUAUCUGUGGGCCCCUCGAUGAUUUGAUGAUGACAAAUGGAAGUGCUCGGCCGGGCCAGGACUGAUUUGAUUUGUUCAAUUAGUCAGUCGUCAUAAAUCGGAAAUCGGGAAACAACAAAUGGACAGAGAGAAUGAUUAUAAUCCAUGUCUCAGUCCAUAUGAUAUCUAGAAUGGAGGAAUAUAUGAUCCCUUAUCUAAUGGACAAGUCACUGACAAAGGUCAGAGUUCAUCUACAAGGUCAGAGUUCGACAGAAGCUUUUGAGAGCUACGAUUGCCGGUUGGUUCCUGAAGUCAUACGCAAUAAUAGUUUUAGACUUAUCCAAGUGGGAGACUGUUGGAUUAAUGUCUAAGUCCAUAACUAUAUUUGGUAAGACUUGACCCGACCCGGCAUGGUCCAUUUGGGUUGCAUACCAUCAUGGACUUUAAUGAGAGAAAUAAGACACUUAUGGUUAUUAAUAUAUUAUAAGUUCUAGUAUAUUAAUAAUAAGAAUAAUAAGAUUAUUUAAUUAGUAUUGAUCAAGAAUUAAUCUAGGAUUAAUUAAGUGAUCAAAAGAAGACUAAUUAAAUAUAUGGGUUGAUUGUGUAAAUCAUCCAUACUUGUAUAGUGGGCUAAUGCUCCAUGGAUAAUCAAGUUGGGCUAAAACCCAUAGGAUGGUCCAUGGAUGCUCCAUGGUGUAUUUGUACCCAUGGAUCCAAGGAAAUGGAAAGCCAUGACAAUUAAGAGUUUACCCUAAUUGUGUAACUAUAUAAGCAUCUUAUUAUUGAGGAAAAAUCGGCCACUAGUAGUAUUCAAGAAAGGGCUAGCCGAUUUUGGUGAGUGUAGAAUUCUCUCAAGUCAUUCUAAGUGUUUUGAUGAUUGUGAUUCCAUUUGAGGUGUCACACUUGGGGCACUAGGCACUCAAGCUUCAUGAAGACUUUCUACACCAAAGAGGUAUGUAUUCUAUCUUGCUAUAGUCAUUGUUUUGUAUGCUAGAUUAGGAUAAUACCUUGGAAGUUCUUAUUUGCAUGUAUAAUAGAGAAAACAUAGAUCCAAGGUAUUUAGGGUUGCAUGUACACUUAGGAAGUGUUAGAAUGCUCAAAACCCAACAGUGGUAUCAGAGCCACGGGUUGUUUUCUGUUAUAUUGAUGCAAAUAUUUUAUUUUCAAAGUUGAAAAAAAAAAAAAAAAAAAACAUGAAGUUUGUCAAAUUUUAAGAUAAUUACUUGUUCUUGUGAAAAACUAAUUAUUUGUAAAAUUUGAAUAAUUUGCUUUAUGAGUUGAAUUAGGUCAAAUUUAAUAAAAGAUAAAAUAAUAUGAUUAUUUUAUUAGUUUUAAAAGUUUGAUCUAAAGAGUUUUAUUUUUUGAAACCUCCAUAAGUUAUGGAUAUGAAAAGGUUUUAAAAAAAAAAUUGAUUCAAAGUUUUUUUGGAGUUACAAAAUUUGGUGUUAAUGUUUUAAAGGAUUCCAUAACUUAAGAAUAAGUUAUGGAUCACCAAAAGUUUUUUGUGUUACCUUGUUUUAUGAGUGAAUUUAGAUUAAUGAAUAAAAUUAUGUGAUAGUUGGUUUUAAUCCAAAUUAAUCUAAGAAUUGAUUCUAAAAUGUGUUUUUGUAACUUGUCCUCAAGUUAUAUGAAAAGUCACAUUUAAGAAUCAUAAAACUCAUAAAAAUUGGCAAAGGUUACAAAAAUGAAGAGUCUAGUUCUAAUUAAAUGGUUUUAUGACUCCAUAACUUGUCCUCAAGUUAUGGAGGACCAAGAGUCUCUUCAUUUAAUAAAAUAAAAAAAAAAAAAAAAAAGGUGUAACCUUAAUUAAUUCCAUAAGUUAUAAAAUAAAGAAAAGUUAAUUCUUUUAUUAGUUUAAAGUCUUCCAUAACUUGUCCUCAAGUUAUGGAACUUGAAGAGUUUUUGGAUUAAAACUACUUUAAACACAUAAGUUAUGGAAUUAAUUAGUUUUGAAUAGUUUCAAAACUUGCCCUCAAGUUUUGGAAUUUGUAAAGUUUUCUCUUAUGAAUACUUUAAUUCCAAGUUAGCCCUUAGAAUUUUAAAAGUUAAAAUUCAACCCUUAUACUUUAUAAUAUUAUAAGUUAAUAAUAUAUAUAUGUAUAAGAGUAAAGUCAGUCUUACCGCUAGUACGCCUCAUUCACGAAGCCGGUCUAUAAGGUGGGUAUAAGGUUGUUGCCUAUAAAAUGGCAACUUAAUGGGUGUCCACUCUCACCCACCGCUUCCUUGAUCGGUGGAGGGUCGUUAGCCGAACGGGUAGGACAAGGACUUAUAAAUUCUCAUUAAAAGUAUAAUGAUAAUACUAAAGUAACUAAACUUUAUUGAAUUCCCAAUCUUAGUUAUUUUAGGAAAAUGUGAAUAAGGUGCUAAUCCAUGAAAUUACACUUUACACUUUGUUUAAGUCGUUAGUGGAGCGUGUGUGGUUAACCGGCACACUAACUUGAACUUAACAAGGUAGGUAAAGGGUGACUUAAUGUUUAUCAUAGUAUCGAUGGAGCGUGUGUGGUUAACCGGCACAUCGAUUGAGGGGUAAUACAUUAAGGGUACCAAGUAAUUUGCAUGGUUACUUCACACCUUGUUUUGUGAUCCUCGGCAUCCCAGUCACAAAACUUGAAGGGCACACUCGAGAUUGAAACAUGCCAUUGAAGAAAGUUCAAUGAAUCUCAAAGAAUCUAGGAGUUUCUAAACCAAUUAAAACCUAAUUAAAAUUUCGUUUUUCAUGGUGGAAAUUGGUGAAUCGUCAUUCACCUACCUUCAAAUAUCUUAUAGCUUAGAUUACGGCAUCCCUCUUCUAAGUUAUAAAAUAUUGUGUUGGGUCCUAGCCUUAAUACUACAUUUGGGUGUUUUAUUAAGGACUAUCUCUAAAUCUAAUCUAAUCUAUUCCCUCUUCUUUUCAGAUGUCUUCCAAUAACAAUGCUUCUGGCUCUAACCCUACUAGCUCUUUCUCUCUCAUGAAUCUUUGUGGGAGAGUCAUCUUCGAUGGAUCCAACUUUACUGAUUGGAUCAGGAACAUCAGGAUGGUCACUCGGUAUGAGAACAAAGAAUAUGUUCUCGACAAGGAGCUAAAGGUACCCGAGCCAACUGCUACUCCUGAAGAGCUUGCUGAAUAUGAGGUACAUGAAAGGGAUGCUACAAAAGUAGCAUGCAUCAUGAUGGCCACCAUGACAGCCGAGCUCCAAAAGUCCUAUGAGGACUAUUAUCCUUUUGAGAUGCACCAGGACUUGAUGGACCGUUACCAUCAAAGUGCUCGUCAAGAGCGAUAUGAAAUAAUCUCCUCCAUGAUAACAACCCGAAUGAAGGAUGGUGAACCCAUCACGGGCCACAUGCAGAAAACGCAAAGGUAUGUGGACCGUUUACUGAAGCUGAAUGCGAAAUUCCCCGAGGAGUUAGCAAUAGGCAUCAUUUUGCACUCCUUACCAUCAUUUUAUGAUCAAUUCCGCAUGACAUAUCACAUGAACAAGGAAGAAGUCACCCUCAGUAAACUUCAGGGACUCUUGAAGACCACAGAGAGUGGUCUAAAGGGUAAGUUGGUUGUUACUACUCCUAUUCCUACUCCUACUGUGGCCAAUGUCUUGGCAAUCGGGCAUGGCAAAGGGAAGAAGAGAAAGAACCCUUCUAAGGGUACCAAGGGUAAGACCCUUGAAGGCUCCUCUUCAAGCAAAACCAAGAAAGGUUUUGUCACUCCUUCUGCUAACUUUAAUGAGGCUGAAUGCUUCUAUUGUCAUGAAAAGUCGCACUGGAAGCGAAACUGCCCAAAGUACCAGCAAGAUGUGAAGGAUGGGAAAGUAAAACCCAACCAUGCAGGUAUAUACACUAUAUUGUCUAAUAACUCACCUCAUUUUAAGUCUUGGGUCCUUGACACAGGUUGUGGUAUCCACAUAUGUUGUGACUUGCAGGGACUAAGAAGAAGUGAGAAUGUGGAGCAGGGAAAGAUAAACUUGAUCAUGGGAAACAGGAAAGCUCCACCUGUCACCAAGAUAGGAGUUUAUUCCUUAGUGCUAAAUAGUGGGUUUACAUAAGAUUUGAAUAAGUUUUAUUAUUCGCCAAAAAUGGCAAACAAGGUUUUACCUUUUAUUUUAAUAAUAAUAAUGGUAGUAUUGACGCUUUCUUUAAUAAUGUUCUUUAUUUUAAAGCAUUACCUUGUGAUGGCGUGUAUGAAAUUGUAUCUGUUGUAGAUAAUCUAGGAUAUAAUGUAUUGUAUAUUGAAUCUUCCACUAUCUUAGAUAAAGCAUCUUUAUGGCAUUGUUGUUAUGGACAUGUAAGCGAGAUACACAUAGGCCAACUCCAAAAGGAUGGAGUCCUGGAGUCAUUUGACCUAAAGUCUGAUGAUAGUUGUGAAUCUUGUUUGNAUGACAAAGUCACCUUUUACAGGCACUUGUGCUACGGGUGAAGGUUUGUUGGACCUCAUAUGCACGGAUGUGUGUGGCCCCUUCAGAACCGCCACAAGAGAUGCUAAUCGGUUUUAUGUGACUUUUACUGAUGAUUUUAGUAGAUAUGGAUAUGUCUACUUAAUCAAGCAUAAGUCAGAAACCUUUGAGAAAUUCAAAGAGUUUAAGCAAGAAGUGGAGAAUCAGUUGGGCAGGAACAUUAAGAUGCUUCGAUCCGAUCGUGGUGGUGAGUAUCUUAGUACUGAGUUCCUUGACUAUCUUAAGGAAUGUGGGAUUAUCUCACAAUUGACACCUCCUAGGACACCACAGUUGAAUGGUGUAGCUGAGAGGCGCAAUCGGACCUUGUUGGACAUGGUUCGUUCCAUGAUGAGUCGAGCUUCGCUACCAAUAUCAUUUUGGGGGUAUGCCUUAGAGGCUUCCGCCCAUAUCCUUAAUCUAGUCCCUACAAAGAAGGUUGCCAAAACACCUCACGAGAUGUGGACUGGAAAAGUUCCCAAUCUAGACCACAUCAAGAUUUGGGGUUGUGAGGCUUUCGUGAGACGCGAGACUCACGAUAAGCUCGAACCCCGAAGCGAAAGGUGUAUUUUCAUCGGCUAUCCACAGAAAUCCUUUGGCUACAUCUUCUACAGACCCAGUGAUNNNNNNNNNNNNNNNNNNNNNNNNNNNNNNNNNNNNNNNNNNNNNNNNNNNNNNNNNNNNNNNNNNNNNNNNNNNNNNNNNNNNNNNNNNNNNNNNNNNNNNNNNNNNNNNNNNNNNNNNNNNNNNNNNNNNNNNNNNNNNNNNNNNNNNNNNNNNNNNNNNNNNNNNNNNNNNNNNNNNNNNNNNNNNNNNNNNNNNNNNNNNNNNNNNNNNNNNNNNNNNNNNNNNNNNNNNNNNNNNNNNNNNNNNNNNNNNNNNNNNNNNNNNNNNNNNNNNNNNNNNNNNNNNNNNNNNNNNNNNNNNNNNNNNNNNNNNNNNNNNNNNNNNNNNNNNNNNNNNNNNNNNNNNNNNNNNNNNNNNNNNNNNNNNNNNNNNNNNNNNNNNNNNNNNNNNNNNNNNNNNNNNNNNNNNNNNNNNNNNNNNNNNNNNNNNNNNNNNNNNNNNNNNNNNNNNNNNNNNNNNNNNNNNNNNNNNNNNNNNNNNNNNNNNNNNNNNNNNNNNNNNNNNNNNNNNNNNNNNNNNNNNNNNNNNNNNNNNNNNNNNNNNNNNNNNNNNNNNNNNNNNNNNNNNNNNNNNNNNNNNNNNNNNNNNNNNNNNNNNNNNNNNNNNNNNNNNNNNNNNNNNNNNNNNNNNNNNNNNNNNNNNNNNNNNNNNNNNNNNNNNNNNNNNNNNNNNNNNNNNNNNNNNNNNNNNNNNNNNNNNNNNNNNNNNNNNNNNNNNNNNNNNNNNNNNNNNNNNNNNNNNNNNNNNNNNNNNNNNNNNNNNNNNNNNNNNNNNNNNNNNNNNNNNNNNNNNNNNNNNNNNNNNNNNNNNNNNNNNNNNNNNNNNNNNNNNNNNNNNNNNNNNNNNNNNNNNNNNNNNNNNNNNNNNNNNNNNNNNNNNNNNNNNNNNNNNNNNNNNNNNNNNNNNNNNNNNNNNNNNNNNNNNNNNNNNNNNNNNNNNNNNNNNNNNNNNNNNNNNNNNNNNNNNNNNNNNNNNNNNNNNNNNNNNNNNNNNNNNNNNNNNNNNNNNNNNNNNNNNNNNNNNNNNNNNNNNNNNNNNNNNNNNNNNNNNNNNNNNNNNNNNNNNNNNNNNNNNNNNNNNNNNNNNNNNNNNNNNNNNNNNNNNNNNNNNNNNNNNNNNNNNNNNNNNNNNNNNNNNNNNNNNNNNNNNNNNNNNNNNNNNNNNNNNNNNNNNNNNNNNNNNNNNNNNNNNNNNNNNNNNNNNNNNNNNNNNNNNNNNNNNNNNNNNNNNNNNNNNNNNNNNNNNNNNNNNNNNNNNNNNNNNNNNNNNNNNNNNNNNNNNNNNNNNNNNNNNNNNNNNNNNNNNNNNNNNNNNNNNNNNNNNNNNNNNNNNNNNNNNNNNNNNNNNNNNNNNNNNNNNNNNNNNNNNNNNNNNNNNNNNNNNNNNNNNNNNNNNNNNNNNNNNNNNNNNNNNNNNNNNNNNNNNNNNNNNNNNNNNNNNNNNNNNNNNNNNNNNNNNNNNNNNNNNNNNNNNNNNNNNNNNNNNNNNNNNNNNNNNNNNNNNNNNNNNNNNNNNNNNNNNNNNNNNNNNNNNNNNNNNNNNNNNNNNNNNNNNNNNNNNNNNNNNNNNNNNNNNNNNNNNNNNNNNNNNNNNNNNNNNNNNNNNNNNNNNNNNNNNNNNNNNNNNNNNNNNNNNNNNNNNNNNNNNNNNNNNNNNNNNNNNNNNNNNNNNNNNNNNNNNNNNNNNNNNNNNNNNNNNNNNNNNNNNNNNNNNNNNNNNNNNNNNNNNNNNNNNNNNNNNNNNNNNNNNNNNNNNNNNNNNNNNNNNNNNNNNNNNNNNNNNNNNNNNNNNNNNNNNNNNNNNNNNNNNNNNNNNNNNNNNNNNNNNNNNNNNNNNNNNNNNNNNNNNNNNNNNNNNNNNNNNNNNNNNNNNNNNNNNNNNNNNNNNNNNNNNNNNNNNNNNNNNNNNNNNNNNNNNNNNNNNNNNNNNNNNNNNNNNNNNNNNNNNNNNNNNNNNNNNNNNNNNNNNNNNNNNNNNNNNNNNNNNNNNNNNNNNNNNNNNNNNNNNNNNNNNNNNNNNNNNNNNNNNNNNNNNNNNNNNNNNNNNNNNNNNNNNNNNNNNNNNNNNNNNNNNNNNNNNNNNNNNNNNNNNNNNNNNNNNNNNNNNNNNNNNNNNNNNNNNNNNNNNNNNNNNNNNNNNNNNNNNNNNNNNNNNNNNNNNNNNNNNNNNNNNNNNNNNNNNNNNNNNNNNNNNNNNNNNNNNNNNNNNNNNNNNNNNNNNNNNNNNNNNNNNNNNNNNNNNNNNNNNNNNNNNNNNNNNNNNNNNNNNNNNNNNNNNNNNNNNNNNNNNNNNNNNNNNNNNNNNNNNNNNNNNNNNNNNNNNNNNNNNNNNNNNNNNNNNNNNNNNNNNNNNNNNNNNNNNNNNNNNNNNNNNNNNNNNNNNNNNNNNNNNNNNNNNNNNNNNNNNNNNNNNNNNNNNNNNNNNNNNNNNNNNNNNNNNNNNNNNNNNNNNNNNNNNNNNNNNNNNNNNNNNNNNNNNNNNNNNNNNNNNNNNNNNNNNNNNNNNNNNNNNNNNNNNNNNNNNNNNNNNNNNNNNNNNNNNNNNNNNNNNNNNNNNNNNNNNNNNNNNNNNNNNNNNNNNNNNNNNNNNNNNNNNNNNNNNNNNNNNNNNNNNNNNNNNNNNNNNNNNNNNNNNNNNNNNNNNNNNNNNNNNNNNNNNNNNNNNNNNNNNNNNNNNNNNNNNNNNNNNNNNNNNNNNNNNNNNNNNNNNNNNNNNNNNNNNNNNNNNNNNNNNNNNNNNNNNNNNNNNNNNNNNNNNNNNNNNNNNNNNNNNNNNNNNNNNNNNNNNNNNNNNNNNNNNNNNNNNNNNNNNNNNNNNNNNNNNNNNNNNNNNNNNNNNNNNNNNNNNNNNNNNNNNNNNNNNNNNNNNNNNNNNNNNNNNNNNNNNNNNNNNNNNNNNNNNNNNNNNNNNNNNNNNNNNNNNNNNNNNNNNNNNNNNNNNNNNNNNNNNNNNNNNNNNNNNNNNNNNNNNNNNNNNNNNNNNNNNNNNNNNNNNNNNNNNNNNNNNNNNNNNNNNNNNNNNNNNNNNNNNNNNNNNNNNNNNNNNNNNNNNNNNNNNNNNNNNNNNNNNNNNNNNNNNNNNNNNNNNNNNNNNNNNNNNNNNNNNNNNNNNNNNNNNNNNNNNNNNNNNNNNNNNNNNNNNNNNNNNNNNNNNNNNNNNNNNNNNNNNNNNNNNNNNNNNNNNNNNNNNNNNNNNNNNNNNNNNNNNNNNNNNNNNNNNNNNNNNNNNNNNNNNNNNNNNNNNNNNNNNNNNNNNNNNNNNNNNNNNNNNNNNNNNNNNNNNNNNNNNNNNNNNNUGAUUGUGAGAUGUCUUCUUUAAACUUUUGGCGAAGUUGUUGCAUAUUAAAGUGAUCAAUAAAUGGACAAAUAGUUCAUUUGACCAACUUGUAGAGUUGCUAAGAGUUGCUUUCCCGAAGAGCAAGAUUCUAACUUCACACUAUGAAGCUAAGAAAAAGUUGAGAAAGAUAGGGUUAGGAUAUGAUUCCAUCCAUGCUUGCAAAUAUGGUUAUGCUUUGUUUCGGAAGGAGAAUGAUUCCAUACAAAAUUGCCCGAUUUGUAACGAGAGUAGACGAGUGGACACAACCAUAAAGGGGAAGCGAGUACCACAAAAAGUGUUACGGUACUUUCCUUUAACUUCAAGACUUCGACGGAUGUAUAGUUCGAAAUUCACAGCUAAAGAUAUGGUUUGGCAUAAUACUGGAACAUCAACGGAUGGUAUGAUGUAUCAUCCGGUAUAUGGGAAGUCAUGGCAAGAAUUUGAUAAGAGAUAUCUAGAGUUUGCUAAAGAACCUAGAUAAGUUCGUCUAGGUUUAGCUGCUGAUAGCUUUAAUCCAUUCGGCAACUUUAAUAACAAUUAUAGUAUUUAGACCCAGAAUACAGAUGAUGAAGGACGAGGCAUGGACCCAUAAUUUGAUGCUUUGUUUGAGGAGCUCAAUACCGAGUUAUACACUGAUUGUGAGAUGUCUUCUUUAAACUUUUGGCGAAGUUGUUGCAUAUUAAAGUGAUCAAUAAAUGGACAAAUAGUUCAUUUGACAAACUUGUUGAGUUGCUAAGAUUUGCUUUCCCUAAGAGCAAGAUUCUAACUUCACACUAUGAAGCUAAGAAAAAGUUGAGAAAGAUACGGUUAGGAUAUGAGUCGAUCCAUGCUUGCAAAUAUAAUUGUGCUUUGUUUCGGAAGGAGAAUGAUUCCAUGCAAAAUUGCUCGAUUUGUAACGAGAGUAGAUGGGUGGAGACAACCACAAAGGGGAAGCGAGUACCACAAUUAUAGUAUUUGGCCGGUUAUAUUGACUACCUACAAUACACCACCAUGGAUAUGUAUGAAAGAGUCUUCUUUCAUGCUAACUUUGUUGAUUCCUGGCCCCAGAUCACCCGCAAAGGAUAUUGAUGUUUACUUGAGGCCUCUGUUGGAUGAGUUGAAAAUGUUGUGGGCCGGAGGUGUCCAAAAGAGAGAUGCAUCAACCAACACUGUAUUCAAUAUGCGUGCGAUGUUGUUAUGGACUAUCAAUGAUUUCCCAUCACGUAGCAGACUAUCGGAUUGGAGUGGUUAAGGUUAUUUAGCAUGCCUUACUUGUAAUGAAGAUACAUCUUCCGUUUAUGUGACCAACAAGAUGUGUUAUGCUAGUCACAGACGAUUCUUGAAUAUAAACCAUAGUUUGAGGGAGAGUCUAUUGUUUGAUGGUCAACCUAAGACAAGCCAGCGUCUUAGAAGAUUCAGUAAUGCAACUAUAUUAAAGCAAGUAAAUUGGCUCUCCGAUCGAAUUCCAGGGUAACAUCCUGAUUACGGGGGCAAGAAAAGAAAGUGCGACACUGAAAGAAAAACGAGAGUUAAAUUGGACGAAACAAAGUAUCUUCUUUGAGCUUGAGUAUUGGUCUUCCGUCGACCUAAAACACAAUUUUGAUGUUACGCACGUUUCAAAGAAUGUGAAUGACGGUGUAUAGAAUAUUGCAUUGAUGAAUGAUAAAAGCAAAGACAAAAAAGAAGCAAGAAUUGACUUGAAAAAUAUAAGCAUUAGACCAGAUCAAUGGCCAAAAGUGAAAGUCAAGAAAAUGAAGAAACACAACAUGGAAGAAAACAAGAAGAAAGAAAUACUCACACAUGCUUCUUACUCUUUCAAACCAAUUGAUCGAUAACAUUUAUGUCAAUUCAUUAAAGGAGUGAGACUACCUGAUAGUUUUGGAUCGAACUUUAAGAAGAAGGUUAAUGAUACUGAAUCAAAUUUGGUUGGGUUGAAGUCUCACGAUCAUCACGUCCUCAUGUAACGAUUGCUACCUAUAGGGUUCGAGCAUGUCUCCCACCAAAUGUUACAAGAACAAUCAUUGACAUGGGUGCAUUCUUUUAAAAAUAUUUGUGCACGGUCAUUGGAUGUUAACGACAUGAGAAAUGUCAGAACAGAAGUGGUGAAGAUCUUAUGGAAUCUUGAGUUGUUAUAUCCUCCAACAUUUUUCGACAUAAUGAUUCACCUUAUUCUUCAUUUACCUGAUGAAGCCGUUCUUAGAGGGCCUGUACACAUGAGAUGGAUGUAUCCUUUUGGAAUAUAGAUGAAAAAACUUAAAAAUUAUGUCAGAAACAAAGCCACACCAGAAGGUUCAAUAGCAGAGAGUUAUGUUGCAGACGAAGCUUUGACAUUCUGCUAUGUAUCCUGAGGGUAUCCAAACAUAUGUCAAAAACAUGCCAACCCAUGACAGUCUUGAUUCAUAUCUACUUCCAACAUAUGACCGAAUGUGGAUGGUUUGAAUAACUUAGUCAUUCCGGAAGAAUAACCCAGUUUAUUCGGGAAGUCAAAACAUGAAAAGUGAAACACAAGAAUAAUCGAAUCCAAUAUGGUCUCAGAACUUAUGAAUAUAAAUAAAACAUCUUUUUAUUUGUCACCAUAUUGAUUACCCAUCAUUCAUUUCAUACUGUUUCAAACUAUCAACUGUAUAUUUGAAUUAAAACAAUAGUUGUCCCAUGUUACAAGCAUGUACACUAUGUUUUUCUAAACACUAGUCAUGCCAUACACCAAGUAUGCAUAUUAAGUUUGUCUAUGAUCUUUACCUUGUGAAAUAGAUCGAUUGCACAUAGCUCCAAUGAUUCUCAUUUCACAGUCCCAAAUCCUUACCGCAAAUGCAGGAAUUCCAAAUUCAUGUUAUUUACCGAAAUCUGUUAGAUUCUAAACUUAUAUGAAUUGAUCAUCUUGAAAUGAUUAUGCACAAAGUCACAAAGACUUGACAACAAACAUUGCAGAGCAUUCAAAAGGAGAUGAAAUCCUUGGAAACAUCAUUCUUGCAUUAAGUUUCCUAAUCUUACACAGAUUUAUUAAACAACUUCCACCUUCCCAUAUUCCCAUUUUGACUAUCACUUCUGAACAAGAGUUGCCUCUUUUCAGAACAUGUCAAUAUGGCCCUUCCAAAAAUUAACACCAUACUUCCAACUAUCCCUGAGCAUCCAAUCUUUGCUAAACCUUAGAUUGUCCUCGACAAUUGCUUAAUCAUUUUAGUCAUAUCCAAUUCUAGACAUUUUCCCUUCUUUAAUGCCCCAUACAUUUGGAAAAUUUUUAGAAAGGAUGAAUAUUAUAGCACAUGUAAUCGAUCCUAUAUCCGAAGCAUAUGGGACACGAUUCAUGAUGUCUCACAUAAAGACAUGAUUCUAGACUAGUUUUUUGCUAUAAUAUUUCUAUUUUCCAUGUUCUCAUAAUUCAGAUUAUGAAAAGGGAUGCCGUAAUCAUAAUCGAUUUUUAGAACGCAAAUAAUAGACCCAUAUAUAGAAUUUCCUUAUGUUGAGCCAUUCCAACUCAAAAUUCAUAUAUAUCCUUGACUAAAGAUGAUUAAAACCUCAAUCUAAGAUUUUAGAAUUGAAAUUAAGUAUAAUUUCCUCUCCCUUAAUUAUAGCAAGACAACUUUCCAACCCCUGCAACUACACGAAUUGAAACUUUUGUUUUCUAUAAUUAACAUUAUUGUCUAAUAAUAAUUAUCAUGCUCCCACUAACAUGAUGAUUAUUAGCAUAACACUUAUGCUCCCACUAUCUUUGACAUGUACUCAGAAAUCAGCUGGACUUCUAUAAAUCAAUAUUUAUUGACUUUCUUACCAAAGUUCAGAAUUCUGAUACGAAAUGCUUUGACAAACUUUAUCAAAAUCAUACACCUUUCCUUAGAUUGCACACAUGUGUGUCUAAACAAUUUCAGAACUACGAAAAGGGAUGUGGUAAUCAUAGUCUUAAUUGUUUAGACCUUUGUCAUUUCUCACAAGUCCUUGUUAGUGUGUCGGUUAACCACACAUGUUCUACUAACGACUUUGAGAAUGCAAAUAUCACAAUUGCUAUCUAGUUAAAAUCUACUUAGUGAAAGUGUUUCCUCACCAUCAUUUUCAUGAAUCGGAGAGAAACCAUAUGACAUUUAGAUUUAAUGGUUUAUGUGUUCUUAUCCAUGUGGAUUUGUCAAAACCAUAAUCACAAGAGAAGGAUAAUGACAAAUCCAAGCUCAUAUGGAUUGAACUCAAUCUGAAUUUCUUUCCACCUGGCAGCUCAAGGGCCUGCCAUUGCUUCCAAGUUUUUAUGCAACCAAUUGAGAACUCUCAGAACUCAUAUGCAAAGCCAAAUUUAAAUGGAAUGGGCAUAGAAAUAGAAGUAUGUUAACACGAUAGGUUAUAAACCUCACGUCAUGUGCUAGAGUUAAACUACAGGUUUUUAUUCUUGAUUAGAUCUUGAAAUUCUUUUAGGACCGUUAAGACUCUCACUGUCCUCUUGACAUAUAAGACUAUCUUGCCAAAUAUUCAAGAGAUAGUGCAGAUUCUUUAUCAAGACAAACACUUCACACAAUUGGCCUUAGUUCCUUCAUUGCUCCGAUCUAACAAUCAAGAAAUAUAAAAGAUUUAAGAGAGAUUUCAAUGGAUGAUGAAAGGAUAUUGUCACACCCCGGCCGUCGACGGAAACACUGGGCAGUGUAACUUCAUUUCUCGUAUCAUAGUUAUCAACUUCCUGAAAACACAUGCAAUUUAAAAUACGUCAACAUAAAGUUGGUAGGUCCACAGGUUUUGACUCCAUAUAAAAAUAAUACAUUUUCCAAGUUCAAAAGUAUAGUUUUGAAAGUAUCAUUUUGACUCUCAAACAUUUAGUAUAUAUAUCCUAGGUAUAAUGGUUUACUUAACAAAUAAGUGUUAUACCUAAACGUUCUUUGAACCUAAAGUAUAAGUAUAAAUGUUUGUAAUUCCAUACAAACUAAGUUACUACGCAUAAAUCUUAUUUCAAUUUUAUACGAGUAAAACCGCUACGUAUAAAUCUAUUUCAAUUCUAUACGAGUAAGUAGGAUAGGUAUAGUGGUCUACUUAAUACACAAGUAAUAUACCUACUAGAUUCUUAUACAUAGAGUAUAAGUCUUUGGGAAACUUAUACUUAAUAUUCAUACUUGUAUAUCAACAAAGUAUAAUGCUUCUAAAGUUAUGUUACCAUGAGUCUGUAGCUACGACUGUACGACUUUGUUUUAUACCUCUGGUUAUUAUUAGAAGGAUCACACCUUGUGGUAGUUACAAGGAUCACACAUUGUGGUAGUACAAGGAUCACACCUUGCGGUAGUACAAGAAUCACACCUAGCGGUAGUACAAGGAUCACACCAUGCGGUAGUACAAGGAUCACACCCUGCGGUAGUACAAGGAUCACACCUUGCGGUAGUUUCCAUAUGCUUUAUCGACGUCGGAAGGUAGUAAAUUAGGUAAGUUCAUCACCCACAAAUUAUUGGUUGUAACUAACAAGCACGGGUGGGGUUGUCACACUCACACAGGAUUAACGAAUACAAGUAAGAGGAUUUCCACUAAGAUCCCCAAUCUUAGAUGAUGAAUACAAUAGCUCAUGUAAACUUUGACGGUGUUCUAUAGUUCUAACAACAAAAGCAUUUUCGUGUCUAGAACCCUAAGUUACUAGACUAUGCUUUUAAACAUUACUCCUAACUUCAUAAAAUUUAGGCAGUAUAAAAGCUAUAACUUGAGGUAAAACCAGGUUUUAUCUUGACAUAAAACCAAUAACAACAUAUAACGUUCCUAGUUUUAUCUUGACAUAAAACCAACAAUAAUAACAUACUUAGAAAUCAAUAUAUAUAACUCUCGAGUAUAGCAUCGAAGCUAUAUCACACAUAGUAUAUAUAGAACUCCGGAGUAUAACUCAAGGUCUACAUUAGUAUAAUAACAUGUUAACAAGUUGAUAAUAGUUGUAUAUAUUUAAAAUAUCAUAUUUAAACAACUGUAUCCCGGUUAAUAUAACUAUCUACGUUGAUAUUAACAUACUAUCAUAUAGACAUAAUAUUAACGUAUAUACAAUAUUUAUCAUGUGUUUUCCCCCGAAAAUAUUAGAAAGUGGGGCCAUGAAACUCACCUUAGUAUCGUGAUUUUAUGUAAUCUAAGCAGAAACGGUCAGCGGUAUGAGGUCGUCGGGGCUCGUGAAGCGAAACGGCUUCAGCAAACGAGAGAGAAAGAAAGUAGAAAUGGUGUAAUGAGCCUUGGGGUCAAAAUGGAUAUUUAUAGGCUGAUUUUUAGGCUCUCACGACGUGAGAAUGAUAGAUUCACGUCGUGAGCUAUGGCAAGAGUCAUCCCGUAGCUUUAACGCGUGUUUUCUAGCCUCGAAUAGUGUCCUGCAGCGUCCUCACGUCGUGAGAAAACCUUGCUCACGUCAUGAUUUUUUGGGUUAUCGUUCCAUAGACUUAUAGCUUCGAAAUGUGGCGUUUUGACUCCUCACGUCGUGUGUUUUUAGGUUCAUGUCGUGAGUCCAGUCAGAUUAGGGUUUCUGACACGUGUCGUGCUCUAAGAUAGCUUUAACUUCGGAAGGUCGUAACGUUUGCAUACGAACUCUGUUUUUAACGUUCUUUAUAUCCACGCAUAGGUAAUUCUGAGUAAUACAACUUUCUUUUAAAUUCCAAUAGCUAAUUAUAAGUCUAUUUUAAAUUCCUCAUAUUAUAGAGAUUUAUAGUGUUAGGGUUUAUCAUAACUUCUUCACGCGAAGUCAGAUUUAGACGUUCUCUAUAACUUUGGAAUCGUAUGGAUGUAUACUUUGAGUUGUAUCAUAAAAUAUGUAUGAAAUUUCAUACUUUAACAUGAAUUAGAUAGUAAUUUUAUCAAAAUACUAGUUUAACAAAAUCACAUUACAUGAUUGGCAUAAUCACAUGUGAUUGUUAUUGACCUAUUUUGACGGGUGUUACAUUCUCCCCCCGUUAAAGAAAUUUUGUCCCGAAUUUUAUUUUAUAGAUAGGGUUUUGUUAAAUAGUUGGGGAAAACAUUGUUGAUAUUGCUUAGCUCUUGAUGUAACUUAAGUUGAUAUGCGACAUAACCAAUUCUUGCUAGAAUUUUAAAAGUUUCUAUAUAUUGCGGGUUUAGCUUGCCUUGUUUCUUGAAUCGAAUCAUGCCUUUCCAAGGAGAGACCUUUAACAUUACUCCAUCUCGAACUUGGAAUUCCAAAGGCUUACGUCUUACGUUAGCAUAACACUUUUGACAAUCACGUACUGCCUUUAAUCGACCCUUUAUAUGCAUGAUCUUUUGAGUUGUCUCGUGGGUUAUUUAUCGCUCGGCACAUAAGGUAUCACCUAUAUGUUCUCUGGCCAAUUGUGUGUCUCCGACUUCUCAGUGCAAAAACUACAGCUCCUAAUUCUAGGGCAUGGAUAGUGUAAUUAUUCUCAUGCACCUUAAGUUGUCGUGAUGUGUAGGCGAUAACUUUUCCUCUUUGCAUCAACACACAUCCCAAUCCUUGAUUUGAUGUGUCGCAGUAUAUGACUAAAUAUUCUGUCCCAUCUGGGAGGGAUAGGAUUGGUGCACUACACAACAUUUGCUUUAUUUUCUAAAAAGCAGUUUCUUGUUUAACUUCCCAGUUGAUCUUCAUAUCCUUCUGGAUUAGCGUUGCAAGCGGCUUGGCUACCUUGGACAAAUUCUCUAUGAAUCUACGAUAUUAGCCAGCAAGUCCUAAGAAUUAACGCACUUUUGUUGGUGUCUUUGGUGCUUCCCAAUUCUUAAUUGCUUCAAUCAUGGAGGGUUCGACAUGAAUCCCUUUGUUACUAACUACAUGUUCUAAAAUUUUGUACUUCUCUAAUCCAAAAUUCACAUUCGGAGAAUUUGGCAUACAACUUUACUUUUCUUAGUAGUUCCAAGAUUAUUUACAAGUGUUGACCAUGUUCUUCCUUUGUUCGUGAAUAUAUCAAUAUAUCAUCGAUAACUACUAUCAUAAAUUUAUCCAAGUACGGUUUACAAACACUAUUCAUGAGGUCCUAGAACAUUGUUGAAGCGCUGGUCAAUCCAAAGACUUAACUAGGAACUUAGAUUGACCAUACCGAGUCCUAAAUAUUGUCUUCAGAACAUAGUCUUCUUGUACUUCGAGUUGAUGGUAUCCUGAUCUGAGAUCUAUCUUCAAUAUUCUAGAAUCUUCAGGUGUUUUAAUCAAUCAACCACCGUAUCCAAGUUUAGUUGUGCAUCGGCCUGACCAUAAUUAAACAUAGGUGAUCAGUUUACGUUUAGUUGUGGUUCAUACCAUGUACAACAAAACUUGACUAAGUAGUUUGACCUAAAACCUUGAGUUGUAUUGGUAUCGAGGGUUUGGGUUUUCUGUAUUUUUAGUUUAUACAUGUGUUCUCAUCGUGGGACUGAGUUCAUACAUAACUCUAUAUCUUUGUUUUUGUUGUAUUCACGGGUAUUAUUAAUUAUUUUUUGUUACUUCAGGUUUAGCUGAUAAGGCACCGGCCAGUCAGGACAGUCGGUGGGCAGGAUCAUUUUAGCAUAUAGCCGUUCUGAAAUCCAGCAACCCAAGCAACGUGUCUAUCCUGUCACCGGUCCCGUAAGUAGUCCUUCAGUAGUAUAAUUUAAUAAUACUUUUAUUUGUAGGUUAAGGGAUAUACCUAAACCUAACAGAGUAAGCCCUAAACUAUAGUCGUGCUUUCCUAAGAAAGUACUAAUUCACUAUAGUUAAUAGCUCUAAUACCAAGCUGUCACACCCCGGCCGUCGGCGGAAACACCGGGCAGUGUAACAUCAUUUCUCGUAUCAUAGUUAUCAACUUCCUGAAAACACAUGUAAUUUAAAAUACGUCAACAUAAAGUUGGUGAGUCCACAGGUUUUGACUCCAUCUAAAAAUAACACAUUUUCCAAGUUCAAAAGUAUAGUUUUGAAAGUAUCAUUUUGACUCUCAAACAUUUAGUAUAUAUAUCCAAGGUAUAAUGGUUUACUUAACAAAUAAGUGUUAUACCUAAACGUUCUUUGAACCUAAAGUAUAAGUAUAAAUGUUUGUAAUUCCAUACAAACUAAGUUACUACGCAUAAAUCUUAUUUCAAUUUUAUACGAGUAAAACCGCUACGUAUAAAUGUAUUUCAAUUCUAUACGAGUAAGUAGGAUAGGUAUAGUGGUCUACUUACUACACAAGUAAUAUACCUACUAGAUUCUUAUACUUAGAGUAUAAGUCUUUGGGAAGCUUAUACUUAAUAUUCAUACUUGUAUAUCGACAAAGUAUAAUGCUUCUAAAGUUAUGUUACCAUGAGUCUGUAGCUACGACUGUACGACUUAGUUUUAUACCUCUGGUUAUUAUUAGAAGGUUAACACCUUGUGGUAGUGACAAGGAUCACACAUUGUGGUAGUUACAAGGAUCACAAAUUGCGGUAGUACAAGGAUCACACCUUGCGGUAGUACAAGGAUCACACCAUGCGGUAGUACAAGGAUCACACCUUGCGGUAGUACAAGGAUCACACCCUGCGGUAGUACAAGGAUCACACCUUGCAGUAGUUUCCAUAUGCUUUAUCAACGUCGGAAGGUAGUAAAUUAGGCAAUUUCAUCACCCGCAAACUAUUGGUUGUAGCUAACAACCACGGGUAGGGUUGUCACGCUCACACGGGAUUAACGAAUACAAGUCAGAGGACUUCCACUAAGAUCCCCAAUCUUAGAUAAUGAAUACAAUAGCUCAUGUAAACUUUGACGGUGUUCUAUAGUUCUAACAACAAAAGCAUUUUCGUGUCUAGAACCCUAAGUUACUACUCUAUGCUUUUAAACAUUAUUCCUAACUUCAUAACAUUUAGGCAGUAUAACAACUAUAACUUAAGGUAAAACCAGGUUUUAUCUUGACAUAAAACCAAUCACAACAUAUAACAUUCCUAGUUUUAUCUUGACAUAAAACCAACAAUAAUAACAUACUUAGAAAUCAAUAUAUAUAUAACUCUCGAGUAUAGCAUCGAAGCUAUAUCACACAUAGUAUAUAUAGAACUUCCGAGUAUAACUCAAGGUCUACAUUAGUAUAAUAACAUGUUAAAAAGUUGAUAAUCUUUAUUCUAAUAAAAGAGUAGCUCUUUUGCCAUGUGUCACCAUGUUAGACAUUGUAAUUAAUAUCAUGACACUUGUCAAUCUAUUGACACUUGUAAUUAAUAUCAUAACACUUGUCAAUCUAUUAAUUCUACAUUUUAAAUUUCAAAUUUCAAAAUCUAAAUCAUAUUUUAAUUACAUUAAAUUAAUAAUAUUAGAAUUAAAAUAAAAUAAAAUUUAUACCAAUUAUAAUAAAAUAAAACUUAUACAAAUUAUAAUAUGAUAUAUUUUACGUAUUUAUAUGAAUCAACGAUUAUAAUUUUAUAUAUAACUAAAAAAUAUAUUUUAUUUAAUAAGUUAUUUAAAAUUAUUAAUUAAUAGUUUUGAGCUUUUACUUAGAAAGUUUAAUUAAUUUUGUAACUGUGGUUACCACGGGUUAUAAACUAGUAGUUUUAUAUAUUUAAACUAUUAUAUUUAAACAACUAUAUCCCGGUUAAUAUAACUAUCUACGCUGAUACUAAUAUACUAUCAUAUAGACAUAAUAUUAACGUAUAUACAAUAUUUAGCAUGCGUUUUCCCCCGAAAAAUAUUAGAAAGUGGGGCCGUAACACUCACCUUAGUAUCGUGAUUUUAUGUCAUCUAAGCAGAAACGGUCAACGGUAUGAGGUCGUCGGGGCUCGGGAAGCGAAACAGCUUCAGCAAACGAGAGAGAAAGAAAGUAGAAAUGGUGUAAUGAGCCUUGGGGUCAAAAUGGCUAUUUAUAGGCUGAUUUUUGGCCUCUCACAACGUGAGAAUGAUAGAUUCACGUCGUGAGCUAUGGCAAGAGUCAUCCCGUAGCUUUAACGCGUGUUUUCUAGCCUCGGAUAGUGUCCUGCAGCGUCCUCACGACGUGAGAAAACCUUGCUCAAGUCGUGAUCUUUUGGGUUAUCGUUCCGUAGACUUCUAGCUUCGAAAUGUGGCAUAUUGGCUCCUCACAUCGUGAGUCCAGUCAGAUUAGGGUUUCUGACACGUGUCGUGCUCUAAGAUAGCUAUAACUUCGGAAGGUCGUAAUGUUUGCAUACGAACUCCGUUUUUAACAUUCUUUAUAUCCAUGCGUAGGUAAUUCUGAGUACUACGACUUUCUUUUAGAUUCCAAUAGCUAAUUAUAAGUCUAUUUUAAAUUCUUCUUAUUAUAGAGAUUUAUAGUGUUAGGGUUUAUCAUAACUUCUUCACGCGAAGUCAGAUUUAGACAUUCUCUAUAACUUUGGAAUCAUAUGGAUGUAUACUUUGAGUUGUAUCAUAAAAUAUGUACGAAAGUUCAUACUUUAACAUGAAUUACAUAGUAGGUUUAUCAAAUUACUAGUUUAACAAAAUCACAUUACAUGAUUGGCAUAAUCUCAUGUGAUUGUUAUUGACCUAUUUUGACGGGUGUUACAGAUAUGCAUUGUGUAAAGAAUAUGAUACUAACCGUAAUUUCAAUAGGCACACGAUUGUCGAUUCUGUGUACAUAAUACAGAUCAAUGCAGUCAACACUGAGUCUCUUCAAGCUAGCUUCACAAGCAUACUUUACAUAGGCCGGAUCUCCGGAGACUUCCAUAGCUUCACUAUCGUAUUUGACACCGAAUUUAGUCGCCAAAUCCACUUUCUCUCUCACUCCUCCCAUCAAAGUCUGUAGUUAACAAGAAACAAAAUACUUGAACAGCAAGUUGACUGAAUCAAACCAUGAAAUGAACCAUGUGGCAGCGACGAUUGAUCAAAGUAAAAUGUAAUUGUUAAGCUCGAAGUAGUAGAAGAAUGUCACCUUGCCGAUAAGGAUCUCGUUGGUUUGCGGUUCGUAGAUGUCGGAGGUGUCGAGGAGGGUAAUCCCGGCGAUAAUGGCGUGGUGGAUGAGCUUGAUCAUGUCCGGUUCAGGUUUGGAGGCUCUAUAGAAAGCAGACAUGCCCAUGCAACCCAAACCCUAUGCUGAUACUUCAAGACCCUGUCAAUGUCCAUUGAAGGUUUGGAAAGUUGAUCUUCUAAUCAAAUUUGCUUUUCUAGUUCUCAAAUCAUUUCUAAUUCAACAACACCAAGCAAAUAGAUAAGAUCAUUAAGGGUCGUGUCAUAGUCUAUUUCAUAGUAGUCCUAAAGGAACUCACUAUGUGGCUUAGAAAGUGAUUGAACAUCCAACUUUCUUAAGACAUUGACACCCAACUCUCCCGACUUGUCAAUAUGUGACUUCAUCUCCAAGAUGUGAGCACACAUAGACCUUGCUUUCCAUUAGGGCUUGAGUGACCUUAAACUUGUGGGUUAGGAAGAAUAAUUGGAGGAGGUGGAAGAAGUUAAGUUCCAAGAGAUUUGGGAAGAUCAUAGAUGUCUGAACUAGACAUCUUUUGGGAGAUAUUCAAGAUAGUUGAUUUAAAGUCCUUAAUAUAACACACAAUAUGAAAUAUUAAGGCUAGGACCCAACACAAUACUUUUAUAACAUGGAAGAGGGAUGUCGUAAUCCAAGCUAUAAAAUAUUUGAAGGUAUGCAAAUGACGAUUCACCAAUUUCCACCAUGAAAACAAAAUAAUUUAAUUAGGUUUUACUUGGAUUUGAAACUCCUAGAUCUUUUGAGAUUCAUUGAACUGUCGAUGGCAUGUUUCAAUCUCAAGUGUGCCCUUCAGGUUUUGUGACUGGGAUGCCGAGGAUCACAAAACAAGGUGUGAAGUAAUCAUGCAAAUCACUUGGUAUCCUUAAUAUUUACCCCUUAAUCGAUGUGCCGGUUAACCACACGCGCUCCACCGAUACUAUGAUAAAUAUUAAGUUACCAUUUGCCUACCUUGUUUAAUCGAUCUAGUGUGCCGGUUAACCACACACGCUCCACUAACCGAAUUAAACAAAUUGCAAAGUGUACUUUCAUGGAUUAGCACCUUCUUCACAUUUUCCUAAAGUAACUAAGAUUGGGAAUUAUAAAAGAUAUAUUUAUCAUUAAUAUUUUUAAUGAAGGGAGAAUUAUAGUCCUUGUCCUACCUGUUCAGCUAACGACCCUCCACCAGUCAAGGAAGCGGUGGGUGAGAGUGGACACCCAUUAAACUGCCAUUUUAUAGGCAGUAACCUUAUACCCCUUUAUAGACCGGCUUCAUGAAUGAGGCCUACUAAUGGUAAGACGANUAAUAUUAUAAAGUAUAAGGGUUAAAUUUUAACUUUUAAAAUUCUAAGGGCUUAACUUGGAAUUAAAGUAUUCAUAAGGGAAACCUUUUGAAAAUCCAAAACUUGAGGGCAAGUUUUGAAACUAUUCAAAACUAUUCAAUUCCAUAACUUAUGUGUUUAAAGUAGUUUUAAUCCAAAAACUCUUCAAGUUCCAUAACUUGAGGACAAGUUAUGGAAGACUUUAAACUGUUAAAAGAACGUGACUUUUCUUUAUUUAUAACCUAUGGAAAUAUUUAUGAGUUUUAUGAAUCUUAAAUGUGACUUUUCAUAUAACUCGAGGACAAGUUACAAAAACACAUUCUAGAAUCAACUCUUAGAUUAAUUUGGAUUGAAAACAACAAUUUCACAUAACUUUUCUAUUAAUCUAAGCAACUGAUAAGAACAAGAUAAUUCAAAUCAAACUUUUUCAUGUAAUUAGUCUAAACCUUAAACUAAUACAAAACAUGAAUCUAUUGACAAUUAUCUUUGAAAUUGGAUUAGCAUGAACAUUACCACAUCAAAAACAAGUUUAUAAGUCCAAAAACAUCUUAGGGUAAUGUUCCUAGUCCAAUUCCAGCCAAAAGCUUCAAACAGCAAGCUGUCAGCACCCAAAACUCGUCGAGUUCCUUGAGUAACUCGUCGAGUUCAUGCCCAAAAUGAUGAACUCGUCGAGUUUUUUGCAUAAACUCGUCGAGUUUUAUGGUCUGUACAAUUUCAGCUUUGAAAAAACAAGUCUGCAUCACGUAUAAGAGAAAACAAGCCUAGGCUCUGAUGCCACUGUUAGAUUUUGAGCAUUCUAACACUACUAAGUGUACAUACAACCCUAAAUACCUUGGAUCUAUGUUUGCUCUAUUAUACAUGCAAAUAUGAAUAUUCUAAGGUAUUACCCUAUCUAGCAUACAAUCUUUUGAUACUUGGGUAAUAUAAUAAGUUAGAAUACAUACAUCUUGAUGUAGCUUGACUCCAUGAUGCUCGAGAGCCUAGUGCCCCAAGAGUGACACUUCAAAUGGUUUACAAAACAUCAUCAACACAUGGAAUAACCAUGAGAAGAAGACACUUCAUGCUCAAAUCGGCUAGCCCUCACAUAUGUAUCACUAGUGCCAAUUUCUUGAGCUAAAGGGGUCCUUAUAUAGUGUGCAUAUUAGGGUUACACCAUGUAACCCUUGACUUUACCCAUUCCUUAUGCUCCAUGGGUUUUAACUUCCAUGGAGUAUCCAUGGGUCGCCACAUGGGUUAAACCCAACAUAAGGAAUCUUGGAUCAUAAGUCUACAUAUAUAAGAAUGAAUGAUUUACGCAAUCAAUCCAUAUAUAUUUAAUUAGUCUCUUUUGAUCACUAAAUUAAGUCCAAAUUAAUUCUUGAUCACUACUAAUUAAGUAACAUGAUUUCAUAUUAAUAUAUUAGAACUGAUAAUAUAUUAAUAUGUCACAAAUGCCCUCUUCUCACAAACGAUCUAUACAAAUGUUCCGAUGCCAUUCAACCCAAAUGGACCAUGCUGAGUCGGGUCAAGUACAUACCAAUUAUAGUUAUGGACUUAGACACUAAUCCAACAAUAGUACCUUUGUCAAGCUUUAGGAUGCCGCAUGGCAGCGAGAGAUUAAGAUAGAGCCCCAUACGAAGGAGCAGCGUCAGGCUCUGGUUCAAUCCAAACCUGCAACAAAGCGGUUCAAUCCUAUUGAUUCAUGAUCAUGAGGUCAGACGGUCUGCACUUAUGGCAUGUUCGGCAAGGCUCAUGAUGGUGUUUGUUGAUCUUCUUAUGGAUGCCACAAAUGUGGCAAUGAGUUUCACUAUGCAAGGGAUUGUCGAUAGUAGGACCGGAUACCGAGCACCAAGAUUUGUUACCAUUAUGAUUAGGUGGGCCAUGUGAAGGCCUAGUGUCCUUUGCUUGUUUCCAGGCCGAUGCAGGCUCUAGCCCCAGCUACUUUGAUGAUCACGGAUGGACGUUAGGGUAGGGCGGAGCCCAUGAGGGCUUGAGGUCAUGCUUUCUAGCUCACAACAGAGGAGGUCAGGGUGACGCUGGAAUUCGUUACUAGUAUGCUUUCAUUUAUUAUUCUGUUAAUUAUUAUAUGGUAUGCUUAUGUUUGUGAUUCUACUAGGUACCUUCUUAGUGAAUUCCCUACCUGUUCUUAUUCGUUUUUUACUCGGGUGCGAGUCGGUCUUCUGUGUAUUAGUCCUUUAGUAGGAGAUUUAAUUUGAUGUGUCUCUUGGAGAGCUGGAGUACCUAUUGCGAGUUUCCAUCAAGCAUGGGGUUUCUACAUCGAGUGUUUAUCAGGGUUGUGUUUUGGAGAUUUUUGGGGUGUCUUACCCGAUUGAUCAGAUCCCUAUCCACAUCAGGGAUGUGUGCGUGAUAGUAGGGAUGGACUGGUUGAGCUGGUUUAGUGUGAUGAUUGACUAUGAAGGUUAGCGGGUGGUAGUUUAAACCCUAAGAAAGGAAGAACUGAUUAUUUAUGGAGAGGUUAUCAGGGUUGGAUUAGCCUUUUGUUUUGUUGUCGAGGCUCGAUAGUAUCUGCAACUUGGUUGUAUGGGUCACCUCACAUAUCUCGUUGACACUCGAGUCGGGAAGGAGGUAUCAGUUUCAGAUGUGCACAUAGUCAGAGAGUUCCUAGAUGUGUUUUUUAAGGAAUUACCUGGUGUGCCCCCACCCCCUGAGAGGCAGGNNNNNNGGCCCCCCCCCUUCCCCCCCCGAGAGGCAGGUUGAGUUCAGGAUCGAUUUGGUCCCUAGUGUAGCCCUGAUUGCUAAGGCACCAUAUCGAUUAGCACCACUAGAGAUUCAGGAGUUCUCUUCUCACAUUUUGUAGAUUUUGAGCAAGCAUUUUAUCAGACCGAGCAGUUCGCCUUUGGGAGCAUUGAUCUUGUUUGUGAAAAAGAGGGAUGGGUUUCACCGCAUGUAUAUUGAUUAUCAGGAAUUUAACAAGUAAACAGUGAAGAACCGUUACCCACUUCUACAUAUUGAUGAUAUUUUCGAUCAGUUGCAAGGUGUAUCUUGGUUCUCGAAUAAUGACUUGAGGUCGGGGUAUCAUCAGAUGAGGGUUAGAGAGGAGAAAGUGGAAAAGGCAAUAUUUCAGACUCGUAACGGUCAUUACUAGUUUGUGGUGAUGCCAUUUGGGCUCACCAAUUCGCAUGUGACAUUUAUGGAUUUGAUGAAUCGAGUGUGCUGGCUGGUACUCGAUCGAUCAUUUAUUGUGUUCAUCGACGAUAUCCUAGUCUAUUCCAAGACCAGGAAGCAGCAUGACGAGCACCUUGAAGAGCUUCUAGGAGUUUUCAGGUGGGAAUGGUUGUACAAAAAAUUCUCAAAGUAUGAGUUUUGGUUAUGAGAGGUCCAGGUCUUGGGACACCUCAUUAACCAAAACAUAAUUUUGUUCGACCCGGUCAAGAUUGAGGCUGUUAUGCAGUGGCAGGUCCCGAAAUAUCCCUCUGAGAUCAGGAGUUUUCUAGGUUUAGCAGAGUAUUAUCAUAGAUUCAUUCAAUAUUUCUCCAAGGUUGUUGUACCCCUCACUCGUCUAAAGAGGAAGGGAAUGGAUUUCUGUUGGGGGUUUGUGCAGUAGGGUAUUUUCGAUACACAUUGGAGACACCAAGAUGUAUCAGGAUUUGCGACAUAGUUACUAGUGGUUGUGUAUGAAGAGGAAAUAACAUGGUAUGUUAAGAGGUGCUUGACAUGUCGGAUGGUUAAGUACGAGCACCAGAGGCCACAUGGCUAGCUUUAGGCUUUAGACGUUCCCAUGUGGAAAUAGGAACAGAUCACGACAGAUUUCAUCACCAAGUUACCUCAGAUGGCUAAAGGAUUUGAUGCGAUAUGGGUUAUAUUGGAUUAUAUGACCAAAAGCGCCCAUUUGCUAGCCAUUCGGGAGAGUUCAUCUGCCGAGAAAUUUGCUGAGUUUUAUGUGCACGAGAUUGUCACUCGGCAUGGUGUUCUAGGUUCACUUGUAUCUGAUCGAGAUGUUUGGUUCACUUCUCGAUUCUGAAAGAGGUGCCACGAGGAAAUAGGGAGGAGAUUGCCCUUUAGCACUACUUAUCAUCCACAUACCGACGACCUAAGCGAGUGGACCAUCCAAACGCUCAAGGAUAUGUUGUGAACAUGUGUGAUCGAUUUCGGUGGAGUUGGGAGUCCUACCUUCCCCUCGAUGAGUUUUCUUACAACAACAACUAUCAUUCUAGUAUCGCUGCGCCACCUUUUGAGUUGGGUAUCGGAUAGACCGAUGUAGUUCUCUAUUAAACAAAAUUUAUUCAACAUAUCAUGUAGAGGUUAAAAGACGUAUCAGAGUCAACAAAAGAGUUAUGUUGAUAGACGUUGGUCUGACUAAGCUCCUCAAGCAAAUCUAACCGAUAGGUUACCAUGUCUACCUUGGAUAGUUGGCGACAUGGUUUUACUAAAGGUAUCACCCUGGAAGGGUGUAAUAUCCUUCAGGAAGAGGGGCAAGUUGGGGUCCCGGUAUAUUGAGCUGUUUCGAGUAUUAUCCAAGGUAGACAUGGUAACCUAUCAGUUAGAUUUGCUUGAGGAGCUUAGUCAGAAUCACAACGCCUUCCAUGUUUCCCAACUUCGGAAGUGUGUGAUUGAUGAUUCAUCGGUGGUUCCUUUGGAUGACAUUUAGGUCGAUCAUCGUCUAACUUAUGCUAAGAGCCCACUAGUGAUUCAUGAUAAGAAGACGAAGGCCUUGUGCAACAAGGUGGUAUCGUUGGUCAAGGUGGCAACAUCAGAAGGGUUCUAAAUGGACUUGGGAACCAGAAGCAGAGAUGCGAGAGCACUAUCCUGAGUUAUUUGUAGCCUUGGACCUCUAAAGUGAAGUCUAAUUCAAGUUAGGGAGAACUGUAACAUCCGUUCCAGGUAUGAAUCAACUUUUUAUGUAUUAACUUUAAAUUUGUUAGCCACAGCGUGGUGGAGCAUCAUCAUGACGCCACAAAAAGUUUUGGACCAUGGAAUUUAAAUGACCCACCACUGUGUGGCCUUAGGUGCCACAACGUGGUAGGAAUUUUUAAUGAAAAACCUAAUAUUGGGCUUUAAGCCCUAUAUAAAGAACAUUAAGGCUAGGGGUUCAUGAUCAUUCAACAUCUAUCUCCCUUUUAAACUUAGAAUCCCUAACCCUAGCCAGCAUUGAAGUUGUAAGCUCAUUCUUGGUGGUUUGUGGUGAGUUUUGAAGGACAAGGAAGACCAUGGAGUAGUAGUUACUUGGCAAGCAUCAUCUUCUUCAGCUAGCAAAUCUCCUGGACCUUGGUGAUUGUCCAAGAUCCAACCUUUCCCUUUCCAUGUUACUAGUUCUAUUGAUUUUGUCGCUUUUUUUCAUGUCUUGAUGGAUUUGAGUGGUGGGAUCUCAUAAUGUUUACAACUUUAUGAAUCUCUAGGUCAAAUAGGGUACUUGGUGUCUUGGAUCUAAUUUAUAUACAAGUUUUGGUGUCAUGCAUGGGGUUUUGGCCAAAACCAUCAUUUUGACCUAAUAAAGUCCAAGACAUGCAUUGGACAUGCAUAUCUAGCAAGUAAGGAUUUUUAUGUUGUCAUUUUAUGCAAGAAAUGUAUUGGAAAUGGGAAUCUAGUAGUCUUGAAUAGAAAGUGCUUAAUGGGUUAAGCCAAGAUUUUUUUUGCCCUAUUUAGAUCUAGAAAUGAGAUCUCUAUCUCUUAGAGGGUCUAAAGGGAUAAAGUUGGAAACUUUAUCCACUUAGACCUUAGAAUGGACCAGAUCUGGGCUUUGGAGCCCUUAGGAUCAAAGAAAUUGACUUAAUCCAUUAGGCGGUUAGGAGCCCAAUGCCCACAACGUGGCCUAGGUUGCCAAGACGUGGCGACCAACUGGAGUUGACUUUGACUUUGACUUUUAUCCGUUGUCGUUGAAUUUGACCAAGUUUGACCUAGGGGCAUUUUUGGUAUUUUGAGCAGGAGUUUGAGACUAGGUCAUUGUUUGGUAUAGUGAUCUAUAGAGUUGGCGUUUGGAUCAUCGUUCUUUCUGCUAUCAUUUUACACUGUGAGGUGAGUUUUCCUCACUAUACUUGUGGGUCGAAGGCACCAAUGUUGGCCUACUAGAUUAUGUAUCCUAGUAUAUUGGAUUGAUAUUAUGUUUUGUCUGUGUUAGAUUGAUAGAUCUGCAUGAUUACAUAGGUUCAUUGUGUAUGUUUUAAAUUGGUGUAUAUAUAUAUAUAUAUAUAUAUAUAUAUAUAUAUAUAUGUAUNNNNNNNNNNNNNNNNNNNNNNNNNNNNNNNUAUGAUUACCUAUACUUAUUGAUUAUUGAUUGCGAUUGUGUAUGUCAACAUGUUAUGGUUUGUUGGGCUGAUGCGGUCUUAAUUUGUGUUGAAAACCAAGAUACCCGGGAUGGUUCGGUUAGAUUGAAGACCCAAGAGGUGGCCCAGUCAGGACAAAAGUCCCGGAGAUCGGUCAAGAUAGGUUGUAGGACCUGUGAGGCGGUCCAAUUAGAAUAAAUGUUCAUUUAUACAUGUAUUUAUAUGUAUUGGUACUUUGGGGAACUCACUAGACUUUUGGCUUACAAUUUAAGUUUUAUGUUUCAGGUAUUUCAAAAGAUCUGGGGAAUGAAAAGCCGUGAUAGCACAUAUCGUUUGGUGAUAUGUUUUGGAAAUAUUAUGAUACAUUGAUUUUGGAACAUUUGUACUUGAUCUUGGGUUCUUAUGACUCAGGUUUUGAUUGAAAACAAUAAUUUCUCUUUAAUUAAAAAUGAAAAUUUUUAUUGUGAUCUUGGGACUCUAAAAUUUUGUGAUGUCCUACAUCGAUACAAUAUAAAAUGAUGAAAUUUAGAUGAAUUUAUUUAAUGAAAAUUUCAUUAUCGUAAGCUGUUGAAAUAGUUUUUAACCUCCAUGAGAAGCCUUUAGAAAAACCUUUUUUAGCCCAUUCAUGACAAAAAAGAAAUUAAUGGAUUUAAUGUGUAUAAUCUUAAGUCUUAACAUUUAUAUAAAAGUUGAUUUUUUUAACAUUUAUAUAAUUACAACGUUCAACUUAUUCAUUUUGAACAAUGUUGAGACGUUCAAUGUAAAAAGAAAAACUAUAUAUAUAUGUAUGGUGAUUCGAAAGAAAUUUACAUGUAGCUCAACACAUUAUGUAUCAUAACACAUUAGACUGUGGAAAACGACAUACUAUGAACAUGCAAAAUCAUCAUAUUUAAGUGGUUAACUACUUUUUAAUAACUUUGAUGUUUCAAUACUUAUAAAAGUUGAAACUAAAUAAUUCAAUCCUUUAAAACUUUGACAUAAAAAACAUGUUUUAUAAUAAAUUGACCACAAAUGAAUAUUAAAAAAAUAAUUUAAAAGUCACUUUAUAAAUCAGUUAUCUUGAACUACAUUGAUUUGGACGAAAUCAUUUAUUGUUAUGUAGUUUUUUUUUAUUUAACAUUUUUUAACUCACUUAUAGUAUCACUAAUUUACAUAAUUAGUCUCUCUUAAUUUAAUUAGUCUCUUUUGAUCAAUAAAUUAAUUUCAAAUUAAUUCUUGAUCAAUACUAAUUAAAUAAUAUCAUUUCUCAAUUAAUAUAGUAUACUUAUAAUAUAUUAUUUAAUCAUAAAUAACCUCUUUCUCAAAUAUCCAUCCUACUAAAUUGUCCUGGUGAAGGCAACUCGAAGUGGACCAUGCUACUCUCGGGUCAAGUACAUAUCAAUUAUAGUUAUGGGCUUAGACACCUAAUCCAAUACUUGCAUGUAUGAAUGAUUUAUUCUUCUGCAUCUCUUGUCCACACGGACCAUUCGAGUUGUAUAGCUGUUAAUGGGUGCACAACAUGAUCUCUUCUGAUGGUUGAUGCUGACGCCUCCAAUAAUCCAAUGUAUUUAAUCUUUCCUUCUUCCACCAGCUCCUUUAGUGCUCCCAUCUAACAAGAAAGAUAAAGAUUUUAGGAGAUCGAUAUGAAUAGAUAAUGAAUUUAAGCGCGACUACAAGUGAACGACAUGUAAAGAGGAGGGAAUUAACAUUGAUUUCAAUAGGCACACGGUUGUCAAUAAUAUGAUGAUAAUAAAUGUCAAUACAAUCGACGCCUAAUCUCUUGAAGCUAGCUUCACAAGCAUACUUUACAUAGGUCAGGUUUUCGGAGACAUCCAUGUGAUUAUUGCUCUCGUAUUUGAACCCGAAUUUGGUACCUAGUUGCACUUUUUCCCUCCCCGCUCCAGUCAAAGCCUGUAAUACAAAAGAAAACUGUUUUCUAAUCAAUUUACACAAGAAAUGAUACUUAAACCGUAAGUUGACUGAAACGAAAUAUGAAAAUAUCUAUGUGCUCUAUAAUCUUAAAACUAAUUGGGAAUGACAAUUCAUCGAGGUAAUAUUUAAUUAUGAAGCUUCUAAUCGUAGAAGAAUGUUACCUUGCUAAUAAGAACUUCGUUGGUUUCAGGACCAUAGAUGUCGGAGGUUUCCAGAAAGGUAAUGUCGGUGCUAAUUGUGUCACACCCCAAAACCGGAACGGCGGAAAUGUAAUGGGGUGGAUGACGUCAUGUCAACUAUCACAACAUAUGCAGUAUAGUAAUCAAAGUACAACAACCAUUGCAAUAAUAGUAAUAGUUUUACAUAGUUUACAUUGAAUAGAAACAUCAAAGUAAUACAAGUAAUAAUACAGGUGCAACUUGGUACUAAUCUGUCUUCACCAAAAGCUCCUGUGAUGUACAUGUCUAUUUGCUGACCUGAGAAUACAAGUUAUUUUGAAACCGAGUAUCAACAUUUUUAUAAAUGUUGGUGAGUUCAUAAGUAUUUAGUGUCAUUUUAUUCAAAUAACUUUAUACAAGUAGUAGUUUAGAAUCAAUAGUGUAUUAGAGUCCUUUCCAGAAAAUCCUAUAUUUUCUAAAUAAAAGCAGUCUUCUACCAAGACCCGACAGUGUUAUGUUUUAAAGAGAAUUUCCCUGAAAUAUCUCUUGAAGCUAGCUUCACAAGCAUACUUUACAUAGGCCGAGUUUCUAGAGACAUCCAUGUGAUUACUGCUCUCGUAUUUGAACCCGAAUUUGGUACCUAGUUGCACUUUCUCCCUCCCCGCUCCAGUCAAAGCCCGUAAUACAAAAGAAAAUUGUUUGCUAAUCAAUUUACACAAGAAAUGAUGCUUAAACCGUAAGUUGACUGAAUCAAAAUAUGAAAAGAUCUAUAUGCUCUACGAUCUUAAAACUAAUUAGGAACGACAAUUCAUCGGGGUAAUAUUUAGUUAUGAUGCUUCUAAUCAUAGAAGAAUGUUACCUUGCUGAUAAGAACUUCGUUGGUUUCAGGACCAUAGAUGUCGGAGGUUUCCAUAAAGGUAAUGUCGGUGCUAAUUGUGUCACACCCCAAAACCGGAAUGGCGGAAACGUUCUGGGGUGGAUGACGUCAUGUCAACUAUCACAACAUAUGCAGUAUAGUAAUCAAAGUACAACAACCAUUGCAUUAAUAGUAAUAGUUUUACAUAGUUUACAUUGAAUAGAAACAUCAAAGUAAUACAAGUAAUAAUCCAGGUGCAGCUUGGUACUAAACUGUCUUCACCAAAAGCUCCUGAAUGUACAUGUCUAUUUGGUGACCUGGGAAUACAAGUUAUUUUGAAAGCGAGUAUCAACAUUUUUAUAAAUGCUAGUGAGUUCAUAAGUAUUAAGUGUCAUUUUAUUCAAAUAAAUUUAUACAAGUAGUAGUUUAGAAUCAACAGUGUAUUAGAGUCCUUUCCAGAAAAUCCUAUAUUUUCUAAAUAAAAGCAGUCUUCUACCAAGACCCGACAGUGUUAUGUUUUAAGGAGAAUUUCCCUGAAAUAUUAUCAUUACCAAAUUACGGUAUUUGAUUUUAAAGAAAGUAGGAGAAUAUUACUAGUUGAAGUACUAAGGGAAAAUAACAUAUGCCUCAGCAGAAGAUACUGCUGACUAAGGCAAAGAAAUCAUAGACUCCAGGAGAGUAUCAAAUGAAUGACACGCCUGGCUCAGUCUAACAAAAGGAGACACAGACCCCAAACGGUAUCAAAUGUACGAUACAUCUAGCAAGGUCUAAAACAAAGAAACGCAGACCCCAGACAGUAUCAAAUGAAAGAUACAUCUAGCAAGGUCUAAAACAGUGAACACAGACCCCAGAUAGUAUCAAAUGAAAGAUACAGCUAGCAAGGUCUAAACAAGAGUAAUUCUAAGAGUGUGUUUCCAGCAUACAGUGUUAAACAUCGUUACCUUAAGGCCAUGAAUUAUAAGGUAAACAUGGAGAUACUCGUAACCAUACUAAUCGACACUAGAGUACUUGACGCCCUGCAAGCGUCGGUGUAAGUAUGACAUUUGUCACCCCUUGGCUUGGUAGGCCUUGGACUGUAGCUAGCAGUCACGGUGCGGGGGUGUCAAUCCCGUAUAGAUCUAUACACACAAUGUCUGCUCUACCUACAGGAGACUAUGGUUACCAACUCGACGACGAGGAGAUCUGUGUCUUAGGGAUGCAUCUCGACCAAUGAAUUCUGAUGUAAGUGCUGGACUAACAGUAGAGACUCAUAACUGAACCAAUCGAUGUAAACCUAUAUGUCUAUACAUGUAUACAUAAUAUAUAAUUAAUGAUUAAACGACCUUCGGACGGAUAUCCGAUCCCACCAGACCACAUCCCAACGAGGAAAAGGAAAUCGGGCGAACUAGCCUUCCUAAGUCCUUUAAAUAUUAUUUAUAUAACUAUACAAGUACAGGCAUACUUUUAACCAAGUAGGAACAUUUUACGAAGUUGAAGUGUUUAACGAAGUAGAAGUGUUUCGCGAAGUAGAAGCGUUAACAAGUAGAAGCGUAUCACGAAGUAGAAGCGUUUAUAAGUAGAAGCGUAUCACAAAGUAAAAGUGUUAAUAACUAGAAGCGUAUCACGAAGUAGAAGCGUUUAUAAGUAGAAGCGUAUCACGAAGUAAAAGCGUUAAUAAGUAGAAGUGUAUCACAAAGUAGAAGCGUUUAUAAGUAGAAGCGUAUCACGAAGUAAAAGCGUUAAUAAGUAGAAGCGUAUCACGAAGUAGAAGCGUUUAUAAGUAGAAGCGUAUCACGAAGUAAAAGCGUUAAUAAGUAGAAGCGUAUCACAAAGUAAAAGCGUUAACAAAGUAGUAGCAUUUAACUAAGUAGAAGCAUUAAGUAUGUAGAAGUAUAACGAAGCAUUAGUAUCUAACAAAGUAGGAGUAUAAAAACAUGGAAGAAAACAUUGAUGAAAACUUUGGAAAACCUUUAUACUUAAGAAAAUCAUGACUUGGUAUUCUUUUGUAAAAUAAGUUUGAAAACCUUUAGAAACCCUUGAAAAUCUUUCAUAAACAAGUUUUGAUUAUAACUUUGAUAAAACGAUAUAAGUAAAGAAAACCUUCAUUUUAAAAUGCUACUGUAACUGAAUUUGAAAUAAAACAUACAUUGCGAGAGACAAUUUGAGAAAAGCUUUGAACAAUUAGAGACGUUUUGGAAAAACAUUUACAGUAUCAUACUUGGUAAAUCAGUUGACAGUGUAAUAAAUCCUUGUGCAUGCGGGUCAUCCAUCACAUGUGGUUGAUAUGAUAACUGGCAUGUUUUAACUUUUAUCCCCCCCCCCCAUAAAAGCAUGUAAAAACAUUUAAAAGGUUAAUUCAGGGGUAUGAACUCACCUGUUGUAAGUGGAUCGAACGAAGGUGCCGGUUGGGUGCUCGGUGUCAAGUAAAGACUUGAACACACUUAGUGACCUAUUAACAUAUGAUGACAUAUGUUUACAUACAGUUAGUAAAUAUAAUACUAAUUAAACACGUAUACGCAUCCUAAAGUGAGGAAAACAAUUUGAUUAAGUGCUAGGGGUGUCUCGGGUAACAUCUAUGGGUAUGUAUGGCCUAGAUAGGGAGUUUAAUCUUCAAGAGUAAACUCUUUAUAGAGUUCAUGGCCCUAAGACCAACUCCCCAUGAGCUUACAGCCGUAAACUCAUGGUGGGGGUGUUCUAGGAUGCUAAAUGGUAUUAUCUCACUCAUAGAAUUAGGCUAGGUCCAAAUAUAAAGCAUAUGAAUGGGUUUAAGGCAACAAAUGGACCAUUCAAGGAGAUAACGGCCCUAAACAAGGAGUUUACGGCCGUAAACUCUCACUUGGUCAUUUCCUUCAUAGAUCUAAGCCUUAAAUGAUAGAGUAUAAAGUUCUAAGCAUUAUUCCAAGUCAAAUGGGGGUGUUAGGGCAUCAUUUGGCCACCUUUUGGGAGUUUACGGCCCAUGGACCAAUUCUAUGGGGGUUUACGGCCAUAAAUUCCUAUUUCCUUGGUUUAAUUGAUGUUUAAUGUCUUUACUACAACGGGGGUUGCUUCUAGACAUUUUCCAAGGCCAUAGGAGGUGUUUGAGGGCAUUUCUUACACCUUAAAAGGUGUUCACGACCCUUGAAGAGGGGUUUACCAUCCAAGAGUGUUCUUGGGCCGUAAACUCAUGUUUACUCUCCAAAAUGCAAGGUUUUAGUGUUCUAAGCUCGAAAGUGUAAGUCCACAAGUCAUAUCUAAGCCCUAGGGGUAGUUUAGAGGGGUUUUGGGGCUUAAAAACCCCACUUAAGGGUGUUCACGGUCCAAGAGUGUUCUUGGGCCGUAAACACAUAAUCUUGCCCCUAUUUGAUGUCUUAAACACGAAUUUGCAUGAUAACUAAGCUAUACAACAAGUUAGGAUAGAUUACUUACUAGUUUGGGGUUCGAAAAGGACGUUUUUGGCUCGAAAACAAGUUGUAGAGAGAGAGAGAGUGUAGAGAGAGUGUGGAAAGGUUUCUAUGGAGUCCACUCACCCUUAUAUAGGGGUUUGAGUUGGGGCUUAGUGGAAAUCUACCUGAUACUGCCGUUAAAUGGGGCAUUUGGUCGCACCCGAUUGAAUGGUCGUAAUUAAAAAUAAACUUUUUCCAAUAAAAUGGAAAGAUAAUUUACGAGUUUAUUUUUGCUUGACGAAUAUUAUAUAAAAUAUUCCAAUGGGUUUAAUUCCGGUCAAAACUAUUUUUUGGAUAAAUUUGGCUAAUUUUUGACGUAAUUAAUUUCGACGUUAAAACUAACGGGAACUUUUGGGUUGUCACAUCAUCCCCCCGUUAGAGGGAAUUUCGUCCCGAAAUUCAGGUUUAGGCAAGGAACUAGGUAUGAAUGAUCGAGUAAUGAGAUGAGGGUACUUCCUAUUCGAAUGGUCCUCGUGCUCCGAAGUGAACUCCGGUGUUCACUUGGUCUUCUAGUGAACCUUCACUAAUGGGAUGCAGAUUUGUUACGCUCGCUUGAUUCCUCGGUACACAGUUUUACUAUAGGUUUUUCUACGCAGUUAGGGUUCCCAAUGGUUUCUAUCGAGAUGAGUGGGAUACAAAGAGUGACGCCGGGCAAACACUUAUCAAAUCUAAGAAGUGGAUUGAUCUGUGGUGAAACUUGUGGAAUUUCCGAAAGUAGUAGUGGUCUGACGAGGGUUGGACCAAUCUUCGUAAAGAAUCUCAGAUGGUCCUAAGCUCUCGAAAGGGUAGAGCUUUUCAGUACUUAGAACAUAGUGUACUUCUAUGGCGAGAUCAUCACUGGCAUGAUCACCAUUCCGAAGUUCCAAACAUUCUCUCUCAUACUGAAAGUGUAGUCCUUCAGGUUGGUUCUUAGAAAGCUCAGGUUGUCGUUGGAUUUGUGUUUCUACUGCUUGGCUUUCAGAGGUUUUCUGGAUCAUCGGAUGGAUUGCAUGUCUACAGGUAUCUGUUUGCUGCAGCAUGUCUAUCUCAAUCUUGUGCAAAAUGAACCUGCACUAAUGAAUCUUGAGAUGUUUCUAACGGAAACCCUCAGGGUCGGGGAGAUAGGGUUUCACCAGACGAGUGCUUAGAAAGUUUUUUAAACUUUACAUCAUCGUCUAGCUAGCGCUUUCACGAUAUGAUCCUUAACGGGAAAGGAUCAUGCUCUUACUUGCCUUGUUGUUUCAUGAACAGUAGGCUCUGCUCCGGGCUAACUCAAUCCUUAGAGAUUUUCUGAAGUGUUGGACUAUCUCAGGAGGUGGUUUUACUAUUUCUGUGCGAGAUAGUAUUCGUGGAACACCUAGUAGUCCAAUGAAUCUCUAAGACAUGUCCUAUUCUCCAAUGCAUUGGUUUAUUUUAGUGCGGAAAGUGCGUGCUCUUGUAUAACCCAUCGACUAACACCUAGACGGGUGUCAAGUCUAUAAUCUCUUCGGGAUCUGGGUUAUAGAGCUUAACGGAACCUACUCUCAUACUUUAUUCAUGUAUUCUUGGCUGCGGUGGUUAUCCUGUGGUUCUUGGCAUUCUAGUGUUCACUUCGAAGAAUGUAGUCUAUCAUCUACAGGGUGACGGCGACUUCUUCCACGUAAGAGGGCGGAGGGUCCUAGGCACUACUUGUCGGUAAUAGGGUGGACGAAGUGCCUGAGUAGUGCGAACAUCUUCUGCAACUACUCUUCCGAAGAUUCUGAAUUUUCUCGUCCAAGGUCAAAUCUAGUGAGUAUAGGGUUCCAUCACUCGGAACUUUAAUCUCCUCAUCCACUCUUCUCAGAGUUUAACUUAUCGUAGCUUCCAGGGAUACGGGAUAUCCGCUGAGAUGCCUAUUUCUGGGAAUUAAGCGUGAGUAGAUGGUCGUAGUCAAUGUCUUUGACUCUUACGACUCAAAUUUCUUUACUAAACGAGGGUGCUAGAUACUAUGUUGGCUUAACCGGGAUGACAACAAAUUUCAGAUUUGUGGUCAUUAUAGUAACUCAACCCGCAGUGGUUCUCUUGACUCUAGUUCGUGAUUGCGAGGUGCGAAGGGUCUUCCUGGUAGAUCUACGGAGUAGGCUUCGAGUGGUUAUCGUCUUCUGAAAUACUUGCAGUGUCUUUGCUUCGGUUUCUUUUUGUCUAAGAAGGGUUGGUUAACAGCACGCGGUACCCUUCUCCUGGGUACUUCGGAAGGUUUGAAAUAAGAGUGACGACUGACGGAUCGCAUUAGUCUUUAUUAUUUUUAUUAUGUUUAGGUUCGGAGGAACCAUUAUUUGCCAAAAUGGCUACGGUGAAAUUUCUUUUCACAUAGCACUAAGGAGUUACACACGGUUGCAGUAAGUCGAACCAUGAUUGAUAGGGGCGUCGAAGUUGGCGUACUUCGACAUGAUACAAAAUGAGGAUCGGUAGAGUCAUGUGCCGAAUGGGCACACAAGUUCUAGGCGUCUCGGGUUUCAUCCCGUGUAUCACUGUCUCGGAUACUUGGACCGAUAGAGUCGACGCAGAACUAUAGAGGGUCCUGAGUGUUUCUGAGUAGAGUACCUUUCAUGAAUGGAUUCUCACGAGGCAUUUCUAUAAUUGCCUAACAUAUACUAGUCAUGUAUAAUUAAGGUGGGGAGGACUGUUGACUGAGAGACUCCACCCUAAAUCCACAACCAAACAAGGAACAGGAAAUGAGGCGGCAUUCACUCACUCUAGGUCUAUCCAUCUCAAUUAAACAUGGCCGUAACGUAUAUAUCUAGCCAUAAUAGUUUUACCUGAUGAAAUUUUUAAAUUUUAUAACAGAGCUGCGACUUUCGCCUUAACGGGGAAGUAAUUACAGUUAGAAUUAGUCUUUUAAUGUUUUCGGUUAGUUAUCUGAGAUUGAGAGACGUACCAAAAAUCUAUCGGGUUCCUUGAUGCUUCUCUCCAAGCAUUAGAGUUAGACUUCUCCUGUGUCCUUGUCUUUUCUUUCUGUUGGACAGUCCUUCUUGAAGUGUCCAACUUCGCCACAUAGACGACAAACUGUACUGGUCGCCACAUGGGUGGUUGAUGUAAUAAACUCAACCGGGGUUCUGCAGACGCGAGCGGUAUGCCCCUUCGUAUUGCACCUAUCACAAUAGAGUUCUCGGCAUAUACCAUGAUGGUGGUAGCUACACUUGCUGUAGUGGGGAAGGCUUCCUAGGUAUGGUCUCCUUGAAGUCGGAAUGGACGGGAUGGCAGGGGUAUUGACUGUCUCAGCUCGUUGCCCUUCGGAAGGUCCUUGAGCCGAGGCACUUCCUUCCUCGUUCUUGAGCUUUCUCUUCAGUGGAUUUGGCUGAGGUUCUUUGGUGGCUGGGUAGGCAGUUAUUGGUUGCUGUUGUCCAUUAUUAGGAUCGGAAUUUCCGAUAGGGCUCUUGCUAACAUUGGCGUUGUUAGCAUUCAGUUGAGCUAUGACAGCUGCUACGGCUGUCGAGACUGCAGCUUGGAACGUAGCUUCAUCGAGUAGGAGAGUCAGUUUCUCGCCAGUGGAUCGGUUACGCUUCUUUGGAGGCAUGGUUUUCUUAGACAGAAAGAACACAACUGAUGAGAGACAAUGGUUAACCCUAGACGUGUCAAUCCUUACUAUAUUGGGCAUAAAUUUUUCCCGUGCUUCGGAUACUGGUAGUCUGAGUGUCGACCUACAUCCCUAUGAUGUAGUCCAGGUAUUCAAGGUAGGAGUAUGAGUAUCGGAAAAAGCCAUAAGAUGGGAGUCGUUCCUACUGAGUUACCUUUAUACUGGGAAAGGUUUCACUCUCUGGCUUAGAAAGAUUUGAGGAUAGUUCGGAACGAAAGCCGCGGGAAGAAAGGCUCAUGAAGACUUAUGGCUAAACACUCUCAAUAGAGGUGUGGGGAUCCGCUCUAAUCGUAUUACUUGCAACGGGAAAAAGGCGAUUUACCUAACACAUAGUGUGAGUAGUGUAGUCACUAACUCACUAAAUUGUAUUAUUUUAUGGGUGUAUUAGUGUGAAGAAUACGAGGAAAAGACACUUCUCGGGUUCCAUGUACUGGCUCCCUCUGUCUACCUCGUAUCCUUGACUGGGACCGACGUUGGUUUCCUUCGGGUAAUUACCUAGGAUUUUCUUCUCCUAUUGACAUAUUGAAUUUCUACUCUGUCUUACUUCUGAUUCUGACUCUGGGUGUCAUCACUUCAUGAUGGAUGACUGUAAAUCUCGGAAGUUUAGGCGAAUUUCCCACCAUGUCCCUAAAAAGAUAUAGGCAAUUGGUGAUUUCAAUAGUCUCGACCUAGUUCAUUUAUUUCCGAACUGGAAUUCUUCUCAAUGAACCUCUUCGGGGUCUGAAUCAACUCUUCUGCUGAGUACUGAAGUGGAUAGGGUUUUCUACAGGGUUCGUGCGAGAAUGGAAAUGUCUAAAGAAUCCUAAGAGAUUAUUAACAUUUCACUAGGUGAUCCAUAUCCAGUCCUGCUAUGAUUACAUAGGGUAUACAAAUCAUAUAUAGCUUAGAUCCGAUAGGCCUUCGAAGAUGUGAUACUACUCUAUAUCCACAUCCCAACGAGGAAAAGGAAGUAGAGCGAAACCACACAUUCUUAGCCUAUGGGAUCCUUAUUAUAUAUAACCUUGGAAGUAUACCCUCUGUAAUUGUAGGUAUAUCAAUAAGGAUCUUUUUAUUUCUUCACACAAGGUUAUCUAUGGAUCCUAAAAUACCCUUAUGGUAUUUCAAUUUCUUUUUUGUUUCUUAACUUCUGAAUAUGAUUCUGGGAUUAAUGCGAGUCUUUUAGUAUUCCAAAAUACUCCCAUAGUAUUUUAAACUUUAUAUUUGGCUCUAGCAUUCCUAGUUGGUAAGUUUCAGACCUGUUGCAACACCACUAUCACUCCCAAGCACACUUUCAUCGCAUCUCGAAUAAAUGUAGUAGAUCAUGUUACAUAUAUUCCAGCUUACGAUUACAUAACUGCCCAGUUUUGACGGUAAUGCUCAACAUCCGAAGACUUUUAUUCUUGUUCUUCUUGUGAUACUUUUGUUCGAGUGUUUAGAUUCUUGAUGUUCUUAUACUUUGGUAAAAUAUGGUUAUAUUUUAAAGUAUAAUUCUUGGUCAGAGUGUUUUAUCCCUAUGUAUUUAUAGGCUGUAUAUCUUUUAUGAAUUGAUAUAUUGAGCUCACUAUAAACAAUGCUCUGAUACCAAUCUGUCACACCCCAAAACCGGAACAGCGGAAACGUUCUGGGUGGAUGACGUCAUGUCAACUAUCACAACAUAUGCAGUAUAGUAAUCAAAGUACAACAACCAUUGCAUUAAUAGUAAUAGUUUUACAUAGUUUACAUUGAAUAGAAACAUCAAAGUAAUACGAGUAAUAAUACAGGUGUAGCUUGGUACUAAACUGUCUUCACCAAAAGCUCCUGGAAUGUACCUGUCUAUUUGUUGACCAGAGAAUACAAGUUAUUUUGAAAGCGAGUAUCAGCAUUUUUAUAAAUGCUGGUGAGUUCAUAAGUAUUUAGUGUCAUUUUACUCAAAUAACUUUAUACAAGUAGUAGUUUAGAAUCAACAGUAUAUUAGAGUCCUUUCCAGAAAAUCCUAUAUUUUCUAAAUAAAAGCAGUCUUCUACCAAGACCCGACAGUGUUAUGUUUUAAAGAGAAUUUCCCUGAAAUAUUAUCAUUACCAAAAUAUGGUAUUUGACUUUAAAGAAAGUAGGAGAUUAUUACUAGUUGAAGUACUAAGGGAAAAUAACAUAUGCCUUAGCAGAAGAUACUGCUGACUAAGGCAAAGAAAUCAUAGACUCUAGGAGAGUAUCAAAUGAACGACAUGCCUGGCUUAGUCUAACAAAAGGAGACACAUACCCUAAACGGUAUCAAAUGUACGAUACGGCUAGAAAGGUCUAAAACAAAGAAACGCAGACCCAGACAGUAUCAAAUGAAAGAUACAGGUAGCAAGGUCUAAAACAGUGAACAUAGACCCCAGACAGUAUCAAAUGAAAGAUACAGCUAGCAAGGUCUAAACAAGAGUAAUUCUAAAAGUGUGUUUCCAACAUACAGUGUUAAACAUCAUUACCUUAAGGCCAUGAAUUAUAAGGUAAACAUGGAGAUACUCGUAACCAUACAAAUAGACACUAGAGUACUUGACGCCCUGCAAGCGUCGGUGAAAGUAUGACAUUUGUCACCCCUUGGCUUGGUAGGCCGUGGAAUGUAGCUAGCAGUCAGGGUGUGGGUGUGUCAAUCUCAUAUAGAUCUAUACACACAAUGUCCCCUCUCCCUACAGGAGACUCUGGUUACCAACUCGAUGACGGGGAGAUCCGUGCCUUGAGGAUGCUUCUCGAACAGUGAAUUCUGAUGUAAGUGCUGGACUAACAGUAGAGACUCAUAACUGAACCGGUCGAUGUAAACCUAUAUGUCUAUACAUGUAUACAUAAUAUAUACUUAAUGAUCAAACGACCUUCGGACGGAUAUCCGAUCCCACCAGAGCACAUCCCAUCGAGGAAAAGGAAAUAGGGAGAACUAGCCUUCCUAAGUCCUUUAAACAUUAUUUAUAUAACAAUACAAGUAUAGGCAUACUUUUAACCAAGUAGGAACAUUUAACGAAGUUGAAGUGUUUAACUAAGUAGAAGUAUUUCGCGAAGUAGAAGCGUUAACAAGUAGAAGCGUAUCACGAAGUAAAAGCGUUAAUAAGUAGAAGCAUAUCACAAAGUAGAAGCGUUUAUAAGUAGAAGCGUAUCACGAAGUAAAAGCAUUAAUAAGUAGAAGCGUAUCACGAAGUAAAAGCGUGAAUAAGUAGAAGCGUAUCACGAAGUAGAAGCGUUUAUAAGUAUAAGCGUAUCACGAAGUAAAAGAAUUAAUAAGUAGAAGCGUAUCACGAAGUAAAAGCAUUAACAAACUAGUAGCAUUUAACUAAGUAGGAGCAUUAACUAAGUAGAAGUAUAAUGAAGUAGUAGUAUCUAACAAAGUAGGAGUAUAAAAACAUGGAAGAAAACUUUGAUGUAAACUUUGGAAAACCUUUAUACUUAAGAAAAUCAUGACUUGGUAUUCUUUUGUAAAAUAAGUUUGAAAACCUUUAGAAACCCUUGAAAAUCUUUCAUAAACAAGUUUUGAUUAUAACUUUGAUAAAACAAUAUAAGUAAAGAAAACCUUUGUUUCAAAAUGCUACUGUAACUGAAUUUGAAAUAACACAUACAGUGCGAGAGACAAUUUGAGAAAAGCUAUGAACAAUUAGAGACGUUUUGGAAAAACAUUUACAGUAUCAUACUUGGUAAAUCAGUUGACAGUGUAAUAAAUCCUUGUGCAUGCGGGUCAUCAAUCACAUGUGGUUGAUAUGAUAACCGGCAUGUUUUAACUUGUAUUCCCCCCCCCCAUAAAAGCAUGUAAAAACAUUUAAAAGGUUAAUUCAGGGGUAUGAACUCACUUGUUGUAAGUGGAUCGAAUGAAGGUGCCGGUUGGGUGCUCGGUGUCAAGUAAAGAAUUGAACACACUUAGUGACCUAUUAACAUAUGAUGACAUAUGUUUACAUACAAUUAGUAAAUAUAAUACUAAUUAAACAUGUAUACGCAUCCUAAAGUGCGGAAAACACUUUGAUUAAGUGCUAGGGGUGGCCCGGGUAACAUCUAUGGGUAUGUAUGGCCUAGAUAGGGAGUUUACCCUUCAAGAGUAAACUCUUUAUAGAGUUCAUGGCCCUAAGACCAACUCCCCAUGAGUUUAUAGCCGUAAACUCAUGGUGGGGGUGUUCUAGGAUGCUAAAUGGUAUUAUCUCACUCAUAGAAUUAGGCUAGGUCCAAAUAUAAAGCAUAUGAAUGGGUUUAAGGCAACAAAUGGACCAUUCAAGGAGAUAACGGCCCUAAACAAGGAGUUUACGGCCGUAAACUCUCACUUGGUCAUUUCCUUCAUAGAUCUAAGCCUUAAAUGAUAGAGUAUAAAGUUCUAAGCAUUAUUCCAAGUCAAAUGGGGGUGUUAGGGCAUCAUUUGGCCACCUUUUGGGAGUUUAUGGCCCAUGGACCAAUUCUAUGGGGGUUUACGGUCGUAAACUCCUAUUUCCUUGGUUUAAUUGAUGUUUAAUGUCUUUACUACGAUGGGGGUUGCUUCUAGACAUUUUCCAAGGCCAUAGGAGGUGUUUGAGGGCAUUUCUAACACCUUAAAAGGUGUUCACGGCCCUUGAAGAGGGGUUUACGGUCUAAGAGUGUUCUUGGACCAUAAACUCAUGUUUACUGUCCAAAAUGCAUGGUUUUAGUGUUCGAAGCUCGAAAGUGUAAGUCCACAAGUCAUAUCUAACCCUUAGGGGUAGUUUAGAGGGGUUUUGGGGCUUAAAAACCCCACUUAAGGGUGUUCACGGUUCAAGAGUGUUCUUGGGCAGUAAACACAUAAUCUUGCCCCUAUUUGAUGUCUUAAACACGAAUUUGCAUGAUAACUAAGCUAUAGAACAAGUUAGGAUAUAUUACUUACUAGUUUGGGGCUCGAAACGGACGUUUUUGGCUCGAAAAAAAGGUGUAGAGAGAGAGUGAGGAGANGAGAGAGUGUAGAGAGAGAGUGGAAAGGUUUCUAUGGAGUCUACUCACCCUUAUACAGGGGUUAGAGUUGGGGCUCAGUGGAAAUCUACCCGAUACUGCCGUUAAACGGGGCUUUUGGUCGCACCCGAUUGAAUGGUCGUAAUUAAAAAUAAACUUUUUCCAAUAAAAUGGAAAGAUAAUUUACGAGUUUAUUUUUGCUUGACGAAUAUUAUAUAAAAUAUUCCAACGGGUUUAUUCCAGUCAAAAAUAUUUUUUGGAUAAAUUUAGCUAAUUUUUGACGUAAUUAAUUUCGACGUUAAAACUAACGGGAACUUUUAGGUUGUCACAAAUUGCGUGCUGGAUGAGCUUGGUCAUGUCAGGUUCAGGUACAGGUUCCGGUUUCCAUAUAAAUAAGACAUUCCCAUACAACCCAAACCCUGAGCCAAUACCUCUAGACCCUAUGAACCUAGUUUGACUUUACGAGCUCUUGCAAUUUUUGAACAUGGUUCUUCUUCUACAAAUUUAUGAAAGCAACGCCUGACAGCUUACUUUAUAGACAAAAUUGCAAAAAUGGUCCCCGUACUUGUCAAAUUUCUACAGUUGGUCCAAAAAAGUUUAGUAGUGCAUUAGUAGUCCAAUUUCGGAUACUUUGUGUGGUUUUGGUCGCUAUGGUUGGCAUUUAUAUGUAGUUUUGGUCCAUACUCCACCUGAAAUGACAAACCUGCCCUUAAAUAAUUUUCUUUUUAAUUUAAUUUAAUUUCUUUUCUAAUUAUUCUAAUUAAAAAACAAAACCCCAAACCACCCCUCUUGUCCCUUCCGUCUCUCUCUCUCUCUCUCUCUCAUGUUCCUCCUGUUAAGACGCAUCACCCCAAACACCCUCUAUUAUUGUUUUACUCGACCCCUGCUUUCCCUAAAGCCACAUAUCCGGUGAGAUGAGCUAACAUUCGAGGAAGAGAGCCCAUCGGAAAAACUGGUUGUCAACCUCUCCACCUCCCCUCGGUUGUUGAGCAAACCCACGAACCCUCACUUGCUGUGUUGUUCCGAUCUGCUCUUUCCCUCCCUUUCUUCUCCAUUUUUCUACCAACCUCUCCACCUCCCCUCCAUGGCUUCUUGUGUGAUGUUGCAAAGUGUCGAUAUGCACAUUUGGGUUUAUAAUCGAUUAUGUUUCAAUUGAUUCCAGCUCAUCAGAGAUCUGAUUUCAUUCACAAAAUUUAAGAUUAAAUUUUGUUAAUCGAUUUGGAUUAUGCUUUGUGCUUUUGGUCGAUAGCAAUAAGAAACAAAUCAUUUUCAUUUGUGAAGAUCUCAUAGUGGGGGUGGUGUUUGCUCGUCGUCACAGGGGGAAAGACGGGGUGGAAGCCGGUGGUUCUUAGGAGGUUGAUGCCACCUCUGGUGGGGCUAUUGUUAUCUGAUAAAAGAAGCAAGGGAGGGAGAUGGGAGGUGAUACUCGUCAAAGGGUGUGUUUGGGUUGUUGCUAAUUGACAAAACCGGUGAGAAGAGGUGGUUCCUAGUGAUGUUUGGUGGUCACAACCACAACACCACCACCACUCAUUGGUGGUCGUUGUUCUUGGCAGUGAAAGGAGAAAAGGAAAACAGAAAACGUGCAGGGUGGGUGGUGCAAUGGACUCUAAAAUACAAGAGGGGGAUAGAGAGUGGCCGUUUGUGGUGGUUCACAGUGUAGGGGUCAACGGUGGGUGGUAGCCCUUGGUUGUCCUUGUUUCUUUCUUCGUUUCUUUCAUCGGUGUGUGUGUUCUCGAGGGAGAAAAAACAAAUAAAAUAUAAAUAUAAAUAUAAAUUAAAUUAAUUUAUGUAUUUCAACAAUUAAAAAAAUAAAAAAUAUAAAUCCUAAGGGGAUAAUCGUCUUUUUAAGUGUGUAGAGACAAAAACAAUAAAAAGAUCCAAAAUUGCACCAAUGGUGCAUCAAAGGUAUCAUUUUGGACUAAAACUUCAGAAAUUUGCUAACCACAGAGAUCAUUUUUAUAAUUUUGUCUAACUUUAUAUAGGGGUGAGAAGCAAGGAGUUUGGAAGGCGUAGGUACCAAAGUAAUUGACUUUUUAAUGUGAGAAAUGAAGAAGAAUAAUAUAUAACAAUAACUUACAAAUGUACAAAGCUUUUUUAAUUUAACCAAGUGUUUUGACGAAUUAUAAAUGAGUAGUCGACAUAGGUUAUCUAGUUUUGGUACAUAUUACAUGAUUUCAUUAUAGGUCUGCAUCAAGGUUCUAAAUAAUGUAAGGUGUGACUUGGCGGCAAUGUGAAGCUUCAAGCUUUUCUGAGCCUUGGCAAGUCAUGACAUUUGUAAGGCGUGACUUAAGGCAGUAAUUUUCUAUAUAAUUAAUAUUUUUUAUAUGUAUUUUCAACUAUUAUUCAUUUUUAUACACAUAUAUGAGUUAAUGCGGCGUUUUGACAAAACUUGGCGGUAGGUGCAAGCCUUAGAGUCGUGGCGUGUCAUGACGAGCUUUUUAAAACUCUGGUCUGCAUACACCCCAUUUAACAUGCUUUUUUUUUACUAAAAUUUUAUAUAGAAAUUUUUUUAUUAUAAUUGAGUUUCAGUUAAUGUCCCCACAAUAAUAAUAGUUUUAGACUAUGCACCCUCCUACGCUCUUAGACUACCCCCAUUGGGGGCUUCUUGCGAGCGAGUCGUAGAAAAAGGAAUAUUAAAAAAAUGAAAAGUAGACAAUGUUUGGUGAUCCGGUUCGUAACCAUGCCCUCAUCUCACUCUAGCUUGUAUAUAAAGAUCUCCCACGUGUCCAACUUUGUUAAAAGGAAUCUUUUAGAUUUUAUAUAAAAACCAGUGUUGCAGAAAUCGGCUUAGGCGGCCGAUUAAUCGCCGCCUAGGUGCUAGGCGGACGGCCACCGAUUAGGUUUAUUGCUAAUCGGUCUAUGUAAUCGGGCUUAGUCAAAGUCGGUCCAAGCCGGGGCUAAUCGGAGUUAGUCAGAGCUAGGCGGAGCUUGGCGCCUUAAUCGGUCAAAGGCGGUCAACGGAAAUUCAAGACAUUUUAAGGGCAAAAUUGUCAAAUUGAAAUCAUUUCUUGCUAGGGUUCGUUCCUUCUUUUCUCAUUCCAUCUCAUACUACCAACAAAAUGCUCUCUCAGACUCAAGAACUAAAACAAUGAAAUGCCUGCAUCUUUUCUUCGAAUCACACUGGUACGCCGUUGCCUUCCAAGCUUGUUGUCUCAUUCUCGACUCAAAUCGGUGCUAAUUUGCUUCGGACAUCCGCUCCUUCUCCUCUAGCGCCAUCAGCUCCUCCAGAAUCCCUCAUACACCAACCAUCUUAAUCUGCGAAUGUUCAUUCUCAUCCUCACCGAUCUGUAAAUCCUCUGCACCAUCACCGCUCUCACUACCUCUAACAACCCACCAUCGAAACUCUAACCCUAUAUCGACUCGAUCUAACCGCGACACUCACCGACACUUUCAUCUCCGCUACUCUCAUCAAAAUUAGCGAAAAUCCUACACUUACAUUGGUAAUUUAGCCCCUAUUCUUCUAAUUUUUUCAGCAAAAUGUUUAUUUUUUUAGGUAGGAACCUGAUUUUGUUUACAGUUAUAACAAAAACAAAAUGAAAGUAUUUGUGUGUGCAGGGUAUUUGUUAUUUGUAUAAUUGUAUAUUUGUAUUUGGUCAUAUCUUAAUGUCUUUCUUUCUUUAAGUUUUUUCAAUCUUUUGAAUCCAUGGAUCUGUUUUAGACUGUUGAUGGAGGAGUUGUUAAGGUGAAUGAAGUCAAAAGUAGAGGUGGGUGGGAGGUCAAACUUUGGGCGUGAACGUGACAAUUUUCGAAGAUAUAGUAAUGACAGAGAUGUAGAGGUGGAUAAGGGUAGAGAUAGAGAUAGAAACUAUGGUCGUUUCAGAAAGAGGUUUGAGUUUUUUCUUUUCAAAAUGCUUUUAUCUACAUGCUUUUAUCUAUAUGAUAAUUAGUUGUUUCUGUUUAAACAAAAAAAUAGUUAAUUGUGGUGCUUUUUACACAGUAUUAGUAAGUUUGUGUUAAUAUUUAACUUGCAUUUCACAGGUUUAUCGAAUGGAAGAGCUUGUAGGAGAGAAAGGUGAUCAUGUAUCUAAGCUGCAGGAAAAGUCACAGGUCUUAUAAUUAACAUCCUCAUAGUAAACACCAAAUUACAAUUCUACCCUCCUUCAGUUUUUCAUUAAUCCUUUCUGAUCUUCUAUUUUUUGUUACAUAAACUAGAGGAUGCAGAAAACACUAGACAGUUGAUUUGAGUGGGCAAUUUUAAUGUGUUAAUGUGAUUUUUUAUAACAGUUGAUGAAGCUCUUGCAACCGAUGUUAGUCAAACACCCCAAGAAAGUCCAAAAACGAGGGAACUUUUCAAUGAAGAUUUCGAGUCCGAGAGUGAGGAGCAAGUGUUAGAGAGAAGAUGAAUAUGAGUCGGAUGAGGCUCAAAUAAUGGAAGUAUGUGGAGAAUAUUAAAAGAAAAAUGUUGUACUUGCUAAACUUAUUAUUAAAUUUUUAUAGACUUGUUGGAUGAUGAUUUUGUGUGCUUGUUAAACUUAUUCUUAAACUUUUAUGCUUAUUUUGGAUGAUAAAUGGUUGUACUUAUUAAACUUAUUAAGUUAUUAUUAAACUUUUAUGCUUAUUUACUUAUAUUAUUAGUAUUAAAGUUAGAUUUAUAAAUUUUUGAAUUAUUUUUUUAAUAAUUAAUGGUCCCUGAUUAAUCCCCCGAUUAAUCCCCGUCUAACCGAUUAAUCCCUAGACCCCAGUCCACCGCCUAGCUAACGUCUAACGUUUUUUGCAACCUUGAUAAAAACUAACUUUUGUUAAUAAAUAGACUUUAUCUUUAAUAAAAAAUAAAAUAAAAUAUAACAAAAUAUUUGAUUUAUAGUUUUAUAAAUGUAAAAUUUUAAUAUAAAAUAGGUUGGGUUAGAUUGCUAAUGGGGUAAAUAAUUAUAUAUGAUUGGGUUGUAUAGGUGGAAGAGAAAAAAAUUAAUUAUUUAUAAAAAAAUUGGGUUGGGUUGGAUUGCUAAAAUGAAUAGUAUUACAAUAUCUGUUGAUCUGAUAUCAUAAUAAUAUGAUUAACUUGGUGAAUUUUUCGGUUACUAUUUAUAAUCAACUUUUUCUUUUUCCAAUUCAUAAUACCCUUAAUGAAAAUUUUGUAUUUGAUUCUUUUGGGUGGUUAAUCAAUGAAAGAGACGACGAGUUAAAAGAGAACAUGUACAUGUGGACACAAAACUUAGCAUUCAUGUUGUUUUUUAAUGAUGUGGCCUGCAAACAAAGAAGAAUACACAAAUUAAACCUAGCAUUCAUGUUUCUUUUUAUUGAUAUGGCCCUGUAAUCAACUUUGUACGUUGCAGCUACAGCCUACCAGAUGGCAAAAAAACAAAAACCCAAAGAUUUUGAGGCAUGUCGGGUCGAUCUUAUCGGGUCGUUAUCGGAUAUAUAUGCAAUUACGUCAUUUCUGUCCUUAAAGACAUAACCCUAAAAUUGUGUAUCGCUUUUAUUUGACAGCGAAAAGCAUGGUACAGGAAAACAAAUUACAUAUCAACGUAAGAUCAGAUCCGGUGCAUAUAUAGCACAGCACAAAUUAAACAAAGAAUGUAUAGCACUACGCAACAAACAAUAUGCUGGCAGCAUUAAUCAAGCUUUCCAGGAUGACAAUGCAGGAGUCUCGGUGUCCUUAAAUGUUGAAAUACCAUCACCAUAUCGACCACCCUUGACUGAAUCAGCAGCAGCAAUGGCUUCUAGUUCAGCCAUGUCUUCUGCUGUUAGCUUCACAGAUAAAGCUCCAAUGUUCUGUUCAAGAUUCUCAAUCUUUGUGGUUCCAGGAAUGGGCACCACAUCAUUCCCCUGGUGGUGAACCCAAGCCAAUGAUAGCUGCGAUGGGGUGCACCCUUUCUUUGCCGCCAUGUCACUAACCUUCUUGAACAUGAUCGUGUUAUGCUCAAUAUUUUCAGCCUGGAACCUCGGUAGAU